GGUGGCUUCUCUCCCUUAGGUGGUUUGCCAACUGGGGUUGGUGGCUUGUGUUCUGGGAGUGGCUUCUCCCCCUUGGGAGGUUUUUCCAAUGGGGUUGGUUUGUGUUCAGGAGGUGGCUUCUCCACUGGAGGCUUGUGUUCAGGAGGUGGCUUCUCCACCGGAGGCUUGUGUUCAGGUGGUGGCUUCUCCACCGGAGGCUUAUGCUCUGGUGGUGGCUUCUCGAAUGGGGGAUGCUUAGGAUAAUCAGCAAGUGAGGGGGCGGUGAGAACCACCAGGCCAAGCAACACCACUAGCAAAUAUGUAGGAGACAUCUUUGGGUUUGGGCUCAGAUGGUGCAAAACUAGGAGAAUUGGCUAGCCUUUUAUAGCGGAUCGUACCCAAUAAUGAAAUGACACGUGUCAUUAUGACCCAUGUGUAAUGGGGUCGAUUUGGGUCCUACAGUGUUGAAAACUUCGACAUCCACUUUUGGCCUUUUGCUUUCUCUACAGCCGCCUUGCUUUUUCCCUCUUUCCUUUUGUUUUCCUCCUGCCCCAUUCUAUCAACUAAACACAAUUAUGUAGUUGUUUAAUUCUUAAAUGAGAUAUUAUCCGUCAAUCGUAUUAUAUUUUAUCAAGAGAGAACGGAGUGCAAUGUGGCUGUAAUUUUAUCGUUUAGUUUUAUCUCUUGGACCACUGCAUUUUUGUUAAGAGGUGCAAUAAUACACGUCUUUAUCUGCCAUUCAAUAUUUACAGUAAAGAGAGGGCACAAAACUCUUCACUUCGCACCAUAAUUAUUUUGUUUUCUGGACACCCCGGGGCCCUUUGGUUGGUUUGGGGGUCAGAAAGUGAACAUCAUAGGGGGUUUUUCCCUUAUGUGCAUUUGUAUCUGAUGGCUUUAACUCGCCUUGUUACUACAAAGAAACUGUCACAGAUAGGAACUUAUUCCAGGCUGAGUAUCUCCUCAUAGACCCUAUAAAAGAAGACAAGUCAUAAUGAACAUCUAACCUUUGUUCAAUUUGAUUCAAUGCCCCCAUUGUGUCCAUCUCACAAAUCUGAAUUAUUAUAUCCAUUGAAUACAUAAAUUAAUGAAGAAAAUAUGAAACCCAAGAUACAUCUCUGCACAACCUCAACCCUGGUUGCUAUGUUUCCCUUCUAUUCACAUGAUUUGAUGCUAAUUGCCAAACUUGCAACAAGCCCUGAGUUUGACACCUAGUAUCGAUGGGCGAAUUUAAAGUCUCCUCCAAACAUAUAUUCCACAGCUUGAAGCUCACAGAAGAUGUUACAGGCAGGGAAAAACCUUCAGAGUUCGCUACCAAAGAUAAUUAUUAAGGAGAUAUCACAAAGAGAAUUCCAAGGGGUCUGAAUCAAAGACAAAUUGGUCGUUCGUGGGGGUUCUUACUUUCUUUUGGGUAUAACUCACUGAGGGCACUGUCUUUGUUAUUUGCAUUUCACAUUUAGAGUUCUGUUCUGGAAACAUAUAAAAGGAGCAUCAUUUUGUUCUUGGGUAACCCAUAGUCGUGAGUGGGUCCAUUUGCAUGCUACUUAGUUGAAAAGUUGGACCAUUUGCUCCGACGCCUACCUCCCGGAUUCCAUGCUCGGAUAAAACAAGAAUAAAAAAAAUAUUUAUAAUUUACAAAUGGGGGAAAGAAAAAAAUGUCAACAACAAACCAGGAAAAAAGAGUAGUAAAAUUCAUGUCACAUGCUAGUGAGAGAAGGGGUUGUUACACUCACUCGAAGUUCUUUCCAAAAUAUCGCAUGGUAUUUUAUUUUAUGUGUCAGCGCAGUUGUGAAUGGAACGUGCAAAAGUCCAAAUUGGCGUUUUUCCUUUUCCCGUGUAGGAUGGCGACCUUUAAUAAAUAUUUAAAACAAAAAACGAAAAAAAGGAGGGAAAAGGGAUCAGAAAAGAUAAAACAAUGUGUACAAGAGCUCAAUUAGUUUGCAAAUUACUGUUUGGAUUUUGAUAGUAUUUUAUUUGUCCAUCUAUAUUUGAUGGAAAAGAGAAUUUAAGAUAUUUCUGAAACAAAAGCAUUAGUGUAAAACUAAAUUAAGGUAUAAUUAAGUUAGUUCAAUGCAUUAAUUUAAGAAACUUGAUCUAUCCAAAGUACAAAAUUAGAUGAAAUCCAUUUCAAUGGUUAAAAUGAUCAAAAUCAAACUUUUUCUAAGUAUUUUUUAAAAGCAUCAAUAUUAAAAGACAAUUUUAUAUUUAGUCGGAGUUUGGACAAAACCAAAAAGCACACAAAAUCCAAGCGACCAUCUCUAGCUUGGAUAGUCACUUGAUCCCACCUAGAGAUGUGCAUGAGUAAAAGGAUUUGAAAAUGGAAAUUGACUAAAUAUUUAGUUGAUCAAUUAAAUUUGCAAUGUCAUAUGCAAUCCUAAUAGCUAGUCAUCUAAUCAAUUAGGUAGUCAAUCAAGUGUUUGUAAUGACUAUUUUGUACAAAAAACCACAUGUAUAGUUAAAUAUAAUGCAUUUCAUUUAUAAAUCUUCUAAUUCUUGAAUAACGAUCCUAUCAUCCUUUGAAAAUUUUUAUUACACCUUUUUUACUUUUGUUCUAAAACUUACAUAUCACCCUUAAUUGUACCAUGAGAACCUAGCUAUUUUUUUUUUUUUUGUAAUUCAUCAAAGUUAGCUUUUGUAUUCAUUGUUGUAUUAUUUUUAGUAUAACUUAGAAAGCUAGUGUUUUCAAGUGAGUAAAAUUAACUUGUAAAUAUUGUAAAGAUUCAUUGAUAUGUAUCUUAAACUAAGUGUACAAAUUAAAACAUUUGCUAGUAGAUUUUCUCAAAAUUUAGAAUAGAGCUUGAGGCUAUUGAAAUAGGUGGGGUUACACCAAACCACAUCACAUCGUUGUUUGCACCUUUUUUCACUCUCUUUUACUUAGUUUCUCUAUAUUUGUUGUCUAGUAAUAUCCUAUAGGCUUGAUGGGUUAGGGAGCAUCCCUUUGUGAAAAAAUUUCAUUCAAUUCUUAGUUGUAUUACGCAUAUAUAAAAUGCCUCAUUGUUUUAAUGGUAUUCAGUCGUGGCAUCACAGAUAUGGGCAUCUAAAUUUUAAAAGUUUGAAACUUUUGUAAAGCAUGUUGAUAAAAUCCAUGAGAGUUGUGUACUUGGGAAGCAACAUCGAGGUGACUUUAUUUUUUUUUCCUUUUAUAAUGCCACACCUAAGUCCGGUUUCUAAAUGCUAAAGUGAAAGGGUAGGUAUGGACCAUUGAAAUGUGAUCACAACUUUUGGCCUUUUCCUUUCUCUGCAGCCAUGUUGUCUCUUUUUUCUUUUGCAUGAUUUUCUUACCAAAACAGAAUCAUAGACUUGUUUAGUCUCUAAGCUACUAUAUUAUAUCUCGGUGGACUUUUAAGAGUGCAACCGACAUAGAGCACAUGCAAGUGGGCAUAUGGGACAUGAAAUUUCUUCUUACAAAGAUUGCAUGAUUUUUAUAUUAGAGUUGUUCACGUGCAAUGUAUUUAGCUUGUUUUGCAGUUAAAUUAAUUGGAUAAGUAAACAUUGGCAUUUCUAAAUCGACUGUGAAGUGCUUCAUGUACGUGUAAAGUAUUAGAAAUUUCUUUCUUGGCAACUUGUUUUUUCCUUGCCAUCUACUGGUAGGUUUGACUAAAAUUAUAUUCCCUGUCAUGCUAAUUAAUUUUCAUGUGCAUGCUCAAAAGAAGAGUAUGACCUUAGUGCACCAAAAUCACUUUGAUUAAUUUGUGAUAGGUUUUUUUGCAUCAUUUAGAUAAUGUUUAGUUCUAAGAAAAAUUUAUAUAAAAAUGGUUUAUUUAUCUUACAUAUAUAUAUAUAUAUAUAUAUUUUUUUUUUUUUCAUUUUUUUUUCUUCUAUUUUAUUUAUUUAUUUUAUUUUCCUUAUGUUUUCCUCACAUUUUCCGGAACUAAACAUAGUCUUACGAAAUCAACAAUUGCCUUCAACUGAGUAGAUUCUGUUGUUUUAGCAAUGUUAGGCUGCUAACUUGUGGUGGUACGAACCAAAUGACCCAUGUUAAUCUUGGCUUGGUUUGAUUUGGCUCUAUCUCAGAGAGCUAAAGGAUCACGUCAACUCUGGUUUCUACUAUUCAGGUCCAUUCCCAGAUGAACUGGUUCAAAUUUGAGAAAAUGGUAACAGACCUUUAGUGAUGUUGGUUUGGAGCCAGUUGCCAAACCCGCCCUGAGCUUUACCACUAAUGUCAAGGGAGAAAGCCAUUUGAACAAAAACAAUAGCUUCAAGAGACUGAAUCGUGGAUGAAAUCUGAUCCACAUUUCUUCUCAUUUUGGGAAAAAAUGAGAACUUAACUACAAAGAUUCUACUGCCUCAUUCAUAGUGCUUUUCCUGAUCCAAGGUUGGUUCGUUUCCCAAAUUGUGAGGUGCACGUGCCACUCUCACGCUCAGGAGUGUAUCCACGUGGUGGACAUCAGAUGGUGGCUUAAUAUCUGGUGUCGGUGGCUUUACUUUACUAGGAGAGUAGUGUGUCUUCAUCUCAUUCACUGCCGGAGGGUGGCGUAAGCAGUGACGCUAAGGUGGGGCACAGUCAAUAUCAUUUGCAUUUGACCAUUAUAGUUUUCUCCCGGCUUGAAAGUAACCUUAUCGUGAUAAAGGAUUACUAGCACUAGUUCAGAUGACCGUCAUGUUAAUUCGGACCAUGUUUGUGUCACAUUAUCAGCAACCAUGUGUUUAUGGUUCAUGCUAUCUGCAACUAAACUUGAUAUAUAACCAGGUGAACUUCAAUCAAAAUUCUGGAAGUACUCUUGUGAUAGAUGGUGCCUGUCUGCAGAGUCCAUCAAUUGAAAAAUGGAGUGAGUGUAUCUAUAAGAGGGAAGGCUUGGCAAAUGUUCAGUUUUCUGGGAAUUCAACAAGGAUCUAAAAUAGAUUGUUUUCUUUGCCGACUUCAAUGGUUGAAAUUUGAGAAGAUUGUGUCCACAUAUCACAACUAUUACUGGUCCUUCUGUUGCAAUUUAUCCUGUAAGGCUCUAACAUGUCUUCCAAUUCCCACUUCCCUGUUACUCCAGGAAAGCUAUUUCUGUCAUUGUGAAGAAGAAAAGAGAAUGUACAUAUCGAUGCUUUUAAGUGACUGGAGCAUUCAUAUCAGGUGGUCUGCAGCCAUAUAUGCCACUUUGUGAAGGUUGGAACAGUCAAUCACUAGGCUAUAUAUUGGUGUGGCCCAGCCACUUCAAUCAAGGACAAGUCUUCAUACUUAAAGUCAAAUUCUGCCUUUAGUCUCAUUAUAAAUUGCUGUUUAAAUAUUAAGCAAACUUUUGUUUAAUGCGAUUAAGACAGUACUAACUCAAUACUUGUUCUAUUUUUGGAUGCAAAUGCUUGAUGGUUUCAUCAUUGGAUGGGAUAAAGGUGCAUUCAUGAUUAUGAAUACUUGUAGUUAUAUUUUCAUUCUCUUUUUUCUCAAUGAGACUUGUUGGCACAAUGUUGCUGUUCAGAAACCUACCUCUCCAUGGAAAAUAAGUUGCGAUUGAUAGUACUGGAUAUGUUCAAGAAAGCUAAAUAUAGAUAGCACAAAAUAUUAUCGAUAUAAAUAGCAUUAACAGCGUACGUAUGUCUCAAUGCUCAUCAGCUAUAAGCAUGGGACAAACACUUACUAUGAGCAACUUACGUCAAAAUUCCAGAAUAGGACAUAGAAGUGACAGAUCUAUAUAUAUAGAACACUGCAUAUGAGUCACAAGAAAGGAAAUUACGGGUGCAUAGCAGCUCUUAUUUUACAUACUACUACUCAUACUGAUCAAAGUCACUCAGUUGGGAUGGGUGGGAGUAGGAGGUUUGUGGGGUGGCUUGUGCGGAGGAGUUGGCAGCUUCUUUCCAGGACCUGGUUGCUUCUCUGCUGGAGUUGAAGGAGGCUUAAUCUUCCGAGGUGGCUUGUAUGAGUCUUCAGCAUUCUCAGCUGGAGGGUGACCAGGGUUGUGACCAUAAUGUGGUGGCUUCUCUCCCUUAGGUGGUUUGCCAACUGGGGUUGGUGGCUUGUAUGAGUCUUCAGCAUUCUCAGCAGGAGGGUGACCAGGGUUGUGACCAUAAUGUGGUGGCUUCUCUCCCUUAGGUGGUUUGCCAACUGGGGUUGGUGGCUUGUGUUCUGGGAGUGGCUUCUCCCCCUUGGGAGGUUUUUCCAAUGGGGUUGGUUUGUGUUCAGGAGGUGGCUUCUCCACUGGAGGCUUGUGUUCAGGAGGUGGCUUCUCCACCGGUGGCUUGUGUUCAGGAGGUGGCUUCUCCACCGGAGGCUUAUGCUCUGGUGGUGGCUUCUCCACCGGAGGCUUAUGCUCUGGUGGUGGCUUCUUGAAUGGGGGAUGCUGAGGGUAAUCAGCAAGUGAGGGGGCGGUGAGAACCACCAGGCCAAGCAACACCACUAGCAAAUAUGUAGGAGACAUCUUUGGGUUUGGGCUCAGAUGGUGCAAAACUAGGAGAAUUGGCUAGCCUUUUAUAGCGGAUCGUACUCAAUAAUGAAAUGACACGUGUCAUUAUGACCCAUGUGUAAUGGGGUCGAUUUGGGUCCUACAGUGUUGAAAACUUCGACAUCCAGUUUUGGCCUUUUGCUUUCUCUACAGCCGCCUUGCUUUUUCCCUCUUUCCUUUUGUUUUCCUCCUGCCCCAUUCUAUCAACUAAACACAAUUAUGUAGUUGUUUAAUUCUUAAAUGAGAUAUUAUCGGUCAAUCGUAUUAUAUUUUAUCAAGAGAGAACGGAGUGCAAUGCAGCUGUAAUUUUAUCGUUUACUUUUAUCUCUUGGACCACUGCAUUUUUGUUAAGAGGUGCAAUAAUACACGUCUUUAUCUGCCAUUCAAUGUUUACAGUAAAGAGAGGGCACAAAACUCUUCACUGCUCUGCAUGUGUCCCAAAAAUGCGAUUGGACAAAUUAUGAUUUGCAUGCUAAAAAGAGGCAAAUGAGGUUAAUUCGCACCAUAAUUAUUUGGUUUUCUGGACACCAUAAAAAGAUGUUAUACAGGCAGGGAAAAACCUUCAGAGUUAGCUACCAAAGAUAAUUAUCAAGCAGAUAUCACCAAGAGAAUUCCAUAGAGUCUGAAUCAAAGACAGAUUGCUCGCUCGUGGGGGUUCUUACUUUCUUUUGGGUAUAACUCACUGAGGUCACUGUCUUUUUUAUUUGCAUUUCACAGUUAGAGUUCUGCUCUGGAAGGUUUGUUCUGGAAACAUAUAAAAGGAGCAUCAUUUUGUUCUUGGGUAACCCAUAGUCGUGAGUGGGUCCAUUUGCAUGCUACUUAGUUGAAAAGUUGGACAAUUUGCUCCGACGCCUACCUCCUGGAUUCCAUGCUCGGUAAAACAAGAAUAAAAAAAAAUAUAUAAUUUACAAAUGGGGGAAAGAAAAAAUGUCGGAAAAAAUAGUAAAAUUCAUGUCACAUGCUAGUGAGAGAAGGGGUUGUUACACUCACUCGAAGUUCUUUUCAAAAUAUCGAAUGGUAUUUUACUUUAUGUGUCAGCGCAGUUGUGAAUGGAACGUGCAAAAGUCCAAAUUGGCGUUUUUAUUUUUCCCAUGUAGGAUGGUGACCUUUAAUAAAUAUUUAAAACAAAAGACGAAAAAAAAAAGGAGGGAAAAGGGAUCACAAAAGAUAAAAUAAUGUUUACAAAAGCUCAAUUAGUUUGCAAAUUACUGUUUGGAUUUUGAUAGUAUUUUAUUUGUCGUUCUAUAUUUGAUGUAAAAGAGAAUUUAAGAUAUUUCCGAAGCAAAAGCAUUAGUUUGCUCUGUGAUGUCCCACAUCGAAUAGGGGAGAAAGUUUCUGGCGCUAUAUAUGUAGAGGCUCCUCUUAACCAAGUAGAUGCGUUUUAAAACCAUGAGGGCCCCCUUAGGUCCAAAGCGGACAAUAUCUACAUGAUUGGGUGUAAGUCAUUACAAAUGGUAUCAGAGCCGAUCCCCGACCCCGGUGUGGGGGUUUGUUUGGCCCUGUAAGGGGUGUUUGUCUGUUUGACCCCACAAUCCCAUGGGACACAACGAGGACGUUGUGUCUGCAUGGGGGGGCGUUUGUGAUGUCCCACAUCGGAUAGGGGAGAAAGUUCCUAGUGCUAUAUAUGUAGAUGUUUCUCUUAACCAAGUAGAUGCAUUUUAAAAUUGUGAGGGCCUCUUUGGGCCCAAAGCGGACAAUAUCUACAUGGUUGAGUGUAAGUCAUUACAUGCUCCAUGUCAAUUUCAGCAUUUCUCAUAUGUUUCACACAUACACAGAAGAGCAUCGUUUUUUAAAGCAUGCAUUUAUGUUGGAUUAAUUUGGAUUUUGUGGGAACUGGGGCAAGGAUCACAUGGAAGAGAGGUUGACUUUUUUCAGUACUUCAAUGGUUGAAAUAUGUGAAGGCUUGAUUGAUACUAAAGCUUGAAAUUGCGACUCUGUCAUUUGUAAAAAAAUAUGACAGCUUCCAUGCUCUCGUUUGGUUGCAUUGUCCGGUCGAGAGGUGCAAAAAGCAUUCUCUCUCUUCUAAUAGUCUUUUCGUUUAAAUCAAGGGAUUUGCCUUCCCGGUCGAGGUCCAAUAGAGGGUAACGGUCACCUACUAAACAUUAAAUGCUCCAACAACUAGUGAACUGAUCGACCCCAGCUCGACUAGUUGAGGUUACUUUUUGGUUUUCUUGUCUCCCGAGGUUAGAAACCUAUAAAUAGAGAGCUUCACUUCAUUUAUGAGUAAGAGAACACCUAAAUUUAUUUGUUUACCUACUUGUUUUUGCCAUAAAAGCUCUCAUUUCUUUUCUUGGUGUAUUAAAUCUCCAUUUGCAUAUCCUUUAGUGCACCUUUGUGAUUCAUUCUAGCCUUGAGUUGUAUUUAAGCCUUUGUUGAGCUAGGUUGAGAGUUUCAUACUUGUUUAUUGAGUGUUAAAGCCUUCAAGUGAGUUAAAACUUGAAGAGAUUGUGUAAGAGCCCAUUGGAGUCGGAAUCCAAGUGUAAAGGUGAUUAAAAGCUUGGUUGAAGCUUCAAGUUAGUGGAACUCUCACUCGGUUAUGAGCUUGAGAAGAGUGGACAUAGACAAGGCAGUGUCGAACCACUAUAAAAUCUGAGUUUGAUUUCUCUAACCUUAUCUCUUUAUAUUUGCUUCUCUUGUGCUUAAAUUUUUUGUGUUUAAAAAGAAUUUUUAAAAACUCAAUUCACCCCCUUCUUGGGAGUUUUUCUCUUUUAAGAUCAGCUUUUAUUUUCUCAAUUGGUAUCAGAACUAUGCCUCUUGUUUAAGACUUAAUCGUCUAAGAGGAAAUGGCUAAUCCAUCAAGUUCAUCUCACAUUGAAAGUUUUGCAACCAAUAGACUUCUUUUUUUUUUUUUGCGGGAACUGAUUAUCCCUAUUGGAAAACUAAAAUGACUUGGUUUUUACAAUCAAUUGAUUUAGAUGUAUGAGAUGCCAUUGAAGAUGACCUAACUUUUCCUUCAAAACUAGUUGAUGGAGUCAUGGUUCCAAAACCUAAGCAAGAAUGGGAUGAGCGUGAUUGAAGAAAUUUUCAAUUAAAUGCUAAAGUCGUUUAUACUUUGCAAUGCUCUAUGGACAGAAAUGAAUAUAAUAGAAUAUGUCAAUGCAAAUCGGUUAAAGAAAUUUGGAGAUUGCUUGAAAUAACUCAUAAAGGAACAAAUCAAGUUAAAGAGUCAAAAAUCAAUUUACUUGUUCAUAGAUAUGAAUUGUUUUUUAUGAAAGAUAAUGAAACUAUUGUUAAGAUGAUCACUAGGUUCACCAACAUUGUUAAUGGUCUUAAAGCCUUGGGAAAGACCUACAAGGAAUCCGAAAACGUGAUGAAGAUCUUGAGGUCACUUCCAUCAAAGUGGCAUACCAAGGUCACCGCAAUUUAAGAAGCAAAAGACUUGAUCAAGCUACCUUUGGAGGAGUUCAUAGGGUCAUUGAUGACAUAUGAAAUCAAUUUGGCAAAGAAGUAACAAAAAGGUGAAGACAAAAAGAAGAAGAACAUAACUCUCAAAGCUACAACUAAGGAAGAAGAAGUUGAAGAAGAAAAACAAAUUGAAGAAGAUGAAGAUUUAGCCCUCAUCACAAGAAAGUUCAACAAAUUCAUGAGGGGUGAAAGGUUUAGAAGAAGAAGGUUCACUUCUAGAAGAGACUUUUCUAAAAAGGAAUCUUCAUCUAAUGGUGACAAAAAGAGAUGGGAAGAGAAAAGAGACUUGGUGUGUUUCAAGUGCAAGAAACCGGGACACAUUAAAUAUGAUUGUCCUCUCUACAAAAGUGAAGUCAAGAGGAAAAAGAAUAAGGCAAUGAUGGCCACUUAGAGUGAAAGUGAAGAUGAAUCAUCCGAAGAAGAAAAUGAGAAAGAAGUGGCAAACAUGUGUUUCAUGGCAAUAGAUGAACUUGAUGAGGUAAAAUCUAACCUUAGUGAUUAAGAUAUACAUGAUGCAUUUGAAGAAUUGUAUGAGGAUUUUUAAAAACUUAGUUUGAAAAAUAUUUCUCUUAAAAAGAAAGUUCAACAACUUGACAAAGAACUUAGAGAAGUAAAAGAAAAAUUUUCAAAUGUUAAAGUUUCUAAAACUCAUCUUGAAAAAGAAAAUGAGAUUCUAAGAAAGAAAAAUGAAUAGUUGAACUCCUCUCUUUCAAUCUUUUCUUCUAGACAAAAAUCUUUUGAAAUGAUUCUAACUAGCUAAAAAUGUGUUUUUGACAAACAAGGGUUAAGAUUUAAAUCUUCAAAAAAUCAAAAGUAUUUUAAAAACUAUUUUGUAAAGGAAUCCACAAGUGCAAGUCCUUCCACUACUUGCAACUUUUGUGGAAGAGAAUGGCACAUUAGUAGUACGCCCUUUAAGAAAUGGUUCUCAAAAGAAUUUAAAUGCAAAAACUAAAAAAGAUUUGGAUUGAGAAAUCCAAGGUCACUAACCCUCAAGGACCCAAAAAGAUAUAGGUACCUAAAUCAACUUGAGUUUUAUGUUGUAAGGUUCAAAGAAUGAUAAGUGGUUCUUAGAUAAUGGUUGCUCAAGACACAUGACCGGAGAUGAAUCCAAGUUUGCUUUUCUUAAAAAGAAAAAUGGAGGAUAUGUUACCUUUGGAGACAAUGCAAAAGAAAGGAUGAUUGGUCAAGGCAACAUUGGUAAUGGCACAUCCUCUCUCAUUGAAAGUGUUUUAUUAGUAGAUGGUUUCAAACAUAACCUUUUAAGCAUUAGUCAAUUUUGCGACAAAGGUUUUUAAGUGAUUUUUUAAGCAUCUCAUUGCAUCAUCAAGGAUAUUCAAAAUGAUAAAACCAUUUUCAUGGGCCAUAGAUGUGAUAAUGUUUAUGCUAUAAAUAUUUCAAAAUAUGAUGGCCAUGAUAGAUGUUUUUCAAGCAUGCAUGAUCAAAGUUGGUUGUGCCAUAGGAGAUUGAGACAUGCUAACAUAGACCUCAUUUCCCAACUCAACAAAGAUGAACUUGUUAGAGGCCUUCCCAAAAUAAUUUUUUAAAAAGAUAAAGUUUGUGAAGCUUGUCAAGUGGGAAAGUAAAUCAAAAACUCUUUUAAAAACAAAAACUUCAUUUCCACAUCUAGGCCACUUGAGUUGUUGCAUAUGGAUUUAUUUGGUCCCUCUAGGACACCAAGUCUUAGAGGAAAUUCUUAUGCAUAUGCUAUUGUGGACGACUUCUCUAGAUACACAUGAGUCUUGUUUUUUAGUCAAAAGAAUAAAGUUUUUUAUGAGUUUUCAAAGUUUUGCAAUAAGAUUCAAAAUGAAAAAGGUUUUUCAAUUACUUAUAUAAGAAGUGAUCAUGGGAGAGAAUUCGAAAAUAUUGAUUUUGAAGAGUAUUGCAAUGAGCAUGGAAUUGACCACAAUUUUUUGGCUCUUAGAACUCCUCAACAAAAUGGGGUAGUUGAAAGGAAAAAUAGAACUCUUCAAAAAAUGACAAGAACCAUACUAAAUGAAAACAACUUACCAAAAUAUUUUUAGGCCAAAACGGUUAACACUUCUUGUUAUGUUUUAAAUAGAGUAUUAUUGAGGCUCAUACUUAAGAAAACUCCCUAUGAGCUUUGGAAAAACAAAAAACCCAACAUUAGUUAUUCCAAAGUCUUUGGAUGCAAUAUUUUAUAAUAAACACCAAAGACAAUCUUGGAAAAUUUGAUGCAAAAUUGGAUGUUGGAAUUUUCCUUGGUUACUCAACUUCAAGUAAAGCUUUUCGAGUUUUAACAAAAGAACCAUGGUUGUAGAGGAGUCCAUCCAUGUUAUUUUUUAUGAAUCUCCAAGAAAGAGAGAGGAUUGAUGAUGAUUUAGGUUUGAAGACCUCUAUAGGAAGAUUGCAAAUCGAAGAUAGAAGACAACAAGAAGAAAAUGGAGAGAAUCCAAAGAAAGAAGGAUCACCAUUGGCACUACCCCCUCAUCAACAAGCGCAAGGUGAAUCAAGUCAAGAGCUUCCUAAAGAAUGGAAGUUUGUCAUCAAUCACCCACAAGAUCAAAUUAUAGGCAAUCCAUCUAGUGGGGUAAGAACUAGAUCCUCUCUUAGAAAUAUUUGCAAUAAUCUAGCUUUUAUCUCUCAAAUUGAGCCUAAAAAUAUAAAUGAUGUUUUAGAUGAUGAAAAUUGGAUAAUUGCAAUGCAAGAAGAGUUAAAUCCAUUUGAAAGAAGUGGAGUAUGGGAAUUAGUACCAAGACCUUCAAAUCAAAGUGUUAUUGGAACUAGAUGGAUCUUUAGAAAUAAAAUGGAUGAAAAUAGCAUAAUUGUUAGAAAUAAAGCAAGAUUGGUAGCCCAAGGUUUUAAUCAAGAAGAAAUGAUAGAUUAUGAAGAAACCUUUGCCCCCGUAGCUAGGUUGGAAGCCAUUAGGAUGCUACUUGCCUUUGCAUGUUUUAAAGACUUUGUUUUAUAUCAAAUGGAUGUGAAAAGUGCUUUUUUAAAUGGUUUUAUAAAUGAAGAAGUAUAUGUUGAACAACCACCCGGUUUUCAAAGUUUCAACUUUCCUAACCAUGUUUUUAAACUUAAAAAGACACUUUAUGGUUUGAAACAAGCACCUAGAUCAUGGUAUGAAAAAUUGAGUAAAUUUCUUUUGAAAAAAAUGUUUUAAAAUGGGAAAAAUUGACACAACUCUUUUUAUAAAAACCAAAGAAAAUGAUAUGCUCUUAGUUCAAAUAUAUAUUGAUGAUAUCAUUUUUGGUGCUACUAAUGUCUCUCUUUAUGAAGAAUUUUCUAAGUGCAUGCAUAGUGAGUUUGAAAUGAGCAUGAUAGGAGAACUCAACUUCUUCCUUGGACUUCAAAUCAAGCAACUAAAGGAAUGAACCUUCAUCAAUCAAGCAAAGUAUAUAAGAGAUCUUCUCAAAAGGUUCAACAUGGAAGAAGCCAAAACAAUGAAGACUCUAAUGAGCUCAUCCAUUAAGCUUGAUAAGGAUGAGAAAGGUAAAUCCAUUGACUCUAUUAUGUAUAGAGGCAUGAUAGGUUCUUUGCUCUAUUUGACCACUAGUAGACCUUACAUUAUGUAUAGUGUGUGUUUGUGUACUAGAUUUCAAUCUUGUCUUAAAAAAUCUCACUUAAGUGUCGUGAAAAGAAUCCUCAAAUAUUUGAAAGGGACAAUGGACAUAGGCUUAUGGUAUCCUAAGAGUGAUAACUUUGAAUUAAUUGGUUUUUUGGAUGCUGAUUUUGUCAGUUGUAGGGUUGAAAAAUAAAACACUAGUGGCACUUUUCAUUUCUUAAGACACUUACUUGUCUCAUGGCAUAAUAAGAAGCAAAAUUUGGUAGCUUUGUCAACAGCAGAAGCUAAAUACAUAGCAACUGGUUUAUGUUGUGCACAAAUCCUUUGGAUGAAAUAAACACUUAGUGAUUUUGAUUUAUCUUUUGAGCAUAUUCCUAUUAAAUGUGAUAAUAGUAGUGCCAUAAGUAUAUCAAAAAAUCUCGUGCAACACUCUAGGACUAAGCAUAUAGAGAUUAGACAUAAUUUUCUUAGAUAUCAUACACAAAAGGAUGAUAUAACACUUGAAUUUGUAAGCAUAAAAGACCAACUUGCCGAUAUCUUUACAAAACCUCUAAGAACAUUUUGUUGAUAUUAGAGGACAAUUAGGAGUGAUUUCUUUAUGAUCUAAUGUGAUGAAUUCUUGAUGAAUAUACUUUUUGAUUGCAUGAAUUUCAUGUCAUAUAUGCAUCAUAUAGAAAUAUACUUAGAUAAUGGUCAAAUUUCGACCAAAAAUCAAAAUUCCCAUGGCAUUAGGCAUAAAAAUUUUGGAAUUUCAACUGAAAAUGGUAGGAGGAGGAUCACAAAAUGAGAAAGUAUGCAAAAAUUGAAAAAUCAAAACGUUGACCAAGCGGUCAAUCGGACUAGACCGAUCGACUAGUUUGUCGAGAUUUAGGAUUUUUAAGAGACUCCAACGCUUCAAUUUUUGCACCGUUCUCCUCUAUUUCUUCACGGUUUCUCUGAUUUUGUCUUUUAGAGACUAAUUUGAGUGCGUUUUGGAUCAAUUGAAGCAUUUUGGAUUGGAUUUUAGGAAGAUUGAAAGUUAAGGUUUCGGAUUUGGGUCGCCUUCUCUUCCUCUCGCGUGUCACAAUCAGCUUUAGCAUUGUUCUCUUUCCAUUUUCACACACCUAGGGUUUCAGUUGUGAGCAUCUCUCUCUCUUUACCAACCACUACUCCCUUGCUUCUUCCAUAUGGCUCCUAGGCGAGAGUCCGCUACUUCUAGGGCACAAGGCAAGCACCCAACUGAGUCGUCUCAGUCAAAGGCACGUCGAAAAGUGAGAUUUGACAUUGCCUUGUUCAGUUCCAUGGAGGACUACCAACUAUACAAGCAACACUUUGCUUAGAGACGAGUAGUUCCCAAGAGAAAUAUUAAUUUUCCUCAACUUCAGCAUUUCGAAUUUAAGGGUCUAUUUACUAGGAUGGUUGGUUGUCUAUUGUCACAAUUUCGGAGCCGGUUUUCCUGACCUUAGUGCGAGUUUUUUACUCGAGGGCGACUUAUGGCAUGGGUGGCAUGAUCAUUUCUACUGUUGGAGGAGUUGAGAUCUGUCUGGACCCAGAGAGCAUCUGCCAUAUUUUCGAUAUUGCUCUGGUUGGACUCAAAGUAUACAAGUCCAAAAUGUGGCCCAUUGUGCCAGGAUUUGAGCUUAGAGAGGUCAUUCAGAGGAUUUGUGAACUUCCAGACGCCCAGGAGAUGGGCAAACCAUUGCCACACAGUUUGACGGUCAUCAACAGGGUGCUACACCAUAUAUUGUGCUCUAUCUUUCUACCACGAAGUGGACAUUGAGAUGAGGUCUCUUAUUAUGAGGCAUUCCUUAUUGACUCCAUUCUAACGGAGAGACGAAUUCAUCUACUAUGUCAUCAUUCACUAAGCCUCCUCACAGUGACAUACCACCUCAUCAGGCACCUCUUGCUCCUGACCAUGCUCCAUUGAUGGAUUUAUUUACUCAUAUUAGCUCUCUAGGCACUCGCAUGAAGGAGUUUGUUGUAGUUAGUGAUACAUGGUUCUACUCCAUAGAGGAUCGCAUGGAUCAGUAUCAGACUGGCUUCACGUCACAGUUUGAGUAUCUCCAAUAGAGGAUUGAGCAUAUUGAGGAUCACUUGAGCAUGAGAAGAUGAUGGCUUUUCUAUGCUCUGUGUUUCCACCUCCACCUCGUCAACCUUGAUUUCUUAGAGACCCAUUGUUUUCAUUUUGUAAUGUUGCCAAAAGGGGGAGAUAUUUAGGAUCUAGGACUCUAUAGGAGACUUACAUGCAUAUCAUUUUCAUAUCAUUGUUUGGAUCGUACAUAUUGGAUAGUGAUACUUUUUACUUAUAUAUGAUAUGCCUAUAUGUUUCAUGUCUUACAUUGUUUCUUAUUGCAAAUUAUCUCUAACAUGUCUUGAUUAUCUUUUUUUUAACUUCAUAAAUUUUGAUUGUUAACCCAUGAUUGGUUUGAGGGGAAGAUUCUUCUUCUCCUAGAUAACCAAGGUUUGUCAUCAUAAAAAAAUUGGAGAUUGUUAGCCCAAGGGUUCUCCUAAUCAUGUUUUGAUGAUAACAAACCAUGCUUAAGUUACUAAUUGGUUUGAAUUAUAAAGAAUUUCAAGUGUUAAUUUGAAAAUUCAUCAAAGAACCUAAUGGAUGCAAGAUCAAGAUUUUUGGAAGACCUUUAAUCAUAAGAAACAUAUGUAAGAUGAAUGCAUGGGUGCACUUAAGAUUUGCAUAUCAUUUCAUGCAUAUUUGGAAAACACGGUUUAUGCUUUAAAGUUACAUUUCCAUCAAAAUUUGAGAUCCAUCAAAUGAACCUUAGGAAAAAUGUUUUAAAAUUGGCAUAUAAUUUUACCUAAAGACCUUGCCUAAGUGUUAGAAGCAAAAGGACAAAAAAAAUAUAGGUUUUCUGGUCAAAAAUGGUGAACCAGUCAAGGCAUUGUCUAAAUCAGCUCAAUCGGCCAAGGUACCGGUCGAUCGGUUUCCCUUUCCCUGUCGAGAUCUAGUCAAGAGGUACAAAAAUCACAAUCUCUGUCUCUUUCUCUCUUUGUCUAUCUUCCAGUAGUCUUUCCUUCCCGGUCGAGGGAUUUGCCUUCCCGAUUGAGGUCCGAUUGAGAGUAAUAGUCACUUGCCAAAUAUUAAAUGCUCCAACAGUUAGUGAACUGGUCGACCCCCACCUUGCCCAGUUGAGGUUACUUUUUGGUUUUCUUGGCUCCCGAUGUUAGAAACCUAUAAAUAGAGAGUUCCACUUCAUUUAUGAGCAAGAGAACACUUGCAUUUAUUUGUUUACCUACUUGUUCUUGCCUUAAAAGCUCUCAUUUCUUUUCUUGGUGCAUUAAAUCUCCAUUUUGAUAUCCUUUAGUGCACCUUUGUGAUUCAUCUUAGCCUUGAGUUGUAUUUGAGCCCUUUUUUUAGCUAGGUUGAGAGUUUCAUACUUGUUAAUUGAGUGUUAAAGCCUUCAAGUGAGUUGAAACUUGUAGAGAUUAUGUGAGAGUCGAUUGGAGCCGAAAUCCAAGUGUAAAGGUGAUUAGAAGCUUGGUUGAAGCUUCAAGUUAGUGGAAUCCUCACUCAAUUAGGAGCUUGAGGAGAGUGGACGUAGCCAAGGAAGUGUCGAACCACUAUAAAAUUUGAGUUUGAUUUCUCUAACAUUGUCUCUUUAUAUUUGUUUAUCUUGUGCUUAAAUUUAUUGUGUUUAAAAAGAAUUUUUAAAUACCCAAUUCACCCCCCUCUUGGGUGUUUUUCUCUUUUAAAAUUAGCCUUUAUUUUCUCACAAACUAUUGUAGUAUAGUGGUUUUUAGGUGUCAUCCAUUAGGAUGAAUUGUUCUCGGUAAUUAAGGCGUGAAUGAGAGGAGAAUUAAUGAUUGUGAUUAAGUAAAAUUGAUUUGAAAAUUCAUGGUGAAAAAUCAAUUUAACAAUGGUUUCUAAUUGAGAAAAACAAUGAAAUGUGAAAUAAAAUAAAAUUAAUAGGAAAUGAAAUUCUCGAAGUUAGAAUUUUCUAAAAAACAAAUUCCAUGGUGAAUGGAUGUUGAGAUCUAAUUUUCAUCAAGUUAGAUUGAAAACCGAAAUUUUCAUAUAAACUGAUUUUUUAUUUAGUUUUAGGUCUAGAUUUAAUUUCCCUUAAAAUUAGGUUAUUUAAUCCAAGAAAUCAAUUCAAAUCAUAUAUUCAAUUCAUCUUAAAUUAUCUUCCAAUUAUUCACACAAUGCAACUAUUCAAUCUCAUCAAAUCUAGCUUUUAAGAAUUUAAUGAAUCUACCUAGUUUGCAUUGUAAUAGUCAUCCAUGACAAUUUGAAGAGAAAAAUAAUUCAAUUAAUCAAUCACUUGGAUCAAAUUACCUUUGCAAUUAAAGUUCAUUUCUCUAAUUCACCACAGAUUUUGUCUCUAGAUCCUCCUUUCUCAAAGAAAAAUGAGAUUUAGCCACACAUGAUUGGAGAUUUGGUCUCAUAAGGCAUGUUUAGCUAGUGAUAAAAUGAGAGAAAAUAAAGAAAAAUAGAGAAUUCGAUUAAGAAAGAAAAUCUAAAAAAUUCUACAAUUAGAAAUGUCCAAAAAGCUUUUUCAUGAGAAAAUCAAGUUUCUAUUUAUAGGCCAAGGUCAAGUGGACACUUGACAUCAUCUAAGAGGUCUUCCGGAAGCUUCUUCAUCAAGAAAUCUGGAGUUUAAUAAUAAAAUGGUCAUUUCACAAGAGCUCAAACAAUUUCGCAUGAUUAUGUGAAAUAAAAAAUGCAACAACAGCAAUUUACAUCUUCUUGGAGCAUUUCGCAUGACUGUGUGAAAUUUUCACAUGAUCAUGUGGAAUCGACUUGACAACUCUCAUUUAGCCUACAACAUAAUUCCACCUUUUGGUCCAUUUUUCAUAGUCAUGCGAAAUGGAAAUAUUUGAUUUUUAAGUUUUCUUUUGUCAUUUCUUUCAUUUCCUUCUCUUGAUUCCACUUCAACUACCUCCGAAUCCUGGUCCAAACCAAUUGCAUUACUUCUUUCAUUAUGCAUUUGGAUCAUCAUCAACAUUAUUUGUUCUCUUCAAUUUGAUUCAUCUCUUUUGUCACCAAUUUAUCAAAAUCAUACCUUGAAAUGACUCCAAAACUUCAUAAAACUUGUUAGUAACUCUUGCAAGGGCAACAACAUAUUAAUUAAGUGUUUUAGGCAUAGUUACUACUCAAAAGAUGCGAAACUCAUGAUAAUUAUUAUAUAAAAUAUGCUCUUUUUGAGUAGUAAUCAACUUUCUUGCAUAAGCAGACCUUUUAGGGUGGAGUACUAAAGACCAAUAUGCUUGUCCUUGUUGUAAUAAAGAAACUUGCUCUUAUUGAUUGCACCAUGGGAGAAAAUUUUGCUACAUGAGUUAUCAUCAAUUUCUUCCCACCAAUCAUAGAUUUAGACGUGACAAGAGGCCUCUUAAUGGCAAGGAGGAACUGACACUCACACUUAUACAAUUAUCGGGCAUUGAUGUGUUGCAACAAUUAGAAUAACUUACACCAAUUAUGUUGGGGAAGUCACAAAAGGCAAACAUGAAAACUAAAAGGAAAAAAGAAAAAUGUUACAUAUCACCACAACUGGAAAGAAAAAAGUAUUUACUUUCAUUUGCCAUAUUGGAAAGCACUUAUUUUACAUCAUAAUAAUUUAGACAUAAUGCAUAUUGAGAAAAAUGUGUGACAAUAUAAUUGAGACAUUGUUCAGUAUUGACGAAGAAACAAGGACAACCUAAAUAGUCAUCUCGAUUUACAAGCUCUAACUAUUAGAAAUGAGAUUCACCCAAUAGAAAGCAGGACCAAAUUUAUUUUGCUUGCAACAUGCUACUCACUCACCCCAAAUGAGAUUAAGGAAUUUUGCAAGUUUUUGAAAUCAAUAAAGGUCCCCAAUGGCUAUUCUUUCAAUAUCUCUCGUUAUGUGCAACUCAAUGAAAGGAAGAUAUAUGAGCUCAAAUUGUAUGAUUGUCAUGUCCUAAUGCAACAACUUCUCUCACUUGUAGUUCGUGGAGUUCUACAUAAGAAUGUUUGUGGAGUUAUCAUAGAAUUGCGUAAUUUUUUCAAGCAAUUGUGCUCAAAGGUGUUAGAAACAAAUCACUUACACCAACUUGAGAACAAUAUUAUUGUCAUACUAUGUAAAAUGGAGCAAAUAUUUCUUCCAUCAUUCUUUGAUAUUAUGGUGCAUUUACUUGUGCAUCUAGUAAGGCAAAGGUUGCAAGACUUGUGCAAUAUUGUUGGAUGUACCUAAUUGAACGAUAUUGUUAUAAUUUCAUAUGAAUCAUUUAAUUUUAUUUUAUAUUAUGUUCAGUUCAUUAACAUGUACAUUGGUCUACAUAUGGAUGAUGAUAGGUACCUAAGCACUUUAAAGUCAUAUGUGCGUAAUAGAACUUUUCUAGAAGGUUCUAUUGUAGAAAGGUACCUUGCAAAAGAAUGUACAACAUUUUAUUCUAGGUACUUGAAUGAUGUGGAAAUAAAGUAUAAUCACAAUGAUAGAAACUUUGUUGGUUUCAACACUAGAGGAGAUGAAAGGGGUUAUCUUUAAACAUAUUGGACAUGCAUUGGGAAAGCCCAUAUUUCAUUAACUUAGUUCAAAAGAGUGGUCACAAGCACAUUUAUAUGUGUUGACAAAUUGCGAAGAUGUCAUACCAUUCAUUGAGUAAAAAAUUUAUUUGAAUUUUAAUUAAAGCUCUAGUUUAUAUCCUUAAUCAAUGUUUUUUAAAUUCACAAGGAGCACAAGCAAACCAUCAAGGCUAGACCACAUAUACGUGUUUGAGACGUAGAUUUAAUUCAUAACAAGGAAUUUAUCAAGUGGUUUGAAAGACAUGUAAGUAUAUUCCUUAUUAUAAGGGAUUUAUUUCACAUUAUGUUUAUAUUGAAUCCAAACCUAUUAUUGAAUUGUAGGUUGAACAAUUACAUAAUGAAGGUCAUAUAUCUGAACACCUUCUCACAUUAUCAUGUGUUCCAAAUUCAUUAGUUACAUGCUUCAAAUGAUAUAUUGUCAAUGGAUUUAGAUCCCACAUUAAAGAACGUGAUAAAAAAGUUUUUAAAAAAAGACUCAGAAUAAUGGAAUUGUUGUAGUUGCAAAAACGUCAAGCUUUACAAGUGCAUGUGAUAUGAGUCCAAUUAUUAGUGAUGCUCUCUACUAUGGUGUUCUAACUAAAGUUGUUGAGUUACAUUAUCUUGGUGAAAAUAAGGUUGUUUUAUUCGAGUUUGAUUGGUGGGAUGUUACAAAUAUUGGAAAAUUGAUAAAAGAUGAUGAGUACAAUUACACAUUUGUUAACUUUGCAUGAAUUCUAACCACGAACGAACGAUUUGUACUUGCAUCUCCAGCAAAGUAAGUGUUCUAUGUGAAGAAUGCGAAUGAAUCAGAUUGGCAUACUAUCAUGGAGAUGCAACCUCAAGACCUCUAUAAGAUGAACGGGAUAGGAUCCAAUGGUGAUUUUGAACCAUUUCAACAAAGUGAACUACAUGAUCACUAAUAUAUCUCAGAUUUAGUUGAUGAAGAUAUAAUCAAGUGGAACAAAAGUGAUGUUUUAGGACUAAUCAUCCUAAAAAAUAUUGUAGUUUCUUAAAAAAAAAAUGAAAAUGAAGAAGAUAAUUGAACCUUUGUCAUACUUUAAAAAGCAACUAUGCAUUGUUCAUUUUGUAUGUUUUGGUUUUCUUCAUUUAAUUUCCUGAUUUUUGUGAUUCAAUGUCAUAUUAUUGAUCUUGAAAUAUUUUUCUAAUUUUUCAUUCUACGAUGGUUUCAACAAGGAUGACAUCAAGUCAAAAAAGGAAAUGUGGUCCCACACACAAUAUUGCAUUACAGGGAUUAAGGUCAGGGAAGAAGGUAAAAGUUGCAUUUAAUGAGUACAAUCAAUUGGUUAAACAGAAAAAUGGAAAACACUUAUCGAGCUACAUAGGGACACUUGUAUCUAACCAACACAAUGUACCUCUCCAAGCUAGUGAUUGGAAAAAUGUUCCAAAUGAUGCAAAAGAGAAAGUAUGGCCUUUGUUUUGGUAUGUUGUAUUUCUCACUAUAUGAUGUCAUUUCACUGUUAUUCUAUUUUGUGACUAACGUUUGAAUCAUAUGUAAGAAAAAUUUGAAGUAGAUAAAGACUGAAAAGAUUACAUGUUGGGUAUAGCCUCAAAUAAAUAUAGAAGCUAUAAAAAUAUGAUGAAUGCAAAAUACUAUGACCCUUGGCAUAAGGAUGCAUGAGGAGAGGUUAAUACAUAAAUCACCAUUUGUCUCUGAUGUUGAUUGGAAGUGGCUUGUCUCUGAUGCAUAAACCAAAUCCCCCACUGAAUGUUUGAUAUUUGAUAGCAGGAAAAACACACCCGCAGCUAUACACCUCCAUCAUUCAGAUAAUUAUAGUGGGGGAGAUGAUUCAUGGUUGCCCUUAUACCCUUUAUUUGCACCAUCUAUUGAGAUUCUUUAUCAUGGCCAGGUUUUACUGCAGCAAUAAGAUAUGGUGGCAACAAUUUUAUCUAUAGGUGCGGUUCCAGACCGCCUCCAUAGGUGCGGUUCCUGACUGCCUCCAUAGGUGCCUCUUCUUGUAAUGUUUGUUCUGGGAAUUACACUUGAAAGCCUUAUCGUGAUAAGGGAUUACAAACACUAGUUCAGAGGACAGCCAUGUUAAACUUCCACUAUGUUUGUGUCACAUUAUCAGCAGCCUAGUGUUUAUUGGUCAUGCUAUCUGCAACUAAUAUAACCCGGUGAACUUCAAUCUAAAUUCUGAAAGUACUCAUGUGACAGAUGGUGCCUUUCAGCAGAUAUCAUCAAUUUAAAAGUAGUGUGUGUGCCUAUAGGUGGGAAGGCCUUGGCAAAUGUUCAGUAUUCCGGUAAUUCAAGAAGGAUAUAUCUAAAAUAGAUUUUCUUCUUGCCCAUUUCAAUAGUUAAAAUUUGAGAAGAUUGUGUCCACAUCACACAAAUAUUAUUGGUCCUUCUGUUGCAAUUUACCUCUGAACAUGUCUUCCAAUUCCCACGGUCCUGUUACUCCAGGAAAACUAUUUCGGUCAUAUUGAAAAAAAAAAUAUUAAAGAAGGUACACAUGCUUUUAAGUGGACUGGGGCAUUCAUAUCAGGUGGUCUGUAUCCACAUAUGCCACUUCGUGAAAGGUGGAACAGCCUAAUCACUAGGCUAUUUAGUGUGGCCCAGCCACGUUAAUCAAGCACAAGUCUUCAUACUUAAAGUCAAAUGGUGUCUUUAGUCUCAUUACACAUCGCUAUUUGAAGAUUAACUCAUCACUAGUGUAAUGCGAUUAAGACAGUCCUAACUCAAUAUUUGUUCUAGUUUUGGAUGCAAAUGCUUGCUGGUUUCAUCAUUGGAUGGGAUAAAGGUGCAAUCAGGACUAUGAAUACGUGCAGUAAUACUUCAUUCUCUUUUUUCUCAAUGAGACUUCUUGGCACAAUUUUGCUGCUCAGCAACCUACCUUUCCAUGGAAAAUCAGUUGUGACUGAUAGUAAUGGAUAUAUUCUAGAAAGCUAAACAUAGAUAGCAUUCAAUAUUAUCGAUAUAACAUUAACAGCGUAUGUCUCAAUGCUCAUCAGCUACAAGCAAUGGACAAACACUUUGAGUAACUCACAGCAGUCAAAAUUCCUAAACAGGACAGACGUGACAGAUCUAUAUAUAGAACACUGCAUAUGAGUCACAGGAAAAGAUAAUACGGGUACAUAGAAGCUCUUAUUUUACAUAUUACUCAUACUGAUCAAAGUCGCUCAGUUGGGAUGGAUGGGAGAAGGAGGUUUGAGGGGUGGCUUGUGCGGGGAAGUUGGCAGCUUCUUUCCGGGAGCUGGUUGCUUCUUUGCUGGAGUUGAAGGAGGCUUAAUCUUCCGAGGUGGCUUGUAUGAGUCUUCAGCAUUCUCAGCAGGAGGGUGACCAGGGUUGUGACCAUAAUGUGGUGGCUUCUCUCCCUUAGGUGGUUUGCCAACUGGGGUUGGUGGCUUGUUUUCUGGGAGUGGCUUCUCUCCCUUGGGUGGUUUGCCAACUGGGGUUGGUGGCUUGUGUUCUGGGAGUGGCUUCUCCCCCUUGGGAGGUUUUUCGAAUGGGGUGGGUUUGUGUCCUGGUGGUGGCUUCUCUCCCUUGGGAGGUUUACCAAUUGGGGUCGGUGGCUUGUGUUCUGGGAGGGGCUUCUCUCCCUGGGGAGGUUUAGUGGGUGGCUUGUGUUCUGGAGGUGGCUUCUCCACCGGAGGCUUAUGCUCUGGUGGUGGCUUCUCGAAGGGGGGAUGCUCAGGGUAAUCACCAAGUGAGGGGGUGGUGAGAACCACCAUGCCAAGCAACAACACUAGCAAGUAUGUAGUAGACAUCUUUGGGUUUGGACUCAGACAGUGCAAAACUACGAGAAAUCGCUAGCCCUUUAUAGCGGCUCGGACCUAAUACUGACAUAAUAUAAAAUAAAUAUUAUAUUUUAUCAAGAGAGAACAGAGUGUAAUUUUAUCAUUAAUACCGAUCGAGGCCAAAGAAAGAAGACCCAUAAUCCAUUUCCCACAAGCAUACACAAUGCAGCUGUAAUUUUAUCAUUUACUUUUAUCCCUUGGACCACUGCAUUUUUGUUGAGAGACACAAUAACACAUUUUUAUCUGUCAUUCAACAUUUACAGUAAAGAGAGGGCACAAAACGCAAUUAGAUAAAUUAUGUUUUGCCUGCUAAAAAGAGGCAAAUAACUUUAUUUGCAACAUAAUUAUUUUGGUUUCUAGUGACCCCGGGGCCUUUCGGUUGGUUUGGGAUCGGAAAAUGAACAUCAUAGGGGGGGUUGUGCCCUUAUGGGCAUAUAUAUCUGAUAGCUUCAACUGGCCUUGUUCCUAGAAAGAAAUUGCCAAAGAUAUAAACUUAUUCCAGGCUGAAAGUAGAUGAGAGUCAUAAUGAACAUCAACCUUUGUUCAGUUUGAUUCAAUGCCCCCAUAGUGUUCAUUUCACAGAUCUGAAUGAUUAUAUCCGUUGAAUACAUAAAUUAAUGAAGACAAAUAUGAAACCCAAGAUACAUCUCUGCAUAACAACCCCAACCCUGGUUGCUAUGUUUCCCUUCUUCUAUUCACAUGAGGAUACUGGUUAUAAUUGUCAAACUUGCAACAAGCCCUUUGACACCUAACGUCAAUGGACGAAUUAAAAGUCUCCUUCAAACGUCUAUUUCACAGCAUGAAGCUUAUAAAGGAUGCUGACAACCUUCAGAGUUAGCGACAAAAGAUAAUUAUCAAGGAGAGAUAGUUCCAUGAGAAUUCCAAGGAGUCUGAAUCAAAGACAAAUUGCUCACUCAAGGGUUCUUAUUUUCUUUUAGGUACAAAUCUCUUGAGUGUUGUUAAAGAAACACGUCACUGUCAUUUUGAUUUGCAUUUAACAUUUCACUUUUGUUCUGGAAGGUUUGUUCCGGAAACAUAUCAAAUGAGCAUCAUUUUCUUCUUCGGUGACACAUGGUCGCGAGUACGUGGGUCCAUUUUCAUGCCACUUAGUUGAAAAGUUGGAAAGAAAAAACAUGCCAACAAGAAGAUAGUGAGAGAAGGGGCACUUCAAGCCUUUAACAUGAACAAACAGUAAAUAAAAGAUGUUUCUCCACUCAUAAAAGUGUGUUAGAUAGCAAUAUAACGAAUCACAUCCAAAAUCUUUACUAGGCUCAAACAUAAAGAAGACUCAUUUUUAAGAAAAGAUAAAAAUGGCAUUGUCUGAUAGUAUCCAAUACACGAGAUGGCACUUAAUUUGUACAAGAUCUGUCAAUGCUGACGCACAUUUUCUGAUUAAAAAAAAACUGAUCAGUCAAAAGCAAUGAAGAGAAGUGAUGACAAUGAAUGAUGCUUCCAAUAUUUUCACCCCUUAUAGUGUUCUUCAUGAUUCAGAUAUAUAAUUGGAAAUAGAACAACCCUAUGCCAUACAUUCGUCUAAGUAUGGUGUCUAAUUUUUUGUGUCAGCGGUUGCGAAUGGAGCGUGCAAAAGUCCAAAUUGGCGUCUCUCCAUUUCCACAUAGGAAGGUGACCUUUAUUGACAAAUACCCAAUAUUUGUAGACAUUCCUUAAAUAUCAUAACUUCUUGUUGAUUUGAAAAUCAUUUUUCAACUACCAUGUUUUAAUAAAUAUUUUUUAAAAUGUAUUUUUAUCAAAGUCCACCAUGAUGGAUAAUAUUCACCAUGCAAUAAUUAAUAAAGUACAAACUAAGCGAAAUGAAAAGCAUUUUCUUUGCUUUGAGUUGAUUUUGGUUGCAUUGAGUUGAUUUUGGUUUCAUGGUUUUUUCAACUCUUAUUUUGAUUGGAAGAUGUCAAGAAAAGAAAACAUAAAGAAAAAUUAAAAGGGAAAAAAGAAGAAAAAUAAAAAAAAAUAGAUUUAAAAGUUAAUAAAUUAUUUUUUAUAUUUAUUUUAAUUCAUUUCACUUAUUUUUCUUUUACUAUAUAAAAUUUAAAUAAUUUAAAUUUUAUAAUUAAUUUAAUUACAUUUCAUUUUCUUCUAUAUUUAAAUAUUGGAAAAAUAUUUUACUUAAUAUUUUUUUCUUUAAUUUCUUUGGCAUUUUGGGAACCAAACUUAGCCUUUAAAAUAAAAAACAAAAAAAAAAUGAAAAUAAGGAGGGAAAAGUGAGAAAAGAUAAAAACAAUAUGUAAAGGAUUUGAAAAGUAUUAGUUUGUAAUUACUAUUUGGAUUUCAAUAGUAUUUUAUUUGUCUUUCUAUAUUUCAUGUAAGAGAGAAUUUAAGAUAUUCCCCAAGGCAAAGCAUUAGUUACCUGCAAUCAGUGGUGAUAAGGCUCCAAGCCAAUUUUGGGCCCCAUAUCUUAAGACAGUACAAUUUCCAUUUCAACAUUUCUGAUUUCUCAGAUGUUUCACAUACCACAGAAGAACAUUGUUUGUGAAAAUAUGCAUUUAUGUUGGAUUUUGUAUGCUGUGGGGACUGGGGCAAGGAUCAUAUGGAAGAGUGGUUGACUUUUUCUGUACUUUAACGGUUGAAAUAGGAUAAGCACGGGCAUUUGUGAGGCUUAAUUGAUUUUGAAGCCUGAAAUUGCGUUUCUGUCAUUUUGUCAAAAAAAUGGCAGAUUCCAUACUCAUAUGUUUGGCCUGUGGCCAUGUACAGAUGCCAUUUAGUGACCAGUUUGUAACUGUCAAUCGUUGCGUUUUGACUCUGCCUCAACAACAUCUGCCAUUGACGGGUUUUCAUACUUGCAAAUCAAAUAGUCUUUCGUCCCAUCAGGAAUUUCGGUUUAAAUAUUAUUAAGCAUACGUUUGGCUGACAAUCAUUAUCCAGUUCAUGAUUUGGUUUCUUACCCUUAAUCAAUGGUUUCUAAGUGAAUAUAUGUAGAAGGAAAUCCGAAGUGUAGACAGUAGUAUCGAUAACUCUCAAUAUUCUCUAUAUAAUAGAAUAAACAGCGUCAUAGUGAUCGUCGCCUACAAGCAAGGUACAAAUACCAAAACGAGUGACUCACAUAGACAUCUCCCAACAAGAUGUAGUAGUGACUGACACAUGGACACAAUUAACUCGUAGAAAAGGAUAAGACCAUUGCACAGCAGCUCUUAUUUUACAUACUACUUAUGCUAACCAAAGUCAAUUAGUUGGGAUGGGUGGGAGAUGGAGGUUUGUGCGGUGGCUUGUGGGGCGGAGUUGAUGGCUUCUUUCCAGGAGCUUCUGGCUUUUUCAUCGGAGCUGAAGGAGGCUCAAUCUUAUGAGGCGGCUUGUAUGAGUCUUCUUUACUCUCGACAGGAGGGUGGCCAGGGUUGUGAUCAUAAUGUGGUGGCUUCUCUCCCUUAGGUGGCUUGCCAACUGGGGUUGGUGGCUUGUGUUCAGGAAGUGGUUUCUCUCCCAUGGGAGGUUUAGCAAUUGGGGUUGGUGGCUUGUGUUCUGGGAGUGGCUUCUCUCCCUUGGGAGGUUUAGUAGGUGACUUGUGUUCUGGAGGUGGCUUCUCCACCGGAGGCUUGUGCUCCGGUGGUGGCUUCUUGGUUGGAGGGGGCUUGGGGUAAUCAGCAAGAGAUGGGGUGGUGAGAACCACCAGUCCAAGGAACAACACUAGCAAGUAUGUGGGAGACAUUUUUGAGUUUGGGCUGAUCAGAUGAUGCAAAACUAAAGCAUUACGUGACCUUUUAUAGCAUGUAGCUCCCAAUACCCACUAAGUAUUGUGGGGUCCAUUUGUGCCCUACGGGGUUGAAAACUUAGACAAUUGGGCAAGGACCCACCUGACUAUGGAGGACUAGUGAGGUGUGAUCAUAGCUUUAGGAUUUUUCUUCCUCUGCAGCCGUCGUGCCGUUGGCAUGAUUUUCUUAAUCUUAAAUAAAGGCAUAGUUAUAGAGUUGUUUAAUCUCUAAAUGGGAUUUUAUAUAUAUCUUCAGAUAGCCAUUAAUAUAUUUGAUGAAGAAAGAAAGACAAGUGCAUACAACAUGUAUACGACUAGCUUUCAUGGAGUUCAUUUAUGAUCAGUUUUCCUGUACAUGUAAACCAGGAUCAUAUAUAUGUUUCUGUUCCACAACUAUUUUGGAAUCUUGUUUAUCAGUUUUUAUCAUUAUAAUGUCACAUAGGCUGCCAACUUGGGCGCUAAAAGAACCAGUUGGGCUAGUUCGUUUCAGAAUUUCAAUGUGGAUUCAGGAAUUGUUUUGUAAGAUAUGCGAAAUAGUAGAGGGAUGAAUAGUGUUUCAUUAAUAAAAGUGUCCUGUAAAUUAGAAGGUGUCAUAGAAACUAUAAUCAAUAAAUAACUUUUUUUCCCCACGGGUGGUGUUUCUUGUGGGGAUCAGUGACUGGUUUAGGUUCACCCAAAAUGAGUUCAGACUAAAAUUGGUUUGAGUCAAUGCCGUGUCUCUUUUUUCCAGAAAUCAACUAUUUUAUGCAUUGAAUAAAUCAUACAAAGAAAAUAUGAACGCCCGCAAAACCUAAACCCUGGUUGCUAACUUUCUAUGUUUCAGUUCUAUUCACGCAAGAAUAUUAGUUUAAGUUUGGGAAAAAUGGCAACUUACCUAGUGAUUACUUGGUUUUGGUUUGCGACUAUUUACGCAACCAACCAUGAGUUUGACUUUAACGUCAUGGGUUGAAGCCUCCUACAGGAAGGGAGAAAGCUCCACAGCUAGCUCCAAAAGAGAAUUAUCACAUUGAUAGCUCCAGAGAUUCCCAAGGGGACUGAAUCAAAGACAAGUUCCUCACUUUUUCUUCUUUUGAGGCCAAAUAUGAACCAAGGAUCACACAACCUCAUUCAACUUCAUAAGUUUGAUUUCAUGCAGUUGAACACUGGGUGAAGGCCAUGACAAGAAUUGAUUCAAAAAUUCUAUCACUCUUUUAAGUAAUGGAAGAUUAUUAUCUCUGAUUGGCAUCACAACAGCACAUGCUCCUAGAUCUUUCUAGACACUCCAUGCAAUGAAAGCACAAUGGAUCUUGUAACGAUAGAAACUAAGCCAUGCUACAGUACUAGAUGAUGAGGUAAAACUAGUAGACACGGGUGGCAGCCUAUAUGGGAGGGACACAAGUCUAAUUGAUUUGCAUUUCAGCAUUAUAGAUAGGUAUGUUUUGGAAGAUUUGUUCUGGAAAUACCGCACCAAGUAGGAUUCUUUUUCUCUUUAGUGGGUCCACUUGCAUGCCAAUUAACGAGUUGAAAAGUAUGAGCACCUACCUCGUGCUCGUGGAACCGAAGGUCAGUGAAGUGGGGCUCCUUUUGGCCUCGUGUAAACUUGAUUCAGAAGUGAAGUUAAUAGUCUUCCAUUCAGAUGGAUACAUGGGAAUUUUUCUCUUUUAUUUAUUUAUUUAUUUUUUUUUUGUGUGUGUAUGUCAAAGGAUAAUGAAUGAAGCGCGUUAGCUUGUUUUCUGACUGGAACCGCAGAUGUCCAAAUUGGAGUUCCUUCAUUUCUUACUUAGGAUUGUUACAUGUAUAAACAAGGUAUAAGAAAUAUGCCAACGUGUCUUGAGGAGUUAUUGAUUAGAAAUAACAAGUCACCCGACUGUAGAGUUCCAAGAUUUGAAUCUUCAGACCCUAUAGCAGCCUCUGGGGUACGUGGCAUCCUAUAGCAUAUUAAUGAAGGCUUUUUCGAUUUAGACUUCACAAUACCAAUUAAUAUGUAUGCACAAAAUGGAGAUGACCCCAAAAAAAACAGAAUCGCCAUAGUUUAUGAGGUUAAGGUGAUUCUCCACUUAAUAUCUACAUUAGCUAAUUAUGUAAAUCAAAUGAACUUCUAUUUUUCCUUUUUUUUUUUGGUUUAUGUCAAAUAGUAGCCCAUAAUUAACCCAACCAUUAGCCUGUUUGAAUUGAUUUCACAUGCACAAUGUUGUAGUAGUUCAUAUUUUGAAUUUUAUUUUUACAAAGGUAGUUAAGGAAAAUGAAGUAUAAUAAUUAUAAAAGCAGACUAUAUACACUACAAUAAUUGUUAGAAUGGUAUCUCAAAUUCUAAUUUAAAAUAUUAUUUUUUGUAAAAGAAAUAUUAUAUAGAAUAUUUCCUAAUUUUAUAAAUGAUUAUAAUUAGAUCUUUAUAAAAUAAGGAAAGUUGGUAAGAAUAUCUUUAUAAAUAUUUUAGGUCAUGAGAGAAAGAAAUGGGAUAAAAAUGUGAUGAAGAGGUGAAAUAAGAGAGUUGAUUAGGAUAUAGAUGUGAAGAAGAAAGGGAUUCAAUAUAUAUAUAUCUUUCAAUUACCACAUUAAAACCCUGUGAACCUUUUAUAUGGUUUACUUUAUUUUUAUAUUCCUCCUUUAAUAUAUUUACAUUAAUGCUUCCAUUGGCACAACAAUAACGAAUUACAAAUACAAGCAACAAGUCCCAUGUUUUAUUACCAAAAGCAGGUAAAAUCCACCUAAUAUAUUACAAUAUAUUCAUCCAAUAUUUUAGACCAAUUCUUCACCAUAAAUAUCAUAAUGUGGCUUUUGUUCUUUCUUAAAUUUAAAUUGAAUUGUCUUAUAUCAAUUUGUUUGUGAUUUUUUCAUUAACUUCACUUUCAUUUGGUUAUCUUUGGUUUUUGAAAAGUAUUAAGGAAUUAAUUAACAAAAUAAUGUUAAGAAAAAUAAUUUUCUCUCUUUUGAUUUUGAUUUUGUAGUAGAAAAAUAUAAUUAAAAUUAUUUAAAAAGUAUGUAAUUUUAAAUUAUUUAAUAUUUAGAUAAAAAAAAUAAGUCUAAUGAGUUUAAAAUAACAUAUAAAAAUAAUUUAUUUAUUUUAAAUUUAUUUUUUAUUUUCCAUUAUGUUCUCUUUCUCUUUUACUUUUUCAUAUUUUUUCUUACGAAGAAUCAAACACAACCUCAUAUUAUAUGUCAAGUGUUUGUCUAUAUUUGAGCAAUGUUAGAUACGGCCAUGGAUUCAUCAAACUAAACUGAUUUUAAUAGAUACUUCACAAAUUGAUUUAUACACUAAAUCAUUGGAUAGCAAUGAUGCAUUGGAAUUAAACGUAGGAUGAAGCUCGAAGAACACUGUUUGUGUAACAACAUAUUUAUGAAAUUAUGCAAAGGAUGAGCUUCGGGGUAGUAGUACAAGGUCAUUAAUGGAGAGCCGUGUUAAACCUUGAUUGUGAUUGGAUUCCGUUAUCAGCAACAGCAACCUUGUUUGUAACCUUGAAAGUCAUUCUGUCCACAUCGAAACUCCAAUUUGACGUUUGUAAUUACCAUUCCUGGAGUGUUCCUUGAUUGAAAUUUAAAUAAUAAUUGCGGCCCACAAGGAAUAUUUUCGAUUCUGUGGGAAUUUGACAAGGUUUGUUAGAGAAGACUGGUGACAUGUUGACUUCAAUGGUUCAAAUAGGAGACGUAUGUGGAUUUGGGGGGUUUAAUUGAAACUGAGUCCCUAUGGCUUUUUAAUAUUUGCAUUGAGCAGUCUCCAUGUGACUUCCUAAUUCCCACCAACCCUCCUGUCCAUGCUGUGAAACUAAAUUGUAAUUUAUCAGCCUUUGUCAAUGGUUUCUAAAUUAAAGAUAUAGACCAUGCAUGUACUUUAAUAAAAGCAAAUCUAAAGUGUAGAUAGCAGCAAUGGUGACACCCAAUAUUCUCCAUAAAAUAGAAUUAGAAUAAGCAGUGUUACAUUGUUCAUGAUCACCUACAAGCAUACAAGAACUUCCAUGAAUAACUCAUAGCAAUUGCCAACAGGGCGUCGUAGAGACUCAUACAUAGAACACUAUCCACCCAGAGGAAAGGACAAGACCAGUGCGCUGCAGCUCUUAUUUUUCACAUGUAUACCACCACUCGUAAUAACCAAAUUCACUCAGUUGGGAUAGGUGGGAGAUGGUGGUUUGUGGGGUGGCUUGUGGGGAGGAGUUGGAGGAGGCUUUAUUUUCUGAGGCGGCUUGUAUGAGUGUGCAGGAGGAUGCCCGGGAGUGUGACCAUAAUGUGGUGGCUUCUCUCCCGUAGGUGGUUUGCCAAAUGGGCUUGGUGGCUUCUCUCCCUUAGGAGGUUUACCAAUUGGGGUUGGUGGCUUGUGUUCUGGGAGUGGUUUCUCUCCCUUGGUAGGUUUGCCAAUUGGGGUUGGCGGCUUAUGUUCUGGGAGUGGCUUCUCUCCCUUGGGAGGUUUGCUAAUUGGGGUUGGCGGCUUAUGUUCUGGGGGCGGCUUCUCUCCCUUGGGAGGUUUGCCAAUUGGAGUUGGCGGCUUAUGUUCUGGGAGUGGCUUUUCUCCCUUGGGAGGCUUGCCAAUUGGGGUUGGCGGCUUAUGUUCUGGGGGUGGCUUCUCUCCUUUAGGAGGUUUGCCAAUUGGAGUCGGCGGCUUAUGUUCUGGAAGUGGCUUUUUUCCCUUGGGAGGUUUGCCAAUUGGGGUUGGCGGCUUAUGUUCUGGGGGUGGCUUCUCUCCCUUGGGAGGUUUGCCAAUUGGAGUCGGCGGCUUAUGUUCUGGGAGUGGCUUCUCUCCCUUGGGAGGUUUUGUUGGUGGCUUGUGUUCUGGAGAUGGCUUCUCCCCUGGAGGCUUGUGCUCCGGAGGUGGCUUCUGAAAUGGCGGGGGCUUGGGGUAAUGAGCAAGAGAUGGAGUACUGGUGAGAACCACCAUUCCAAGCAACAAUACUAGCAAGCAUGUGGGAGACAUCUUUGAGUAGUUGUAGCUAAGAUGGCGCAACACUGUAGGCAUUGGGUGGCCUUUUAUAAAGGGCUGGACCCAACAGCCAUAUGACACGUGUCAUGAUGACAAAUGAAGUUGAGGGGAUCCAGAUGGGUCCUACUGAGUCGAAAACUUGCACUAAUUGAUCUGGUGAGAUGACUAUUUCUGUCCUUUUGCCCUUCUCGGCCACCCUGUGCUGUUUUCCUUUUGCACGAUUUUCGUUGCCAAACAAGCAAAUAAUAUUUCGCCAAGAAAGAGGAGAGUGAAUGUGGAAUGCAUCAAGUCCCAUCAAGGAUGGCAGAGAAGAAAUAGAAGAUUGCCCAACUGUGAUAAACAUAGCAUACACGUAGCACCAGGAACUUCAUUUACUUCCAUCUAAUGGAACAUAACAAUCUUCUAAAGUUUUUGCAUGAUUUUGUUAUAUGUCUCUUAGCCUAAAGUUGGAAAUGCGCAACAAAUUUUGUCACUUCUCUAUUUCCCACUGAUGAUGUUAAUUAGCCUUCAUAGAUAUCAUCCUUUCUACAAAGUGCUUCAUUUGUGUGUUAUUGUAAAGUGUAAGAAAAGUAAUUGAACAUGUUCUUUUUCCUUUCAUAGAUGACUUUUGAUGUGCAUUUUAAAAGCAGCGCUGUGAGUCGGUGACCUUGAUUCACACGGAAACUAAGGCUCCUAUAGGACCCACUUUUAGCUGGUUAGGGGUGAAGAAAAUAUCAACUUUUCAGAGUGAUUUAAGUCAAGGCCAAGCCUCACUGUGUCAUUACUCGUGUGAAUUUUAUAUGCACAUACAUACAUAAAUAAAGUAUGAGACCCAAAUAACACCUUCCCUUUACAAACUUAACCCCAGCCGCUCUCUUUCAAUUCUUUUCACACAAGGGUAUUGACUCUAUAAAGGUCAAGAAAAUCAUAAUUUCCUAGGGUUUACAAGGUAAUUGGCUUAAUGCUAAUGUGAAAACAUAAAAGAUAAUAGUAUAUUGUAAGCUAACGAAUAUUCUAUAGUUAUAAUUAUUUGUGAUGUGCAUAAAUAAAUCUUCAUAUAUAUAAUGGAACAAUGAAUAAAGAACCAAUGAAAAAAUACUAUAUAUCAUUGCUUGGCAUUUAAACCGUAUAUGCUGCUCUUUCUAGCUACUCCAUCCACUGAAAGACAACAAGGUAAUCCAUGUUAUAAUGAUAGAAGAUACUGUCUCUAGGCUUUUUGUGAUGAAAAAUAUAAGAUAUGGGUAGGGUUGACCCUUGUAUGUUUGUCCUAUAAACACUUCAAAGUAACAUAUUUUUCUUCUUUAGCAACUCAUAAUGAUGGGGUUCAUUUGCAUGUCACUGAGUUGAAAAGUUGGACAAUUGCCCAUGUCGCCUUCCUCCUAGAUUCCGUAGUUCACGGGAAGGUAACUCAAGUUUGACAUAUUUUGAAUUCUUUUCACUCGGACGUCUUCAUAACCUGACAAAACAAAAAUGAAAAACAGAGGAUUGGUAUAUUAUUCAUGGUAAGCCUCAAAUUAUAGUAGUAUGAGAAAGGAGAAAAAGAUUUUGGGAACUCCAAUCUGGAUAAUUCUCGUUUCUUCUCUUGAAUAAAAAUUUCACUUACCUAACUUCGUUUGGAGAAAUGGCAUAUUUUAAUUUUGUACGUCAUUGCUAAUAAAUGGAGCAAUUUAGCAUGUUUUGUGACUGAAACUGCAAAUGUCCAAUUGGCAUUUCUUCAUUUCCCACUUAGGAUCUGAUCUUGUAGACCAUAUAACGAUAUGUAUCUGUGCAAGCAUUGAAAACUAAUGUGAACUAUGAGGAGUUACAAGCCACUGGACUGUAGAGCGAGUGCCAAGAUUUAAAUCUUCAGGCUCUAUCUGGGUAAGGGGAGGAUAGCGACCUAACCUUUUACCAAAGGCUUAGAAUUUAGACUUUUGGAAAAAAAUUUCUCAUGUUUUGGCUGGAUUUCUUGUGCUUGGCGCAAAAAGGAGAUGGCCUCAAGAAAUAGCAGACUCACUUUUGUUUUCAGCCCUUAAUAAUUCUCCACUGCUUUCCAUAACUACAUGGGUUAUACAUGCAGUCUGCUGCAAUAUUCCAGUUAUAUUUAUUAUUUCAAAGAGGGUGAAUGACUUCACAUGCAAUAUGUUGCAGUAACAACCCAAAUUUUGGCACACCAUCUUAAGAAUAGAAAAGUAUAAUAAAAGAAAUCAAUCAGAGAAUCACUUUGCAUGCAGUUCAUAGAGUUCGCCCAAAAUGGAGCCACAUGUACGGACAACCCCACAAUAGACAAUCUUCUCUAUACAGUAAUAAAAUACAGAAAUGGUUAAUGAAGCUCUGUAUUUCCUUAUCAUAUAUGACCGGUUGAAAACUCAGCAAGUCUUCCUCAAUCACAGACAGUUGGAGUUGCUUCAUCAAAAUCAUGCCUUCAUUACUGGCUUCAUUUUGGUUUCAAUGUCUGUUCUACCCUUAAAUUGGGUCUCUGCUUACUACCGGGAUAUCCUUUAGCGUCCUGCAAUUCUACUAGAUUAAAGAGAAUGACUUAAUUCUGCAUUCUGCCGUCCCUAGUCCAAGUGGUACUAGAAUUGAUGUUUCCUUUAGUGUCCUUUCUUCAUACUUUCAGGUUCUUCCCUUGUUUCAAUAAUGCUGUUUUCCUUCAUGUUUAACCUCUGUUGAACCACUUAAAACAACACAAUUUGCACACCAAUGUUUCUUUACAGAAAAGACUGUUUGCAAAAAUGCACAUGUUAUAAGGUUAAUGGAAGAAUUAAUUUGGGGAUAAGGGACUAGGAUUGGGCCAAUGAAGUUUGGUGUUAAAUUUUGAUUAUGAUUGCUUUUCAUUAUCAGGUACCUUAUAUUUGCUGAUGCUAUCUGGAACUAAAUUCAAAUCAGACAUUAUCCGAUUACUAACAGGACAUAUCAUGUCCCUCUGCAGAGUUUCUAAACUAACAUGUAUCGAAAUGUGGCCCCAAAAGGAAGGCUAGGAAGAUGGAGGAUUUUGUAGGAAUCGACCAGAAUCAGAUGGAAGAGAGAUAGUCCUGUUGACUUUAAUGGUUGUGAUAGGAACAUGCAUCAUUAUAUGAGAAGUUGCAUGAAUUUAUGUAUCCUGUUAUCGUUCCUUGACGAUUUCCCAAUGCAAUUUCACUGUCCACAAGACUAACCUCUCCAUGCAGUCAAAUGAAUUGUAAUUUCUCUAUUGGUACCAGUAGUACAUUUCAUACCAAACAUAUAGUAAAUAUAAAAUAUAAAUAGAUCAAGGAAAUCUGAAUUGUAGAUAGCACUGCAAGUAACACUCAAUAUUCUCUAUAUAUAAUAAAAUAAACAGUGUCACAAUACUCAUCACCCAGUGGCAAGGGAGAAAAACCUACAAUGAGUACUCAAAUCACCAUUCUCAAACAGAAACAUAGCAGUGACUGAUACAUAGAACCUAUAUGCUCACAGGGAAAGAAUAAGAUGACCAGUGCACAGCGGGCAGCAGCUCUUAUUUUACGUACAACUCAAAUCCCAAACUAACCAAAGUCGCUCAGUUGGGAUGGGUGGGAGAUGGUGGUUUGUGGGAUGGCUUCUGGGUAGGAGCUGGUGGCUUCUGUCCCUUUGGUGGUUUGCCUAAUGAGCUUGGUGGCUUGUGCUCCGGGAGUUGUUUCUCUCCCUCGAGUAGGUUUCGAGUCUUGUCAGAUGGCUUGUGUUCUGGUGGUGGCUUCUCUCCCUGGGGUGGUUUGCCGAAUGGGCUUGGUGGCUUGUGUUCGGGGAGUGGCUUCUCUCCCUGGAGAAGGUUACGAGUUUUGUCAUAUGGCUUUUGUUCUGGUGGUGGCUUCUCUCCCUGGGGUGGUUUGCCGAAUGGGCUUGGUGGCUUGUGUUCGGGGAGUGGCUUCUCUCCCUGGAGAAGGUUACGAGUUUUGUCAGAUGGCUUGUGUUCUGGUGGUGGCUUCUCUCCCUGGGGUGGUUUGCCGAAUGGGCUUGGUGGCUUGUGUUCGGGGAGUGGCUUCUCUCCCUGGAGAAGGUUACGAGUUUUGUCAGAUGGCUUUUGUUCUGGUGGCGGCUUCUCUCCCUGGGGUGGUUUGCCAAAUGGGCUUGGUGGCUUGUGUUCGGGAACUGGCUUCUCUCCCUUGGGAGGUUCAGUUGGUGGCUGCUGUUCCGUAGGUGGUUUCUUCACCGGCGGCUUGUGCUCCGGAAGCGGCUUCUCUACCUGGAGAAGCUUACGAGUUUUGUCCGAUGGCUUGUGUUGUGGUGGUGGCUUCUCUCCCUGGGGUGGUUUGCCAAAUGGAGUUGGUGGCUUGUGUUCGGGGAGUGGCUUCUCUCCAUUGGGAGGUUUAGUUGGUGAUUGGUGUUCCGUAGGUGGUUUCUGAAGUGGGGGAUGCUUGGGGUAGUCAGCAAGAGACGAGGUAGUGAGAACCACCAGUCCCAGCAGCAACACUAGCAAGCAUGUGGAAGACAUCUUUGAGUUCAGGCUGAGAUCUGUGCAAGGAUAACAGAAUUAGGUGGCCUUUUAUAGAGGCCUGGACCCAACACCCAUAUGACACGUGUCAUGCACUCAUGGUGACACAUAAUUCUAUGGGACCAUUUGGGUCCUACAGAAGUUGCAAAGUUGGACUACUGAGGUGUGAUCACAACUUUUGUCCUUAUUGCUUUCUCUGCGGCCAUUGCACGAUUUCCUUUAGCAUCAUUUUCUUGGCUAAAUAAGCGUAUUAUAUUUGUGGCAGACCGUCCACGUGUCAUAAACAGAUAUAUUAUAAUAAUGUAGUAUGCUUUUCUCCAAUGGAACAUGACACUCUUCUAAGUCUUGUUUUAAAUAUUGUGCAGGAUUACUUUAUACGUUGCAGUUCCAAGUCAAAAUUGGUGGGCAAACGUUGGCCUUUUUUCAUUUCACCUAAGAUUAAUGCUCACCUGGGAUAGGCACUACAUGACUUAUCUGCUCUUUUACUGUAAAGUUGCUUUGUGUAUGAGAUACACCUCCCCUGCACACCCUCAACAUUCGUUGCUCUGUUUUCCUUGUGUCCAGACGAGGAUAUUAAUUGGAGGCUGACAAAACGACUGCUAGCCCAGGAUUUACAAGGUCCUGGUUUGAGGCUUCGGUGAAAGUAUUUUUGAAAAGACACACAUAGAGAUAGUGCGUUUGGUGCAAUGCAGCACUGUGAGCCAUUCUGACGCGUUCUUAAUUUCAAAACUAAUGAAUGCUUCAAAAUUUUAAGAAGUGACAUUUCCAAAUAUUUGAGUUCGUUUAAUUGAACAUUGGAUAACUAGUGAUCAUAGAUUAUUAUCUGUGCUUGGCACUAUAAGAGGGUAUAUGCUUCUUUUUCUGGCCCCUCCUUCAAGGGAGGAGGGACAAUGUGAUCUGUAACGUUAGAAGCUAUUCCAUGUCAUCUUUGGGCUCAGUUCAAAACUAAAAGAUAAUGGGGGGGGGGGGGGGGGGCAUAUCAUUUUAUAUUUCUUCUAGAAGGUUUGUUCUGGAAAUAUUUCACAGGAGCAUAUCUUUUUCUUCUAUUACGUCAUCCGCAGCCUCCAAUAGGUCGGUUAACAAGCCACCGAGUUGAAAAGUUGGAAAAAUGGGAACACAGCCCGCCUCUUGUAUUCAGUAGUUAAAUAAAAGGUCACUAGAAGUGAGAUCCCUUUUGGCGUCUUGAUUUUCAAUCCAGCACCUCUGUGACCUGACAAACCAAAAAAACUAAAAAAUAAAAAACAGUACGUGGGUUGGUGUUAAGCAUCAAGACAUGUUAAUGAAAGAAGGUAGAGAAUAGGAUAUUGAAAUCCCAAUCCUGAUAACAUGAUUUUCUUUGCUAACAACCAUAUUAUAUUUUAUCAAGAAAGAGUAAUGCAUGUGGCGUCCAUCAAGACCCAUUAGAGUUCCGCUAAAGCUAUAGUUCUGUCAACGUUAUCAUUUACGUUUCCUCUAGAUAAUGGCAUUUUCCUCUAAAGCUCUUGCACCAUUAGGCUUCAAGUCAAAAUUUCACAUGUGAACUUUGGAAAUUUUCUCCAUUUGCCCCUAAGGAUACAGUUAGAAUUGACUUAAAAUCCUGAUUGAUAUGUACUAUUAACCAAAGAAUAUUGUAUAUAAUAAUUGAAAUAUUGUUGAUUCAUCGUGGAAAUACAUUUUGUAAGGAAAGUUGUUGAGAAUUUAGUAUGCUAUAUGGAGAAAAAAGUCAUGACUUAAGGUUGUGUAUGUAUAUUCUAUAUCAAAUAUUAGGUAGGAAUGUGGGAAAGAGCAGAGUGUAAUGAUAAGAAACAAAGAAAUAUAAGAUAUUCUUGAAAGUGGAAAAUAUAAAAUGGCUAACGAGUCAAAUUUAUGAUGCGUAAGGGGGAUCAUGUCACAUAAGAAAACCAUGGCAUACUAAAGACGUACGUGUGGUAUGGAGUAAUAAUUUUGUUAAAAUAAGUUUCUUGUUGGAGUACAUUAGGUGACUAUUCAUAACGUAUCAAAUUAAAGAGUCAAGUGCAUCAAUGAAGGCAUAUGUAGAAAAUUUGUUUGUGACAUGUACCAUAAAGAUAAGAUUGACUUGAUAGAAUUUAGUCUAAGUAGGAGUUGUUAAAGGUGUCUUAAAUUUCUAAUUGAUGUAUAUUUUUUUCUAAAAAAAUAUUAUAUAGAUAUUUUAAUAAAUGAUUAAUUCUUUGUAAAAAUACUUACAUAAUAAAAAACAUCAUUAAAAAUAUCUUUAUAAAUAUUUUAAGUUACAAGAAGGAAAAAAACCACUGUGAGAUAAUGAUGAACAUGCAACACUGUACCAAGUAAAUAAAAAUGUGAUAAAAAAAAAAGAGAAACACUCGAUAAAGGAAGGCUCGUAUAUAAAGAGUAAUAUUUUUAAUCAUAUGAUAGAAUGAUUUUCUCUCAUUCAUGAAUAUAGGCAAGAUUGGGGAACCAUUAUAAAAUUUUGUACACCUCGUGUAAAUUGAUGUUUGUCUUCAUAUUUUACACCAACAAAUGACAUUGAAGUUGUCAUUGAUAAAAGGGAAAAGGCAUGCCUCCACACCAUGUGCUUGAUUCGAAUGGUUCAAGUUUGAAGAAUUUUCUCCGGAAGAUCUAAAACAUUUUCGCCUUUAAAUUUCAUUUGAUUAUUAAUAUCCGAAAAAAUAGUUAAAUACUCUUUCUAUUUUUGAGUUGUUGAAUUUUUUGAAAGUUUUUAUAUUUGUUAUCAAGAAUUUCUAUUUUAUUAAGGGUGAAUAUUUAUAAAUAAGAUAUUAUAUAAUAUUUGGAUAAGAGAGAAUGGUGGAAUAUAAUAAAGUUUUAAUCCUUCCCAAUUUUGAACCUUUUUUUUUUUUUUUGAUAUAAUCGCCUUUCUCUUGCAAUCCUAUUAUCAGGUACCUUAUAUUUGCUGAUGCUAUCUGGAACUAAAUUCCAAUCAGGCAUUGUCCAAUUACUAAUAGGACAGAUCAUAUCUCUCUGUUUCUAAACUAACAUGUAUCGUAAUGUGACCUCAUAAGGAAGGCUAGGAAGAUGGAGGAUUUUGUGGGAAGCGACCAGAAUCAGAUGGAAGAGAGAUAGCCCUGUUGACCUAAUGGCUGUAAUAGGAGAAGCGUGUGGUUUUAUGGGACUUAACUGAUACUAAACCUGUAUGAUGCUUGGAGUGGUGUUUCUUUCAUUUUGUUAAGAAAAUAUGGCAGCAUACAUGCUUUCAACUGAGUGCAUCAGAGCAUCCAUAACAGAUGGUCUGCAACCCUAGGUGCAUGCCACUUUCUGACUGAUAAUGAAAUUGUCAGGUACCUGGCCUUGACUAAGCUCAACAGCAUCACAUAAAGAGAAGCUUUCAUACUUAGAUUACUGUUUAAAGUUUUUGCUUAUUUGAUUUCUUAAUGCCAUUAUGACAUUAUUGAUUCAAUUCUGCUUCCGAUUUUCGAAGUUCUGGGCAUCUACUGAUUGCAUCAUUAUAUGAGAAGUUGCAUGAGUUUAUGUAUCCUGUUAUUGUUCCUUUGCGAUUUCACUGCUCACGGGACUAACCUCUCCAUUCAGUCGAAAUGAAUUGUAAUUUCUUUACUGGUAGCAGUAGUACUUUUCAUAGCAAAGAUAAUAGAAAAUAUGAAAUAUAAAUAGAAGGAAAUCUGGAUUGUAGAUAGCACCAUAAGUAACACUCAAUAUUCACUACAUAAUAAAUAGACAGUGUUACAUAGGUAGAGAAACCUACAAUGAGUACUCAUCACCAUUCUCAAACAGAAACAUAGCAGCGACUUAUACAUAGAACCUAUAGGCUCGCAGGGAAAGAGUAACAUGAUAAGUUCACAGCGGGUAGCAGCUCUUAUUUUACGUAUUACUCAAAAUCUCAAACUAACCAAAGUCACUCAGUUGGGAUGGGUAGGAGAUGGUGGUUUGUGGGGUGGCUUCUGGGUAGGAGCUGGUGGCUUCUUUGUUGGAGUUGAAGGAGGCAUAUUCUUCUGAGGUGGCUUGUAUGACUCUUCGGCACUCUCUGCAGGAGGGUGCCCAGGGUUGUGACCAGAAGGAGGUGGCUUCUGUCCCUUUGGUGGUUUGCCUAAUGGGCUUGGUGGCUUGUGCUCCGGGAGUUGUUUCUCUCCCUCGAGUAGGUUUCGAGUUUUGUCAGAUGGCUUGUGUUCUGGUGGUGGCUUCUCUCCCUGGGGUGGUUUGCCGAAUGGGCUUGGUGGCUUGUGUUCGGGGAGUGGCUUCUCUCCCUGGAGAAGGUUACGAGUUUUGUCAGAUGGCUUUUGUUCUGGUGGCGGCUUCUCUCCCUGGGGUGGUUUGCCAAAUGGGCUUGGUGGCUUGUGUUCGGGAACUGGCUUCUCUCCCUUGGGAGGUUCAUUUGGUGGCUGGUGUUCCGUAGGUGGUUCCUUCACCGGCGGCUUGUGCUCCGGAAGCGGCUUCUCUACCUGGAGAAGCUUACGAGUUUUGUCAGAUGGCUUGUGUUGUGGUGGUGGCUUCUCUCCCGGGGGUGGUUUGCCAAAUGGACUUGGUGGCUUGUGUUCGGGGAGUGGCUUCUCUCCAUGGGGAGGUUUAGUUGGUGGUUGGUGUUGCGUAGGUGGUUUCUGAAGUGGGGGAUGCUUGGGGUAGUCAGCAAUAGACGAGGUAGUGAGAACCACCAGUCCCAACAGCAACACUAGCAAGGAUGUUGAAGACAUCUUUGAGUUCAGGCUGAGAUCUGUGCAAGGAUAAAAGAUUUAGGUGGCCUUUUAUAGAGGGCUGGACCCAACACCCAUAUGACACGUGUCAUGCACUCAUGGUGACACAUAAUUCUAUGGGACCAUUUGGGUCCUACAGAAGUUGCAAAGUUGGACUAUUGAGGUGUGAUCACAACUUUUGUCCUACUUGCUUUCUCUGCGGCCAUUGCACGAUUUCCUUUAGCAUCAUUUUCUUGUCUAAAUAAGCGUAUUAUAUUUGUGGCAGACCGUCCACGUGUCAUAAACAGAUAUAUUAUAAUAAUGUAGUAUGCUUUUCUUCAACGGAACUUGACACUCUUCUAAGUCUUGUUUUAAAUACUGUGCAGGAUUACGUCAUAAGUUGCUUGUUCCAAGUCAAAAUUGGUGGGCAAACGUUGGCCUUUUUUCAUUUUCCCUAAUAUUAAUGCUCACCUGGGAUAGGCACUACAUGAUUUAUCUGCUCUUUUACUGUGAAGUUGCUUUGUGCAUGAGUUACACCUCCCCUGCACACCCUCAACAUUUGUUGCUCUGUUUUUCUUGUGUCCAGACGAGGAUAUUAAUUGGAGGCUGACAAAACGACUGCUAGCCAAGGAUUUACAAGGUCCUGGUUUGAGGCUUUCACGAAAGUAUUUUUGAAAAGAUACACAUAGAGAUUGCGCGUUCGGUGCAAUGCAACAAUGUGAGCCAUUCUGAAGUCUUAAAUUUCAGAUUAAUGAAUGCUACAAAAUUCUAAGAAGGGCCGUUUCCAAAUAUUUGAGUUCAUUCAUCCGAACAUCGGGUAUAUGCUUCUUUCUCUAGCCCCUCCUUGAAGGGAGGAGGGACAAUGUGAUCUGUAUCGUUAGAAGCUAUUCCAUGUCGUCAUCUUUGGGCUCAGUUCAAUACUAAAAGAUAUGGGCGGGGCCCUUAUCAUUUUAUAUUUCUUCUAGAAGGUUUAUUCUGGAAAUCUUUCACAGAAACAUAUCUUUUUCUUCUCUACGUGAUCCGUGGUUUGAAAGUUGGAAAAAUGGGUCCGUUAACAAGCCACCGAGUUGAAAAGUUGGAAAAAUGGCAACACCGCCAACCUCUUGUAUUCGAUAGUUAAAUAAAAGGUCACUGGAAGUGAGAUCCCUUUUGGCCUCUUGAUUUUCAUUCCAGCAUCUCUAUGGCCUGAUAAAUUAAAAAACUAAAAAAAAAGACAGUACGUGGGUUGGUGUUAAGCAUCAAGAGUCAAGACAUGAUAAUGGAGAGAAAGGAUAUUCAAAUUCCAGUUCUGACAACAUGAUUUUCUUUGCUGAACUACCAUAUUAUAUUUGAUCAAGAAAGAGUAGUGCAUGUGGCCAGGAUCAAGACAUACAUUAAUUUCCACAUGAUGAAGACAGUUUCUGAGAGUUUCUUCUAAAGCUCUUGCGCGAGUAGGCUUCAAGUCAAAAUCUCCCAUGUAAACACUGGUUUUUCUUUCAUUGCCACUAAGGAUGCAGUUAAUAUUGACUUAAGAUCCUACGUGAUAUAUUUUUUUAAAAGAGCUAUAUUGUAGAUAAUAUUUGAAAUAAUGUUGAUUCGUUGUGGAAAUAUAUUUGUAAGGAAAGUUGUUGACAAUUUAAUAUAGUAUAAGAAGAAAAAAGUUAUCAACUAGCUAGAGAUGAGUAUGUAAAGUGAGGCUCACGAUUCAACGCGUAAAUAUAAGAUAUUUUAAGGCUCAAUAGUUAUGAUAUCUAUUUUAUUUUUUGUAUCUCAUAUAUUCAAAGAUAUAGUAAAAUGAUUUUACAUAUAUAUAUAUAUAUAUAUAUGAACAUAACUAUUUGUGCCAAUUGAUUUUUAUCUUUAUUUUGUAUAUUAGUAAUUAUAUUAAAGUUUUUACUAAUAUAAUAACUAAUAUAAAAGCUUUUUCUAAAAGAGUCAACAGAGCAAAACACUUAUUAUAAAAAAUAAUUUUGAUUGAAGGUGGAGUCAAUUAUUCUUUAUUUAACAUGUAAUGCAUACGGCGUGUACUUCAUAACUAAAGUAUAUAAGUGUAACAUCUCUUAUAUAUUCUCAUUCAAUCUCGAAAGUGGAAAUUUUAAAAAGAUUAAACGGUUCAAAUUUGUCGUGCAUAAAGGGGAUCAUGUCACAUAAGCAAACCAUGGCAUACCAAAGACAUAGGUAUGGACUAAGAAUUUUUUUCAAAUAAGUUUCUUAUUAGGGUACAUUAAUAGGUGACUUUUUAUGACAUAUCAAAGGAGUCAAGUGCACCAAUAAAAACAUAUAUAGAAAAUUCAUGCAUGACAUGUAUCACUAAGAGAAGAUUGACUUGAUAGAGUUUAAUCCAAAUAGGAGAUUGUUAAAAGGUGUCUCAAAUUCUUGAUUGAUAUAUAUUUUUUUUAUUAAAAAGGUUAUUAUAUAGAUAUUUCAAUAGACUAUUAAUUCUUUGUAAAAAUAGUUAUAUAAUGAGGAUGGUGAUUAAAAAUAUCUCUAUCAAUAUUUUGGAUUAUAAAAAGAAAAAAAAUGAGAUAAUGAUAAACAUAUAAAACUUGUACAAGUAGAUAAAGAUGUGAUGAAAGACACUUGAUGAAUGAAGGCUUUGUAUUUCAAGAUAUAAAUAUAUGGAGCAAAACUCUUAAUUAUAUGAUCAAAUGAUUCUCUCAUAUUCAUGAAUAUAAGCAGGAUUGGGGAACCAUGAUAGAAUCUUAUAUGCCUCUCCAUGUAGAGUGAUCGAUGUUUAUCUUCAUAUUUUACACCAGUGAAUGACAUUGAAACUCUUAUUGAUAAAAGGGAAAAGGCAUGGCCUCCACCCCAAGAAAAACAAGUAACCUCGGUUUAAAUCACUAGUCUACACCCCGAAGAGAGAACUAGCCAAACCUACUAAAAGAGAAACUUAACAAUUUAGAAAGAAACCGUCCAUGAUAAAGGGCCCCUAAAGGUCCAAUUCAGUGAGGUCGUGAACAAAAACACUUUCAUGUCAAAACAGAGAUAGGUACCACCAAAAUGUAAAGGGAAAGAUGUAAACCACGUCGAACUUUGGUAAUCAAUGGUAAAGAUAGCAUGAUAGCUAAAAGCACUAAAGCUGUGCUUGGUAUGCAAAAAUGAAAAGUGGAAAUCAGCGUCUUAUUCUUUUUCACCUUUAUUCACAUAUUAGGAUAACUAAUAUCUAAUGUUUUUUAUGUCUCAAAUUCUAUUCCAUGUUAUGGUAAACUUUCAUCUUGUUUAGAUCACUUUUGUCUGGUUUGGGCUCAAGACGAUAAGCCUAUAGAGACUUCAUAUUGGGUUGAAUCGAUGCCCUUGAUCUGAUCUGUUCGUUAGAAAAAUCUGAAUUAUUAUAAGCAUUUAGAUAAAAAAUAAAUAAAUGUGAAACACAAACUACUCCCUGCACAACCUUGACCCUAGUUACUCAGUUUCACUGCUCACAGGACUAACCUCUCCAUUCAGUCGAAAUGAAUUGUAACAAGAAGAUUUUUGACAGGAGGACGGUAGUUUAAAAUAAUAAUUUCUAAAGUACUUUUGUGAAAAAAAAUAAUUCCAAACGUGGAUUUUAUCAAGUAAAAAGAAAAAAAAAAGUUAUUUUCUUUUAAAAUCUGUUCUUCUAAAGAUGAUAUAUAUACCAAAAAAAAAAAUUGUUUUCUGAAGGUAAAAUUUUUAAAAUUCAUUUUUAAAAAAAUUUACACACUAAAAUUAUCUUUUCAAGAGAAGAUUUUUUUAAUUUUAAAUAAUUAUUAAUUUAUAAUUAAUUUGUUAUUAAUUAUUUAUUAAUUUUUUUAUUUGAAAAAUGCAUUUAUAAAAAACAAAUUUGUUAUUAAUUUAUUAAAUAAUUUUUACAAAAUAAAUAAUUUUUUUUUAUUUUAAUUUUAAAAUUAAUUUUAUUAUAUAAAUUUUAAAAUUAAAAAUAUUAAUAUUUAAUUUAAAAUUUAACUAUAAAAGGAAUAAAAUAUAGAAAAAUAAAUUAAUUUAUUAUUCAAUAAAUUAAUUUUCAAUAAAAUUUUCAGCAUUAAGAGAUAAAUUUUUAAGUAUUAAUCAAUUUAAAAAGAAAUAAUGAUCAUUUGUAUAUUAAGAUAUUUUAUUUAGUAAUUAUGAAUGAUAAACAACUAAAGUAAUUUGAAAAAAUAAUAAAAUAUUUAAAAAAUAAUAAUUUAAUACACGUAAAAUUAGAAAUGAUUAACUAUUUUUUAUUAAGAAAAAAUUGAGGAAAUAUUUUGUUAUUUAAAAUUUUUUAUUUGUUUUCAAUUUUUAAUGUUAUAGGUUUCAAGAAAAUUGAUCAAAUAAAAAUUAAGAAGUCAUUUUUUCAAAAACUAUAUAUCUAAAUAAAAGCCUUGAAAUUCAAAUACACAAUAUCAUAAAUAUAAACACCAAGUCAAUCCUUAAUUAUCAAAUGUUUUUAAUAUUAAAGAAUCAAAAUCACCUACUAUCAUGAUAAUAAGAAAACCAAUAAUAUUGUUCAUAUAAAUACUAAAAAGCUAACAAAUAUCCCAAACAAUUAAUAAAGUAUCAAACAUGAUAAAAAGUCAAUUAUUAUCAUGAAUGCAAAAAAUCAAUAAUUUUGUUUAUAUGAACCAUCAACAAAGAAAAAAAAAAUCAAUAUCUAAAUAUUAAACAUAAUUUAUAUUUUUAUAAAUAUUAUUGUUGAUAAAUAUCUUAACAAUUAUAAUUUUAGUAAAUAAAAUUAAUUAAUUUUAGUUUAAGAAUUAUUUUUUUAUACUUUCGUAUUCUUAUCAAAAAUCCCCAUUUUGCAUGUCUCCUUUGGCAUGACUUUCUUACCUAAACAAGCAUAUAUAUAUAUAUAUAUAUAUAAAAUAUUUGGUUAAGAAAGAGUACUAAAGUUUAUAUGGCACACAUCAAGAUAGAAACAGAAGUGGAAGAUAAUCCAAAUGUAUGAACAGAUAUAUUAUAUCCAUGUAGUGGUAGUGACUUCAUUAUUUACUUUUAUCUAAUGGAGCAUGACACACUUCUUCUGAAUAUUUUGCACGAUUAUGUUAUGUGUCAGCUUGUUCUAAGUCAAAACUAGUGAUAAAAAUCGGUUUUUUUUGCAUUUCCUUCAUGAAGAUGGCACCUGGAUGGGGCACUACAUGAGUGGCAUAGCACGAAGUGAUUUAUCUGCUCCCUUUACUAUAAAGUGCUUUGUGUAUAAGUUACACCUCCCCUGCACUGCCUCAACAUUUGUUGUUCUGUCUUCCGUCUGUCCAAACGAGGACAAACGUAUGUUGUAGGUUGACAAAACCACAGCUAGCCUAGGAUUUGCAAGGAUCUAGUUUGAUUCGUAUGCAAAAGGAUUGGUGAAAAGAUUCACAAAGAUAAUGCUUUUUGCAAUGCAAUCUUGUUCUAAUUCAACAGUGUGGACCAUUUUCAUGUAAUGCUUCAACUAGAUGUCAGUUUCAUGAAUUUUUGUUCAUCUAAUUGAUCACUGGAUAGGCCAUAACCCGAAGAAAUUCAAAAUUCCCUUCAGUACUGUAGCUAAGGAAAGAUCCCUAUCUACCACUGGGAUUUUAAGAGGGUAAAAAUGUAGGUGGGUGCCUAUAUCAUUUGCACUUCACUAUAGGCCUCUUUGGGAAGAUUUCUUCUGAAGACAUUUCAAAGAAACAUAUUUUUCUCUUCUCUCCGUAAACGGCAGCUGCAAGUCAGUCCAUUCACAGGCCACCGAGUUGAAAAGGCUGGAAAAUUGGCCAAAGCACCCGCCUCCUGGAUUCCAUGGGUAAGGAAAAGGUCACUGGAGGUGUGAUCCCUGUUGGCCUCUUGAUUUCCAUUCCGCCAUCUAUAUGACCUGAUAACCCAAAAACACAGAAGGAAAACGUCACCUGGGUUCAUAGUAAGCAUCAAGUCAUGAUAGAGACCAGACAACAUGACCAACAAAGAGUAGCGAAUGGGGCCAACAUCAAGCCCCAUUACGGUUAGAAGAUGGAAGAAGUAGAAGACAAUCCAAUUCUGAUAGAUUCGGGCAAAUGUAGUGCUGUUCAAACUUAAUCAUUUACUAUUUCUUCAUGAAUCACGGCAUUUUUCUUCUGAAAAUUUUCCAAGAUUAGGCCUCUGAAGAAAAAUUUCAUAUGUAAAUUGGUAUAUUAAGGAAAAGGCGUUACAAAGGUGAAAAAAAACCAAUCAAAUCUUAUAUAUGACAUCUCAAAAAUAUGAACUUGCUAUAAAUAUUUAAAAUCAAAAUCUUGCACAUCACCUCGUAGUACGAACUUGCUAUAAAACUUGAAAAUCAAGAAGAAAGGGGCAGUAUUGGACGAGACUACUUAGCACAUAUUAUUAUGAUGUUUUUUCAUUUUCUUAAUGUUGUUUUUAUGUCUUAAAUUCUAUUAUUCUAUGUUACGGUAAACAUUCAUCUUGUUUGUGUGGAAUAGGAUCACUUUUCUCUGGGUUGAGUCGAUGCCCUUAGUUAAUUUGUUCAUUUGAAUAAACUAAAUUAUUAUAAGUAUUUAGAUAAGAAAAACGUGAUACAUAAAUUACGCCUCUCGGCACAACUUCAACACUGGUUACUCUGUUUCAGUUUCCUCACACAAGAUUAUUGGUUCUAGGGUUUAUUUGGUUUUGGUUUGAUUCUAAUUGCUAAACUUUCUCAAGGAAGAUGUUAUAUAGGGAGUGAGAAACCUUCACUCUUGGCUACCUCCAAGAGAAGAGCAAGUGGUCUGAAUCAAAGAUAUACUGCUCACUUUUUCUUCUUCUAAGGACAGCUAUGACCUUGCUUUAAGGUUCGAAUAGCCUAAUGCAACCUCCCAUUUCUCAAGUCAGCUGAUGAUGUAAGUCACCUUGGCUUUCCACAUUCAUACGGUGAGGACGUUUGUGGGUGUAAUUCUCUUAACAGUUUUCAUUUUAUAUGGAAAAAUUCAUAAUUAAGGGUAAUUACUGAUUCCAUUUGACAGUGACCAAGUUUAAAAUAUUAAUUCAUAUAUUAAAUGCACAUUAAAAAAUCAUGGAAUAAAUAUAUUUACUAAUAUAUAGUUCUUUUGCCAUGUUCUGUCACAGAAGCAUCGAACUUUCCCUAGAAAUUUUUGCAUGGUAUUCUACUUAUGAUUUUGAAAACUCUAGGCACCUGAGGCCACUAAUUGCAUGGUUGGAUGAGGAGCUGCAUGAGAUUAUGUAUCGUGUUGUUCCUUAACUACAAAUAUCAGUUUUAAGUAGCAUCUCCAUGUGACAUUUUCCUGAUGCAAUUUCGCUGUCCACCAACAAAUUUCACCAUGCAGCAAGAUGAAUUGUAAUUUCUUUAUUGUUAUCAACAGCUUUAAUUAAUCUUGAUAUAUAUAUAUAACUUAGUAGAAGUAUAUUAAUCUAGAUUGUAGUUGCACUAAGAUAAUAGGCAAUAUUAUAACAGUGCCACAAUGCUCAUCGCCAAAUAGAAAGGUAGAAAAACUACAAUGAGUAACUCACAACAUUCUCAAACAGGACAUAGCGGCGACUGAUACAUAGAACACUAUUGGCACUCAGGAAAUGAUAAGAUCAGUGCCCAGCAGGCAGCACGUCUUAUUUUACAUACUACUUAAAACUAACCAAAGUCAUUCAGUUGGGAUGGGUGGGAGAUGGUGGUUUGUGCGGUGGCUUUUGGGUAGUUGGUGGCUUCUUUCCUGGAACUGAUGGUUUUUUUGUUGGAGUUGAAGGAGGCUUAAUCGUCUGAGGUGGCUUGUAUGAGUCUUCAGCACUCUCUGCGGGAGGGUGCCCAGGGUUGUGACCAUAAUGGGGUGGCUUCUCUCCCUUAGUUGGUUUGCCAAGUGGGCUGGCUGGCUUGUGCUCCGGGAGCGGCUUCUCUCCCUUAGGUGGUUUGCCAAAUGGGCUUGCUGGCUUGUGCUCUGGGAGCGGCUUCUCUCCCUCAAGAAGUUUACGGGUUUUGUCAGAUGGCUUGUGUUCUGGUGGUGGCUUCUCUCCUUGGGGUGGUUUGCCAAAUGGACUUGGUGGCUUGUGUUCGGGGAGUGGCUCCUCUCCCUUGGGAGGUUUAGUUGGUGGCUGGUGUUCCAUAGGUGGUUUCUCAACCGGGGGCUUGUUCUCCGUUGGUGGUUUAUGAACUGGGGGAUGCUUGGGGUAGUCAGCAAGAGACGGGGUGGUGAGAACCACCAGUCCCAGCAGCAACACUAGCAAGUAUGUGGAAGAGUACAUCUUUGAGUUCAGGCUGAGAUUUGUGCGAGACUUGAAGAAUUAGGUGGCCUUUUAUAGCUGGCUGCACCCAACACUCACAUGACACGUAUCAUGGUGACACAUGUGCUAUGGGUCCAUUUGGGUCCUACAGAAGCUGAAAACUUUUGACUAUUGAGGUGUGGUCACAACUUUUGUCCCUAUUGCUUUCUCCGCAACCGUUUUACAUGUUUCCUUUGGCAUAAUUUUCUAAGCUAAACAAGCAUAUAUCAUAUUUGGUUAAGAAAGAGUAAAGUGUAUAUGGCACACAUCAAGGAAGAGAAACAGAAAAAGUGGGAGACAAUCAAUUGUGAUAAACAGAUAUAUUAUAUUCAUGUAGUACUAGUGACUUUAUCAUUUACUUUUAUCCAAUAGAUCAUCACUCUUUCUUCUAAAUAUUUUGGAGGAUAAUGGUACAUGUUGCUUGUUUCCAAGUCAAAAUUGGUGGCAAAAAUCGGCAUGAUACGAAAGGAUUGGUGAAAAGAUUCACAUAGAUGGUGCUUUGUGCAAUGCAGUCUUGCUCUAAUUCAACAGAGUGGACCAUGGUGAUGUAUUUUAAAUUUUAAAUUUUAAAUUAAUGCAUGCUUCAAAGUUUUAACUAGAUGUCACUUCCAUGGAUUUUUGUUCAUUUAAUUGAGCACAGGAUAGGCUAUCAAACUUGAAGUAAUAUAAAAAUCCCUUCAUUACUGUAACUAAUGAAAGAUCAUUAUCUGCGCUUGGUAUUUUGCCAAGGUAUUUGCUGCUCUUUCUAGCCCUGUCUUACAGUUAAGGACAAUGUGAUCUAGUUAACCUUAGAAGCUAUUCCAUGUCAGAUACAAGAGAUCAAGCACAUUAUCUUUGGGCUCAGUUCAAAACUAUAAUAUAUGGGUGGGGUGGAGGCCCAUAUCAUUUGCAUAUCACCACUAUUGGUUUAGUUUGGAAGGUUUCUUCUGGAAGAUUGCUGCUUUCUGGAAUCAUUUCAAAGAAAUAUAUCUUUUUGUUCUCUUGGUGACGAGCAGCGGCAAUCAAGUCUGUUGACAAACAACCGAGUUGAAAAGUUUGAAAAUUGGUCACAGCCCACGUCCAUGGUUAAGGAAAAGGUCACUGGAAGUGAUCCCUUCUGGGCCUCUUGAUUUCCAUUCUGACAUCUAUAUGACCUGAUAAAUAGAAAGAAAAAAAAACAGAAGAAAAGCGGCACCCGGGUUCAUAGUAAGCAUCAAGACAGGAUACUGAAAGAAGGGAGAAAGGAGAUUGCAAGUCCAAUCCUGAUAAAAUGAUCAACAAAGAGUAUCAAAAUGGGGCCAACAUAAAGACCCAUUGAGGUUAGCAGAUGGCAUGGCAUUUUUCUCCUUAAGUUUUCCAUGAUUAGACUUGAAGUCAAAAUUUCACAUGUAAAUUUGUAUUUCUACAUUUCCCACUGACGACACCCAACUUCAACUUGAGUUAGAAUAACAUUGUGUGAACUUAUCUGGCCCUCAAAAUUUACUGUGAAGUGCUUUCUGCGUGUGAAGAUUCAGAAAAGCACCAAGGGAACAUGUAUGGUCUGCCUUUUUCUGAUGUUAUGUUUGUCUCUAAUUCUGUUCCAUGUCAUGGUAAAUGUUCACAUUGCUUGUAUGGAACACACCAGGAUCACUUUUUCGGGUUUAUUUUGAGGCUUCAUAUUGGGUUCAUAUUGGGUUCAAUGCUUUUAAUGUGUUCAUUAGACAAAUCUGAAUUAUCAUAUGCAUUUAGAUAAGAACAAUAAUGUGAAACCCUAGUUACACCUCCCCUGCAUAACCCCAACCCUGCUUACUCUAUUUCAGUUUACUCACACAAGUUUUACCGGUUCUUAUAAGUCAAGAAAAGGCAACUGAUGUUGGAUUGACUCUCUUCCAUGUAUAAAAAGCAACUUUUAUAUAUACAUAAAAUAACUUCUUCCCCUCACCAAUGUGGGAUAUCAUGGAUUUAUUCUGGAAACACAUCAAAGGAACAUCUUUUCUCUUGGGUGACCCUAAGUGGUGAGUCAGACCAUUUGCAUGCCAUUGAGUUGCACAGUUGGAUAAAUGCACCUACCUCCUGGGCUCCAGAGUUAAAAGGGUGGAUCCCUGGAUCGCAACCCUCUUGGCAUCUUGGUUUCCAUUCCAACAUCCACAUGACUUGACAAAACAAAAAACAGAAUAAAAUCAUCACUAUUUUCAUGCUAAGCACCAAUACAUGAUGGAAAUCAUUGCUUAAAGAUUUGGGGUCAUUUAGGUUUUGACUGCCUCCUAACACCUCACCUAAUCACAAGUUUUUAUGCUUACAAAUCAAAUAUCGUUCUUCAUUAUAUUAAAAUCAUUUUAAGAUUUCAGAUCCAUCUGCUAAUUAUGAUUAUGAUAACAUUAAUUCACCUGUGCUUCUCAUUUUCGACACACAAGGCAUCUAGGUUUGCAGGAUUUCCUUAUUAGAUGAGAUAAAUGAGUACGCAUGGUUAUGUAUGCAGCAUUCAUUAACCAUGGUAUGUGACAUUUAGAAUUAAGAUAGCAAGCAAACUUUCCCUGCAGCUUGAGUAAAUUGUGAUUUCUUAGCCUCUAUGAGUGGUUCCCAAAUCAAAUUAACAUAGUGAAAUAUACGUAGUCCAGUGAAAGGAAAUGUAAAUUAUAAACUAACAGCACUACACUACUGGUAACACUCGAUACUCUCUAUAUAAUGCAAUGAAAUAUACGUUAUACGUUGCUUGUUCCAAGUCAAAAUUUGUGGCCAAACGUUGGCCUUUUUUCAUUUUCCCUAAGAUUAAUGCUCACCUGGGAUAGGCACUACAUGAUUUAUCUGCUCUUUUACUGUAAAGUUGCUUUGUGUAUGAGUUACACCUCCCCUGCACACCCUCAACAUUUGUUGCUCUGUUUUCCUUGUGUCCAGACGAGGAUAUUAAGUGGGGGCUGACAAAACGACUGCUAGCCAAGGAUUUACAAGGUCCUGGUUUGACGCUUCCGCGAAAGUAUUUUUGAAAAUAUACACAUAGAGAUUGCGCGUUCGGUGCAAUGCAACAAUGUGAGCCAUUCUGAAGUUUUUAAUUUCAGAUUAAUGAAUGCUACAAAAUUCUAAGAAGGGCCGUUUCCAAAUAUUUGAGUUCAUUUAUCCGAACAUCGGAUAAGUAAUGAUCAUAGAUUAUUAUUAUUAUCUGACGUUCUUAUAAUGGUUGGCAUUAUAAGAGGGUAUAUGCUUCUUUCUCUAGCCCCUCCUUCAAGGGAGGGACAAUGUGAUCUGUAUCGUUAGAAGCUAUUCCAUGUCGUCAUCUUUUGGCUUAAGUCAAUACUAAAAUAUAUGGGCGGGGCCCCUGUCAUUUUAUAUUUCUUCUAGAAGGUUUGUUCUGGAAAUCUUUCACCGAAACAUAUCUUUUUCUUCUCUACGUGAUCCGUGGUUGGAAAGUUAGAAAAAUGGGUCCGUUCACAAGCCACCGAGUUGAAAAGUUGGAAAAAUGGCAACACCGCCAACCUCUUGUAUUCGAUAGUUAAAUAAAAGGUCACUGGAAGUGAGAUCCCUUUUGGCCUCUUGAUUUUCAUCCCAGCAUCUCUAUGUCCUGAUAAACUAAAAAACUAAAAAAAAAACAGUACGUGGGUUGGUGUUAAGCAUCAAGAGUCAAGACAUGAUAAUGGAGAGAAAGGAUAUUCAAAUUCCAGUUCUGACAACAUGAUUUUCUUUCCUGAACAACCAUGUUAUAUUUGAUCAAGAAAGAGUAGUGCAUGUGGCCAGGAUCAAGACAUACAUUAAUUUCCACAUGAUGAAGACAGUUUCUGAGAGUUUCUUCUAAAGCUCUUGCGCUAGUAGGCUUCAAGUCAAAAUUUCCCAUGUAAACACUGGAUUUUCUUUAAUUGCCACUAAGGAUACAGUUAAAAUUGACUUAAAAUCCUACGUGAUAUAUAUCUUUAACAAAAGUAUAUUGUAUAUAAUAUUUGAAAUAAUGUUGAUUCGUUGUGGAAAUAUGUUUGUAAGGAAAGUUGUUGACAAUUUAAUAUAGUAUAAGAAGAAAAAAGUUAUCAACUAGAGAUGAGUAUGUAAAGUGAGGCUCACGAUUCAACGCGUAAAUAUAAGAUAUUUUAAGGCUCAAUAGUUAUGAUAUCUAUUUUAUUUUUUGUAUCCCAUAUAUUCAAAGAUACAGUAAAAUGAUUUUAUAUAUAUGAACAUAGCCGAUAGUAUCAUGUUAAAACCUUAUAUGACUCUUUGUGCCAAUUGAUUUUUAUCUUUAUUUUGUGUAUUAGUAAUUAGUAUUAAAGUUUUUACUAACAUAAUAAUUGAUAUAAAAGCUUUUUCCAAAAGAGUCAAACAGAGCAAAACACUUAUUAUAAAAAGAAUUUUGAUUGAAGGUGGAGUCAAUUAUUCUUUAUUCAACAUGUGAUGCAUACAGCGGGUACUUCAUAACUAAAGUAUAUAAGUGCAACAUCUCUUAUACAUUCUCAUUCAAUCUCGAAAGUGGAAAAUUUUAAAAGAUUAAAUGGUUCAAAUUUUCCGUGCAUAAAGGGGAUCAUGUCACAUAACCAAACCAUGGCAUACCAAAGCCAUGAUAUGGACUAAGAAUUUUGUUAAAAUAAGUUUCUUAUUAGGGCACAUUAUGUGACUAUUUAUGACAUAUCAAAGGAGUCAAGUGCAUCAAUAAAGACAUAGAAAAUUCAUGCAUCACAUGUACCACUAAGAGAAAAUUGACUUGAUAGAGUUUAGUCCAAAUAGGAGAUUGUUAAAAGGUGCAUCAAAUUCUUGAUUGAUAUAUAUUUUUUUUAUUAGAAAGGUUAUUAUAUAGAUAUUUCAAUAGACUAUUAAUCCUUUGUAAAAAUAGUUAUAUAAUGAGGAUGGUGAUUAAAAAUAUCUCUAUCAAUAUUUUGGAUUAUAAAAAGAAAAAAAAUAUGAGAAAAUGAUAAACAUAUAAAACUUGUACAAGUAGAUAGAGAUGUGAUGAAAGACACUUGAUGAAUGGAGGCCUUGUAUUUCAAGAUGUAAAUAUAUGGAGCAAAACUCUUAAUUAUAUGAUCAAAUGAUUCUCUCAUAUUCAUGAACAUAAGCAGGAUUGGGGAACCAUGAUAGAAUCUUAUAUGCCUCUCCAUGUAGAUUGAUCGAUGUUUAUCUUCAUAUUUUACACCAAUGAAUGACAUUGAAACUCUGAUUGAUAAAAGGGAAAAAGCAUGGCCUCCACCACAAGAAAAACAAGUAACCUCGGUCUAAAUCACUAGUCUACACCCCGAAGAGAGAACUAGCCAAACCUACUAAAAGAGAAACUUACCAAUUUAGAAAGAAAUCUUCCAUGAUAAAGGGCCCCUAAAAGUCCAAUUCAGUCAGGUUGUGAACAAAAACACCUUCAUGUCAAAACAGGAAUAGGUACCACCAAAAUGUAAAGGGAAAGAUGUAAACCAAGUCGAACUUUGGUAAACAAUGGUAAAGAUAGCAUGAUAGCUAAAAGCACUAAAGCUGUGCUUGGUAUGCAAAAAUGAAAAGUGGAAAUCAGCGUCUUAUUCUUUUUCUCCUUUAUUCACAUAUUAGGAUAACUAAUAUCUAAUGUUUUUUUUAUGUCUCAAAUUCUAUUCCAUGUUAUGGUAAACUUUCAUCUUGUUUAAGUGGAAGAGUAGGAUCACUUUUGUCUGGUUUGGGCUCAAGACGAUAAGCCUAUAGAGACUUCAUAUUGGGUUGAAUUGAUGCCCUUGAUCCGAUCAGUUCGUUAGAAAAAUCUGAAUUAUUAUAAGCAUUUAGAUAAAAUAAAUAAAUAAAUGUGAAACAGAGACUAUUCUCUGCACAACCUUGACCCUAGUUACUCAGUUUCACUGCUCACGGGACUAACCUCUCCAUUCAGUCGAAAUGAAUUGUAAUUUCUUUACUGGUAGCAGUAGUACUUUUCAUAGCAAAGAUAAUAGUAAAUAUGAAAUAUAAAUAUAUAGAAGGAAAUCUGGAUUGUAGAUAGCACCAUAAGUAACACUCAAUAUUUACUACAUAAUAAAAGAGAUAGUGUUACAAAGGUAGAGAAACCUACAAUGAGUACUCAUCACCAUUCUCAAACAGAAACAUAGCAGUGACUUAUACAUAGAACCUAUAGGCUCGCAGGGAAAGAGUAACAUGAUAAGUGCACAGCGGGUAGCAGCUCUUAUUUUACGUAUUACUCAAAAUCUCAAACUAACCAAAGUCACUCAGUUGGGAUGGGUAGGAGAUGGUGGUUUGUGGGGUGGCUUCUGGGUAGGAGCUGGUGGCUUCUUUGUUGGAGUUGAAGGAGGCGUAAUCUUCUGAGGUGGCUUGUAUGAGUCUUUGGCACUCUCUGCAGGAGGGUGCCCAGGGUUGUGACCGGAAGGAGGUGGCUUCUGUCCCUUUGGUGGUUUGCCUAAUGGGCUUGGUGGCUUGUGCUCCGGGAGUUGUUUCUCUCCCUCGAGUAGGUUUCGAGUUUUGUCAGAUGGCUUGUGUUCUGGUGGUGGCUUCUCUCCCUGGGGUGGUUUGCCGAAUGGGCUUGGUGGCUUGUGUUCGGGGAGUGGCUUCUCUCCCUUGGCAGGUUCAGUUGGUGGCUGGUGCUCCGUAGGUGGUUUCUUCACCGCCGGCUUCUCUCCCUGGAGAAGGUUACGAGUUUUGUCAGAUGGCUUCUGUUCUGGUGGCGGCUUCUCUCCCUGGGGUGGUUUGCCAAAUGGGCUUGGUGGCUUGUGUUCGGGAACUGGCUUCUCUCCCUUGGCAGGUUCAGUUAGUGGCUGGUGUUCCGUAGGUGGUUUCUUCACCGGCGGCUUGUGCUCCGGAAGCGGCUUCUCUACCUGGAGAAGCUUACGAGUUUUGUCAGAUGGCUUGUGUUGUGGUGGUGGCUUCUCUCCCUGGGGUGGUUUGCCAAAUGGACUUGGUGGCUUGUGUUCGGGGAGUGGCUUCUCUCCAUUGGGAGGUUUAGUUGGUGGUUGGUGUUCCGUAGGUGGUUUCUGAAGUGGGGGAUGCUUGGGGUAGUCAGCAAGAGACGAGGUAGUGAGAACCACCAGUCCCAGCAGCAAUACUAGCAAGGAUGUGGAAGACAUCUUUGAGUUCAGGCUGAGAUUUGUGCAAGGCUAGAAGAAUUAGGUGGCCUUUUAUAGCGGGCUGGACCCAACAACCAAAUGACACGUAUCAUGAUACACAUAUGUGUUAUAAGAUCCUUGUGGGUCCUACAGAAGUUGAAAACUUUGACAAUUGAGGUGUGAUUACAACUUUUGUCCCUAUUGCUUUCUCGUCAGCCGUUUUGCAAGAUUUUUGACAGGAGGACGGUAGUUUAAAAUAAUAAUUUCUAAAGUACUUUUGUGAAAAAAAAUAAUUCCAAACGUGGAUUUUAUCAAGUAAAAAAAACAAAAAAAAGUUAUUUUCUUUUAAAAUCUUUUCUUCAUGAUUCAUAUACCAAAAAAAGAAUUGUUUUCUGUAGGUAAAAUUUUUAAAAUUCAUUUUUAAAAAAAAAAAAUUACACACUAAAAUUAUCUCUUCAAGAAAAUAUUUUUUAAAUUUUAAAUAAUUAUUAAUUUAUAAUUAAUUUUUUAUUAAUUAUUUAUUAAAUUUAUAUGUGAAAAAUGCAUUUAUAAAAAACAAAUUUUUUAUUAAUUUAUUAAAUAAUUAUUUACAAAAUAAAUAAUUUUGCUUUAUUUUAAUUUUAAAAUUAAUUUUAUUAUAUAAAUUUUAAAAUUAAAAAUAUUAAUAUUUAAUUUAAAAUUUAACUAUAAAAGGAAUAAAAUAUAGAAAAAUAAAUUAAUUUAUUAUUCAAUAAAUUAAUUUUCAAUAAAAUUUUCAGCAUUAAGAGAUAAAUUUUUAAGUAUUAAUCAAUUUAAAAAAUAAUAAUAAUCAUUUGUAUACUAAGAUAUUUUAUUUAGUAAUUAUGAAUGAUAAACAACUAAAGUAAUUUGAAAAAAUAAUAAAAUAUUUAAAAAUAAUAAUUUAAUACACUUAAAAUUAGAAAUGAUUAACUAUUUUUUAUUAAGAAAAAAUUGAAGAAAUAUUUUGUUAUUUAAAAUUUUUUAUUUGUUUUCAAUUUUAAAUGUUAUAGGUUUCAAGAAAAUUGAUCAAAUAAAAAUUAAGAAGUCAUUUUUUCAAAAACUAUAUAUCUAAAUAAAAGCCUUGAAAUUCAAAUACACAAUAUCAUAAAUAUAAACACCAAGUCAAUCCUUAAUUAUCAAAUGUUUUUAAUAUUAAAGAAUCAAAAUCACCUACUAUCAUGAUAAUAAGAAAACCAAUAAUAUUGUUCAUAUAAAUACUAAAAAGCUAACAAAUAUCCCAAACAAUUAAUAAAGUAUCAAACAUGAUAAAAAGUCAAUUAUUAUCAUGAAUGCAAAAAAUCAAUAAUUUUGUUUAUAUGAACCAUCAACAAAGAAAAAAAAAAUCAAUAUCUAAAUAUUAAACAUAAUUUAUAUUUUUAUAAAUAUUAUUGUUGAUAAAUAUCUUAAUAAUUAUAAUUUUUUAUAUAUUAAAUUUAGUAAAUAAAAUUAAUUAAUUUUAUAAUAUAAGAUAUAUAUAAUAAUUAAGAGACUAUUUGUCCCAAACAAUUUAUUUAUUUUUUUUUUAGGAAAUUGUCUCUUCAAGAGACGACUUCUCCCAACAUUUUUAAAAAAAAAAAAAAAAACAUCUAUUCAAAAGACGAUUUCUCCUCAUUUUUUAAAAAUGAAUUUUAGAAAUCAUAUUUUCAAAAAUGAAUUUUAGAAAUCAUAUUUUCAAAAGACGAUUUUUUUUUAUAUAAAUUAUUUUUUAAAAUGACGAUUUUAAAAGGAAAUAACGAUCUCUCUCCUACUUGGCAAAAACUAUGGUAAAUUUGGAAUUAUUUCUUCCACAACCAUAGUUUAAGAAUUAUUUUUUUAUACUUUCGUAGACUUAUCAAAAAUCCCUAUUUUGCAUGUCUCAUUUGGCAUGACUUUCUUACCUAAACAAGCAUAUAUAUAUAUAUAUAUAUAUAUAUCACUUUUGUCUGGGUUGAGUCAAUGCCCUUAACUAAUUUGUUCAUUUGAAUAGUCUAAAUUAUUAUAAGCUUUUAGUUAAGAAAAAUGUGAAACAUAAAUUACACCUCUCGGCACAACUUCGACACUGGUUACUCUGUUUCAGUUUAUUCACACAAGAUUAUUGGUUCUAGGGUUUAUUUGGUUUUGGUUUGAUUCUAAUUGCUAAACUUUCUCAAGGAAGAUGUUAUAUAGGGAGUGAGAAACCUUCACUCCUGGCUACCUCCAAGAGAAGAGCAAGUGGUCUGAAUCAAAGAUAUACUGCUCACUUUUUCUUCUUCUAAGGACAGCUAUGACCUUGCUUUAAAAUGUUCGAAUAGCCUAAUGCAACCUCCCAUUUCUCAAGUCAGCUGAUGAUGUAAGUCACCUUGGCUUUCCACAUUCAUACGGUGAGGACGUUUGUGGGUGUAAUUCUCUUAACAGUUUUCAUUUUAUAUGGAAAAAUUCAUAAUUAAGGGUAAUUACUGAUUCCAUUUGACAGUGACCAAGUUUAAAAUAUUAACUCAUGUAUUAAAUGCACAUUAAAAAAUCAUGGAAUAAAUAUAUUUACUAAUAUAUAGUUCUUUUGUCAUGUUCUGUCACAGAAGCAUCGAACUUUCCCUAGAAAUUUUUGCAUGGUAUUCUGCUUAUGAUUUUGAAAACUCUAGGCACCUAAGGCCACUGAUUGCAUGGUUGGAUGAGGAGCUGCAUGAGAUUAUGUAUCCUGUUGCUCCUUAACUACAAAUAUCAGUUUUAAGUAGCAUCUCCAUGUGACAUUUUCCUGAUGCAAUUUCGCUGUCCACCAACAAAUGUCUCCAUGCAGCUAGAUGAAUUGUAAUUUCUUUGUUGUUAUCAACAGCUUUAAUUAAUCUUGAUAUAUAUAUAACUUAGUAGAAGUAAUUAAUCUAGAUUGUAGUUGCACUAAGAUAAUAGGCAAUAUUAUAACAGUGCCACAAUGCUCAUCGCCAAAUAGAAAGGUAGAAAAACUACAAUGAGUAACUCACACAACAUUCUCAAACAGGACAUAGCGGCGACUGAUACAUAGAACACUAUUGGCACUCAGGAAAUGAUAAGAUCAGUGCCCAGCAGGCAGCACGUCUUAUUUUACAUACUACUUAAAACUAACCAAAGUCAUUCAGUUGGGAUGGGUGGGAGAUGGUGGUUUGUGCGGUGGCUUCUUUCCUGGAACUGGUGGUUUUUUUGUUGGAGUUGAAGGAGGCUUAAUCGUCUGAGGUGGCUUGUAUGAGUCUUCAGCACUCUCUGCAAGAGGGUGCCCAGGGUUGUGACCAUAAUGAGGUGGCUUCUCUCCCUUAGGUGGUUUGCCAAGUGGGCUGGCUGGCUUGUGCUCCGGGAGCGGCUUCUCUCCCUUAGGUGGUUUGCCAAAUGGGCUUGCUGGCUUGUGCUCUGGGAGCGGCUUCUCUCCCCCAAGAAGUUUGCGGGUUUUGUCAGAUGGCUUGUGUUCUGGUGGUGGCUUCUCUCCUUGGGGUGGUUUGCCAAAUGGACUUGGUGGCUUGUGUUCGGGGAGUGGCUCCUCUCCCUUGGGAGGUUUAGUUGGUGGCUGGUGUUCCGUAGGUGGUUUCUCAACCGGGGGCUGGUGCUCCGUAGGUGGUUUAUGAACUGGGGGAUGCUUGGGGUAGUCAGCAAGAGACGGGGUGGUGAGAACCACCAGUCCCAGCAGCAACACUAGCAAGUAUGUGGAUGACAUCUUUGAGUUCAGGCUGAGAUUUGUGCAAGACUAGAAGAAUUAGGUGGCCUUUUAUAGCUGGCUGCACCCAACACUCACAUGACACGUAUCACGGUGACACAUGUGCUAUGGGAUCCAUUUGGGUCCUACAGAAGUUGAAAACUUUUGACUAUUGAGGUGUGAUCACAACUUUUGUCCCUAUUGCUUUCUCCGCAACCGUUUUACAUGUUUCCUUUGUGGUGUUUAAUAGUGUUUUUUUCCUUAAUUCUAAAUAAACCUUAAUACUUAAUAAUGUUAAAUAUUAGGUUAUUUAUUUUUAUAAUAUUUUAUUUAUAUUAAGUAUUAAAAAGUAAAGAAAAAUCAAUAUAUUUAUUUUUCUAUUUAGAAAAAACUAUAUAUUUUUAAUUUUUUUAUUUAAUAAAAAAUUUAUAAUAAAUCAUGAAAAAAUAGAAAAACAAACAACCUAAAUUUUAAAAAUAAAUUGUUUUUAGUAAAAACCCAAAAAAACAAACACCACCUUAACUAAACAAAUAUAUAUUAUAUUUAGUUAAGAAAGAGUAAAGUGUAUAUGGCUCAAAUCAAGGAAGAGAAACAGAAUAAGUGGAAGACAAUCAAUUGUGAUAAACAGAUAUAUUACAUGCAUGUAGUACUAGUGACUUUAUCAUUUACUUUUAUACAAUAGAUCAUCACACUCUUUCUUCUAAAUAUUUUGGAGGAUAAUGGUACAUGUUGCUUGUUGCCAAGUCAAAAUUGGUGGCAAAAAUCGGCAUGAUACGAAAGGAUUGGUGAAAAGAUUCACAUAGAUGGUGCUUUGUGCAAUGCAGUCUUGCUCUAAUUCAACAGAGUGGACCAUGGUGAUGUAUUUUAAAUUUUAAAUUUUAAAUUAAUGCAUGCUUCAAAGUUUUAACUAGAUGUCACUUCCAUGGAUUUUUGUUCAUUUAAUUGAGAACAGGAUAGGCUAUCAAACUUGAAGUAAUAUAAAAAUCCCUUCAUUACUGUAACUAAUGAAAGAUCAUUAUCUGCGCUUGGUAUUUUGCCAAGGUAUUUGCUGCUCUUUCUAGCCCUAUCUUACAGUUAAGGACAAUGUGAUCUAGUUAACCUUAGAAGCUAUUCCAUGUCAUAUACAAGAGAUCAAGCACAUUAUCUUUGGGCUCAGUUCAAAACUAUAAUAUAUGGGUGGGGUGGGGGCCUAUACCAUUUGCAUAUCACCACUAUUGGUUUAGUUUGGAAGGUUUCUUCUGGAAGAUUGCUUUCUGGAAACAUUUCAAAGAAAUAUAUCUUUUUGUUCUCUUGGUGACGAGCAGCGGCAAUCAAGUCUGUUGACAAACAACCGAGUUGAAAAGUUUGAAAAUUGGUCACAGCCCACGUCCAUGGUUAAGGAAAAGGUCACUGGAAGUGAUCCCUUCUGGGCCUGUUGGAAGCAGGGGAGGUUAACACACCAAGCAACAAAGAACAGAGAUAUGCUGCUACUGAUCUAUAUUUUUUAUUUGAUCAUAAGGCUAAAUUUAUACAGAUUGUGUAACAGAUAUGACCUCAAAAAAAAGCAUCAAAUCAAGCUACUUGUUGAACAAACAACUACCUUCUACAAAAUAACAUCAAAAUUUAACUUAAAAGCAAAAACAUAAAAAUAGCAACAGCAAAAAUAGAAACAUAAAAAUAGCUUCAGCAUUCUAGUAAUCUCGUUGACUUCAAUUGCAUGUGGUUGACGAUUUCAGCCUUUUCCUCAGCAGCUACUAAGGCAUAACUCUCAACACUCCUCCUUGACUUAGGAGGUGCAAACUCCAAGUCUUUCUCAUAGAAACUCAAAUCUUAUUUUAGGAAGAGCUUUAGUCAGAAUAUCUACAUUUUGACUGUCUGUAUUGCAGUAGACUAGUUGUAUAUCUCCUUCUUUCUGUACUUCCCUCAAAAAUUACAAUUUAAUCUUGAAGUGCUUUGUUUUACCAUGAAAAACUGGAUCAUUUGCAAUAGAUAUAGUGGCCUGGUUGUCUACAAACACCUUUGUACUCACUUCUUGCUUCAUAUCCAAAUCUGUCAGCAACUUUCCAAGCCAUAAGGCUUGAUUUACAGCUGUAACAGCAGCAAUAUACUCUGCCUCAGCUGUGGAUUGAGCCACGACUUCUUGCUUCCUUGAACUCCAUGAAAAAACACCAGAACCAAAACUAAAACAAUAGCCUGAAGUACUUCUCAUAUCGUCAACACAACCAGCCCAAUCACUAUCAGAAAAUCCAUGAAAAUUGAAACUUUGAACUUGACUGAACUUAAUGCCAUAAUCCACAGUGCCUUUAACAUUUCUUAUCACACGCUUUGCUGCCUGGAAAUGAAUUUCACUAGCACAAUGCAUGUAUCUCGAAAGUAGACUUACAGCAUGCAUUAUAUCGAGUCUUGUUGCAGUCAAGUACAUUAAGCAUCCAAUCAUGCUUCGAUAAAGUCCUUCAUCUACCUUUUUAGCACCGUCCUCCUUACAGAACUUCUCUUUCUGGUUCAUAGGGGUAGAUGUAGGUUUGCAUUCCUCCAUUUUGAAUUUCUUCAUAAUUUCUUUGGCAUAUUUUUGUUGGCAGAUGAAAAUCUCAUUCUGCUUCUGGUGUACUUCCAUUCCCAAGAAGUAAGACAUCUCAUCUAGGUCUGUCAUCUCAAAAACCUGCUCCAUUUCAGCCUUGAAUUUGUUCACAAACCCUGCAUUACUUCCUGUUACAAGCAAAUCAUCAACAUAUAGAGAAACAAUUAAUAUAUCUUCUUCAAUCUUCUUAAUGUAGAGUGUAAAUUCACUCAAGCUCUUGUGAAAGCCUAAAGUUAGCAGGUGAGUGUCAAUCCUGCUGUACCAAGCUCUAGGGGCUUGUCUUAACCCAUACAAGGCCUUCUUAAGAAGGUAUACUUUUUCUUCUUUUCCUUUGAUAGCAAAACCUUCUGGUUGUUCGACAAAAAUCUCUUCCUCUAAGUAGCCAUUCAAAAAUGCUGACUUCACAUCUAGUUGAUAAAUCUUCCAUUUUCUUUGAGCUACAAGAGCCAACAACAUCCUGAUUGUAUCCAAACGAGCUACUGGUGCAAAGGUUUCCGAAAAGUCAACACCAAACAUUUGUGCAUACCCUUUGACAACCAGCCUUGCUUUAUGUUUGUUUAUAGAACCAUCAGAGUUGAGUUUGGUUCUGUAAACCCACUUAACCCCAAUAGGUUUUUUGUGUGAAGGUCUAUCUACUAGCUCCCAAGUGUUGUUCUUGUCAAUCAUAUCUAGCUCCUCCUGCAUUGCAACCCUCCAUCUUUUAUUUUCAGCAGCUUCAACAAACCCUGCAAGUUCAAGAACAGCUAUAUUACACCUUUGAUAAAUAUCAAAAAGUGUCAUGAAACCUCUAACUGGAAGUUCAUCAACAUCUUCAUCAAUAUAUUGCUGAUUCUGCUCAUCCCAACUCCAUUUCUCCGUUUCCAAAAACUUAACAUCUCUACUUACCACAAUUUUACUAUUUUGUGGCAAGUAGAUUCUGUAAGCUUUUGAGGUGCUGUUGUAUCCAAUGAAAAUUCCUGGUUCUGACUUUUUAUCUAGCUUGUCUCUUUUCACCUGAGGAACAUAAGAGAAACACAAGCAACCAAAGGUCUUUAAAUUCAUUAGCAUAGGCUUAUAAGCAAACCAGGCCUCAAAAGGUGUCUGUUUCUGCAAUGCUUUUGUUGGUAGUCUAUUUAGCAAAAAUACUACUGUAUUUGCAGCUUCAACCCAAAAACUUUUUGGCAGCUCUUUCUCAUGCAAAAGACAUCUUGUCAUUGAUUACUACUCAAAAAGUGCUAUUUGAUAGCCUUUAAUUAAUCCUUUUUAACACUUUUGAGUAGUAGUUUAGGCCUUUUAACUCAAUUGGCAUGUUAAGGAUCCUUUAAAGCAAUUUUGAUCACUUUGUGCAAGUUUUGGUGUUUUUGUUAGUAUUUCGAUCACCAAAGCAAGUCAAGAAUGAGGAGAGCUAUGAGGAAUCUUGGGCAAAGCUUAGAAUUCAAUUGCCAAGAGUGAAUCCGGAUUGCAAGGAGAAAAAGCAAAGAGGAUCAGUCAUGGAGCAUAUUCUUGAUGACAGUCGUAGCAGCCACUUUUGGAUCACUUUCUGAAGUCCAAAUGAUGCAAGCUAUAUACCAUUUCAAAGCUCAGGAAGUCAACAAUCCAAUGCUUCAAACGGUGUGCGAUUCGGAAUUGAAACGAAGAAGUUGCAGCCAUUACAAGCCAGACACUCUAAAGUGUUGCGGAAUCAGCCAUGUGUUGCGAGAAUUUCGCAGCACUUUUGUACAGUAAGGUGUUUCUCCUUCUAACGAUGCACGAACCAUGCCGCGAGAAGGGAGCUGGAAACUUCAAGAUGGAAGCCAACUUUGCAGCCUAGUGAAGAUAGCUCGGUCUUGCAAGAUAAUUUCGCAGCCCUCUUGGGUGUCUGCGAAAUUUCGCAGGCCUCAUUUUUCACCUGCGAAAUGGCUCUUGAAGCCUCCCGAAGCUUGCUACCGACAUUGGGAGAUAUUUUCCAUUAGAUUUUUGUUGUCUAAAUCCCAAAAUACUCCUUGUAAACCACCAAUUACAUGAUUCCUUAGUUUUUAAGUUAGUAAAAAGACCAAAUAUCUUUGUAACAAUUAGUUUUAUAUUUUGUUGUUAUAAAUACCUCUCGGGAGCCUGUUCUCAGGGAGGAGUUCCUUCUGUAAACGUUUGGUAAGCAAGUAAAGUCUAUUUUCUUUCUACUGCCUUACCUUCUCACUUUGUAUUUUCAUUUUAUUUCUAAGUUAUGAAUUCUCUGAGGAGUUUUCCCCAAAGAAUGAGUAACUAAACCUCCAAUUCCUUGGAGCUAAGGUUGCCGGGGAAGGUUCCAAGUGCAAGAAUGCAAAGCUCUGUGGUUUUAGCUAGUAAUGAAGAGGAAGUGAAAUCCUUUAGUGAUUUCAAUGUUUUUAGUUAACUUAAAACACUUUGGAGUCACCUGGGCCAACACUUGGUAAGGCAAGUGAUUUCCAACCAUGGAAAUGCACUAGUUUACCCCUUGCGAGCCUCUGGUAGGUGACUUCAAGGUAGGAUUUUCUGGAAUUACCAACACUUGGUAAGCUUUUGGACUCCUAGGAGACAUCCAUUAGUUAUCUCUUGCGAGUUUGUGAAGGGAAUCCAAGGUUAAAGAUCACCUUGAAUGGUAAGUGCUCGUGAGAGGCAUGAACCAUUGCAAGUUGUAUCAGUGAGAGAAUUAAAGUGAAAUCUAAUUGAAGGAGUCUUUGUACAUCACCGGUUAGAGAAUUGACUAUAAGUUGAAUCUCUAAUGCGAGGAAAUGAACCAACUGACCAGAGCCGUGUCUUUUGCAUGAGGAACCACCCCAGUGAACCUAAAUCUCCAAGGAAUGUUUUUUUCUUCCUAAAUUAUUCCAAACUUCUGUUAAGUUAGUUAGUUUAAAUCUCAACCUUUACAAAUCAAAGUUUGUGUUUUAUUCCUUAAGCUAACCGUGAAAUGAAACAAGACCAAUUCACUUGGAAUUGGUAUCAUUGAUUGCCUGCAAAUCAUUCCCAGUGAACGAUCCUAGAGCCACUAUACUAUAGUAGCUUUGUAUUUGCUACCCUAGUGUAUGGUGUUAUAGGUAUAAAUUUUGUUGAUCACUUCCUCAAUCAAGGAGCACCAGCUGAACACAAAUCAGCUGAGACACCAAUUAGGCAUGAGUCAAAUGGCGCCGUUGCCGGGGAAUGAAUGUCAAGUUCAUUGUGAUACCAUUGUUGAGCACUUGUGAUUUUCAUCACAAGUUGGUAAAGUUUCUUUCACUUUACUAAUUUUCAUUCUUUCUUUGUUUAUUUACAAUCUAAGUUUAUCUUUUUAAAUUUUAGUCUAGUUUAAUUUUGUUGUUGUAGCCCUGUUUUUCUUGUUGUCCUCUGUUUUCAUUUUUUUUUUCAGGUAGAUACUAGUUGUGUAUGCCCAAGUGGAUACGAGACAUAGGAGGUAGGCUUGUUAAGUGUGAUACACCUCAGAAAGGAGAAUUUGAAGUAAUCUUGAAUAUCAUGGAGGCUGCACCUGAAGAUCAGCAUAGUCACCAAGGUCGUCAAGACAAUCUCAAUGAAUUCAGAUCAAUGAGGGACCGUAUGCAUCCACCUCGUAUGAGUACACCAUCAUGUAUAGUGCCCCCUACAGAGCAGCUAGUGAUCAGACCAUAUCUUGUUCCACUUCUACCAACUUUCCAUGGGAUGGAAAGUGAGAAUCCGUAUGCACACAUCAAGGAAUUUGAAGAUGUUUGUAAUACAUUCCAAGAAGGAGGAGCUUCAAUUGACUUGAUGAGGCUUAAGUUAUUUCCUUUUACUUUAAAGGAUAAGGCCAAAAUUUGGCUUAAUUCUUUAAGGCCAAGGAGUAUCCGCUCUUGGACUGAUUUACAAGCUGAGUUCCUUAAGAAAUUUUUUCCUACUCAUAGAACAAAUGGCUUGAAAAGGCAAAUUUCAAACUUCUCAGCUAAAGAGAAUGAGAAAUUCUAUGAGUGUUGGGAAAGAUACAUGGAAGCUAUAAAUGCUUGUCCUCACCAUGGCUUUGAUACUUGGCUAUUGGUGAGCUAUUUUUAUGAUGGUAUGUCCUCCUCAAUGAAGCAACUCCUCGAGACAAUGUGUGGAGGAGAUUUCAUGAGCAAAAAUCCAGAGGAAGCUAUGGAUUUCUUGAGCUAUGUAGCUGAUGUUUCAAGGGGAUGGGAUGAACCAACUAAAGGAGAAGUGGGAAAGAUGAAGUCUCAGUUGAAUGCUUACAAUGCAAAGGCUGGGAUGUAUAAUUUGAAAGAAGAUGAUGACAUGAAAGCAAAGUUGGCAGCUAUGACAAGAAGAUUGGAGGAGCUGGAGCUGAAAAGAAUGCAUGAAGUGCAAGCUGUUGCUGAAGCACCAGUGCAAGUGAAGCUGUGUCCCAAUUGUCAAUCAUUUGAACAUUUGGUGGAGGAGUGCCCUGCAAUUUCAGUUGAAAGGGAAAUGUAUAGAGAUCAAGCAAAUGUUGUUGGACAAUUUAGGCCCAAUAACAAUGCUCCUUAUGGAAAUACCUACAAUUCAAGUUGGAGGAAUCAUCCAAAUUUCUCAUAGAAGGCCAGAGCAACUCAAUACCAACAGCCGGAUCCACCAUCUCAGCAAUCUUCAAGUAUUGAACAAAUAAUAGCCAAUCUCAGCAAGGUAGUGGGAGAUUUUGUGGGAAAGCAAGAAGCCACCAAUGCUCGAGUUGAUCAAAGAAUGGAUAGAAUGGAGAGUGUGUUGAACAAAAGAAUGGAUGGAAUGCAAAAUGAUAUGAACCAAAAGUUUGAUAACAUCCAAUAUUCAAUUUCAAGGCUUACAAAUUUGAAUACACUGCAAGAAAAAGGAAGAUUUCCUUCUCAACCUAACCAAAAUCCCAAAGGUGUCCAUGAAGUGGAAAGCCAUGAGGGAGAAUCAUCACAGGUGAAAGAUGUGAAAGCUUUGAUCACUCUAAGGAGUGGUAAGAAAAUUGAGCAGCCAACACCCAUGCCACAUGUUGAGAAAGAAGAAGGGAUAAAGAAAGGAAAGGAAAUAGAAGAUAAAGACAGUGAGAUCAGUGAAGAAAAGAAGGACUCUGAUUCAACAAUCAAAGCAAUUCCAGAGAAAGAGCUUCUGAAGGAAGAAAUGCUGAAGAAAUCAACUUUUCCACCUUUUCCUCAAGCAUUACAGGGGAAAAAGGGGGUUAGAAAUGCAGCUGAAAUCCUUGAAGUCUUAAGACAAGUAAAAGUUAAUAUUCCACUGCUGGAUAUGAUCAAACAAGUUCCAACGUAUGCAAAAUUCCUAAAGGACUUGUGUACUAUCAAAAGAGGGGUUGACUGUAAACAAGAAAGCCUUCUUGACUGAGCAAGUAAGUGCAAUCUUACAAUGCAAGUCUCCUUUGAAGUACAAAGACCCUGGAAGUCCUACCAUUUCAGUCAUGAUUGGAGGAAAGGUAGUGGAGAAAGCCUUGCUAGACUUGGGAGCAAGUGUGAAUUUGCUUCCAUACUCUGUCUACAAGCAACUGGGACUUGGAGAGUUGAAGCCAACAGCAAUCACUUUAUCUUUGGCAGAUAGAUCAGUGAAAAUUCCAAGAGGAGUAAUUGAGGAUGUAUUGGUUCAAGUGGAUAAUUUCUACUAUCCAGUAGAUUUUGUUGUUCUUGAUACUGAUCCAACUGUAAAGGAAGCUAAUUUAGUUCCUAUCAUCCUUGGAAGGCCAUUUCUUGCAACUUCAAAUGCAAUCAUCAACUGUAGAAAUGGGCUUAUGCAACUCACUUUUGGUAACAUGACACUGGAUCUCAAUAUUUUCUAUAUGUCUAAAAAGCAAAUCACUCCUGAGGAAGAAGAAGGUCCAGAAGAGCUAUGUAUUAUUGAUACUUUGGUGGAGGAGCACUGCAAUCAGCAUAUGCAAGAUAAGUUGAAUGAAAGUCUUGUGGAUAUUGAGGAAGGUUUUUCUGAAUCUCCUAUUGGGCUUGCUACUCUACAAAGUUGGAGAAAGAUAGAAGGAAUUCUACCUUUGUUCAAUGAAAAAGAGGAGGCAACUGUUGAAGAAGAAAUUCCAAAACUCAAUUUGAAGCCUUUACCUGUGGAGCUGAAAUAUACAUAUCUUGAAGCAAAUAAUCAAUGUCCUGUUGUGAUAUCCUCAUCUCUGACCAGUCAUCAAGAGAAUUGUUUAAUGGAAGUUCUCAUGAGGUGUAAGAAGGCAAUAGGAUGGCAAAUAUCUGACUUGAAAGGCAUUAGUCCUUUAGUUUGUACUCAUCAUAUAUAUAUGGAGGAGGAAGCAAAGCCAAUUCGUCAAUUUCAAAGAAGGUUGAAUCCUCAUCUACAAGAGGUGGUGCGAGCUGAGGUGCUGAAGCUACUUCAAGCAGGAAUCAUUUACCCUAUUUCUGAUAGCCCUUGGGUGAGUCCUACUCAAGUGGUACCAAAGAAGUCAGGGAUCACAGUGAUUCAAAAUGAAAAAGGGGAAGAAAUUACUACACGCCUCACUUCAGGUUGGAGGGUGUGUAUUGAUUAUAGAAAGCUGAAUGCUGUCACCAGGAAGGAUCAUUUUCCAUUGCCAUUUAUUGAUCAAGUGCUGGAGAGAGUCUCUGGACAUCCAUUUUAUUGUUUCUUGGAUGGGUAUUCAGGCUAUUUUCAAAUUGAAAUUGAUUUGGCAGAUCAGGAAAAGACCACUUUUACAUGUCCAUUUGGAACAUUUGCUUAUAGAAGAAUGCCUUUUGGUUUAUGCAAUGCACCUGCUACAUUUCAAAGAUGUAUGUUGAGUAUUUUCAGUGAUAUGGUGGAGAGAAUUAUGGAGGUUUUCAUGGAUGACAUCACCGUAUAUGGAGGUACAUUUGAGGAGUGCUUGGUUAAUUUGGAAGCAGUUCUUCAUAGAUGCAUUGAAAAAGAUUUGGUGCUGAACUGGGAGAAAUGCCAUUUUAUGGUACGUCAAGGAAUUGUCCUUGGCCAUAUCAUCUCUGAAAGAGGCAUUGAAGUUGAUAAAGCAAAGGUGGAGCUUAUUGCCAAAUUACCAUCUCCAACAACUGUGAAAGGAGUAAGACAGUUCCUUGGCCAUGCAGGGUUCUAUAGGAGGUUUAUAAAAGGUUUUUCAAGUCUUUCAAAACCUCUUUGUGAGCUGUUAGCUAAGGAUGCUAAGUUUAUAUGGGAUGAAAGGUGUCAGCAUAGCUUUGAUCAACUGAAGAAGUUUUUAACAACAACUCCAAUAGUGAGAGCCCCUAACUGGCAAUUACCUUUUGAACUGAUGUGUGAUGCCAGUGACUUUGCUAUAGGAGCUGUGCUUGGCCAAAGAGAAGAUGGGAAGCCCUAUGUGAUUUACUAUGCAAGUAAAACACUAAAUGAAGCUCAGAGGAACUACACAACUACAGAGAAAGAAUUGUUAGCUGUGGUAUUUGCUUUGGACAAAUUUCGAGCUUAUUUAGUGGGGUCUUUCAUCAUUGUCUUCACUGACCAUUCAGCCUUGAAGUAUUUAUUGACAAAGCAAGAUGCAAAAGCAAGGUUGAUUAGAUGGAUUCUAUUGUUACAAGAGUUCGAUCUUCAAAUCAAAGAUAAGAAAGGAGUGGAGAAUGUAGUAGCUGACCACUUGUCAAGGUUAGUUAUAGCACAUAAUUCCCAUCCCUUGCCUAUCAAUGAUGAUUUUCCUGAAGAAUCACUCAUGUUCCUAGUGAAAACUCCUUGGUAUGCUCAUAUUGCUAAUUAUUUAGUAACUGGGGAAAUUCCAAGUGAGUGGAAUGCACAGGACAGGAAGCACUUCUUUGCCAAAAUUCAUGCUUAUUAUUGGGAAGAGCCCUUUCUCUUUAAGUAUUGUGCAGAUCAGAUUAUUAGGAAGUGUGUCCCUGAAGAUGAGCAGCAAGGGAUUCUAUCUCAGUGUCAUGAGAAUGCAUGUGGAGGCCACUUUGCCUCUCAGAAAACAGCCAUGAAGGUAUUACAAUCAGGGUUUACUUGGCCAUCUCUUUUCAAAGAUGCCCACAUCAUGUGUAGAAAUUGUGAUAGAUGCCAAAGGCUUGGAAAGCUAACAAAAAGAAAUCAAAUGCCUAUGAACCCCAUUCUGAUAGUUGAGAUAUUUGAUGUUUAGGGCAUUGACUUCAUGGGACCUUUCCCAAUGUCUUUUGGUAAUUCUUACAUUUUGGUGGGGGUAAAUUAUGUUUCUAAAUGGGUUGAGGCAAUCCCCUGUAAGCAAAAUGAUCACAGGGUGGUUCUCAAGUUUCUUAAAGAGAACAUUUUCUCAAGAUUUGGGGUGCCCAAGGCCAUAAUCAGUGAUGGAGGAGCUCAUUUUUGCAACAAACCUUUUGAAGCUCUGUUAUCCAAGUAUGGAGUGAAGCAUAAGGUAGCCACACCUUAUCAUCCUCAGACAUCCGGGCAAGUUGAGCUAGCUAACAGGGAAAUAAAGAACAUUUUGAUGAAAGUGGUGAAUUCCAACAGAAAAGAUUGGUCUAUUAGGCUUCAUGAUUCAUUGUGGGCAUAUAGAACAGCUUAUAAAACUAUUCUUGGGAUGUCUCCCUAUCGUCUUGUCUAUGGCAAAGCAUGCCAUCUCCCUGUGGAAGUUGAAUACAAAGCUUGGUGGGCAAUAAAGAAGCUGAAUAUGGACUUGAUCAAGGCCGGAGAAAAGAGAUUUCUAGACCUUAAUGAGAUGGAGGAAUUAAGAAAUAAUGCUUAUAUCAAUUCCAAAGUUGCAAAACAGAGGAUGAAGAAGUGGCAUGAUCAACUCAUCUCCAACAAGGAAUUUCAGGAAGGGCAAAAAGUUUUGAUGUAUGACACAAGACUCCAUAUCUUUCCUGGGAAGCUCAAAUCAAGGUGGAUUGGUCCAUUUGUUAUUCACCGAGUAUAUUCCAAUGGAGUGGUGGACUUAUUGAAUUCCAAUGGCAAGGAUAGCUUUAAAGUCAAUGGAUAUCGUCUCAAGCCGUUCAUGGAGUCAUUCAAAUCAGAAAAGGAGGCAAUCAACCUCCUUGAACCUCAAAAAGCCUAAGUGAAAAGGGUUUGCUGGACGUGGCUUUACCACAGUCCAAAAUUUUUGUAAAUUUUGUAAAUUUUCAAGUUGUUUCUAUACUUUUGAUUUUAGUUUUUGAUCUUAAAUCAUGUUUUUAGGUGUGUUUUAAUCGUUUUAAAUGAUCCCAGGUGGAAGAAAUUUCAAGGGGAUUGAAAGAAAAAAAAUCGGGUCGAAAUUGGAGCCGAAACAGAGCAAAAACAGGGGAAAAACAGAGCUCUGCGAAAUUUCGCAGGGUGAAGGAAACCUCUGCGAAAUGAGCAUUUUGUUGCGAAACCAUUCCGCAGCACUGUAGAAGCCUCUGCGAGUGUAUUUCGCAGCUGCGAAAGUGAAUUUGGCACACGAGUGCCACUUCGCAGUACAGUAGCAUCCAUUUGGCAGCUGCGAAACUCAUUGCGAAAUGGAAAAGCGUGAUUUCGCACCAAAAGUCCCAUUCCGCAGGGUAUUUCGCAAUUGCGAAAGUGGUUUUGGCACACGAGUGCCACUCCGCAGCACAGUAACAUCAAUUUCGCAGCUGCGAAACUCACUGCGAAGUUGCUGCGAAAAUGGCAAGUUGCUGCGAAAUUGGCGUUUAGUUGCGAAACUUAAACUGACCCCUGAGCUUCCGUUUUUCCUAUUUAUACCGGUCAAAAGUGCUGCGAAAAGGGUUUCAAAAAUCAGAGCACCAUUCUCGCAGCCCCUUCAUCUUCUUCGCCAAGCCACGCCGUCCGAACCUCCGGUCGUCUUCUCCGUUUAGCAGCGCCGGCCAAAGAUCGAUAUUCCAAAAUGGCACGAACGCGAGGGGCAAAAUCUUCAUCCCCUUCGAAUCGCAAAAGGAGUCUGCGAAAGGAGCCAAGUCCAGGUUCUGCUCCAGAACCUGCUCCAAAGCCUUCGCCGUCGAGACCACAACCUUCUCCAGUGAAGCCGGCGCCACUAAAGCCGCCGGCAAGACGAUAUUUGACAAGGUCAGGCGGUUGGCCAUUGAAGAAGAAGCCCAGGGUUGAGAGCUCUGAACCAAUUGAUUUGACUGAGCAAUCCCCUGAGCAGUCCCCAAAUCCUUCACCAGUUCAAACUCCAGUGCCGUCACCGGUUCCCUCGCCAAUUCCCUCACCUGAAGCAACUCCAAUUCCAUCGUCGGUACCAUCUCCGGCACCCCAAGAAAAAGCUCAGGAGCCUCAAGCGCCAAUUCCAGAGCCCCAAAUUGCAGCUGAAGCACCUCUGGAAGAAGUGAUCCGAAGGCCAAUGCUGCCCCAGCCCCCAAUCGAAGGAAACUUGGAUUGUCGAACACGGGCAUUCCAUUCUGAGCUUUGCUUCGAUUUAACAGCAUUCAGAGUGAGGCCAGAGCUUGCCCAAUCCUUCCAGCUGCUGAGGAGAUAUCAUAUGGAGCAUCUGCUAGCUCCAAGGGAUUUUUUCUAUCCCCGGGUAGUCACGGACUUCUACCAGACCAUGACAACCAAAGAAGUAAGAAAUCCAACUCUGAUCCAUUUCAUAAUUGAUGGAAGGCAUGGUAUUUUGGGAGCAAGACACAUUGCUGAAGCUCUGCAAAUUCCUUUUGAGCCAACCCAAUUCGACAAUUUUAAAGCUUGGGUAAAUCCUACUGAGUUAGAGAUGGUUCGCACACUAACCAGAGGAGCUGCAAAUCGAUCACACCUGUUGAGGGGGGAGCUACCUCCAGUGAUGUUUUUGAUUGAUGCCUUUUUGAGGCAUAAUAUCUAUCCCCUGCAGCAUUGGACCCAAAGAAGGGGAAUUCUCCUGGAAGCUUUGUACAAGAUGUCAGAAGGAUUCUUCUUUGGGCCCCAUCAUCUUAUCAUGGCAGCCCUUCUAUACUUUGAGGAAAAGGUUCACAAGAAGAAACUUCAAAGAGCAGAUUGCAUUCCACUCCUCUUCCCAAGGCUGCUAUGCCAAGUUUUGGAGCAUCUCGGAUACCCCUCUGAGCCUCAGCAGGAAAGAAAGAGAAUAUGCCGUGAGCCAUUUACUCUUGAUAAAUGGAAUAAUAUGACGGCCUACAAAAUUGAUCAGCCUGGGCAGCCUCAGCCAGCAGCAAGGAGAGCCUCCCCAAGACAUGCACCUGAAGGUAUAACACUUGCUACUCCUGCCAUCCCUCGAGCUUCACCAGCUGCACCUGCUGCAUCACAGCCAUCCACAUCAGCUGAGCCGAGGAUGGCCAUCCCUAUAUCCGAAUAUCGAGAGCUGUGCCGAGCAUUGGAGACUCUUACAGCUUCCCAGAGCAAUCUUGCUCAAGAGUUGGCAGCCAUCAAAGCAUGCCAGGAGCAGAUGUUAGCCUCUCAGGCUCAACAAGCUGCCAUCCUAAGGCAGCUUCAAGUCCAUUUCGAUCUGCCACAAGCUGUAGAGCCCUCCACUGAGACUCCACCAGAGCCACACUCUCAGCCUUCAGAGUCUCUUCCUCCAGAGCCAGAAGCCCCAACUGAUCCACCUACAGAGGAGGCGGAUCCUUCUGCUUAGCACCAUCACCCCACUCAUCAGACAUUAUAUAUAUUUGCUGUUUAUGUUUUUAUGCAUGUUUGUUUUGUUUUAGUUGAAAUGAAAUCCCAGUAUUUUGGUACUAUAUAUGGGAUUCCUUGUGAUUACUUGUCCUUAGCAUUGUACUCGAAUGAAUUGAAAGUAAUACAAGUUGAAUUUUUCUUGUUAAAAGUUAGCAUUAAAAUUCUCCUUAUUUCCUUUUCUCACAUAUUCUAUUCUUUUUGAAACAUGUGGUUUUCCCCAAUCAAUAUUCGAAUUUGAUAUCAGCAUGGAGGUACCACUUCCUCCCUUUUAUUACAGUCACUCAAAUCACAUUGAGGACAAUGCUCAGUUCGGUUGGGGGGUAUGAGGAAGGAAGUAUUCUAAAUCUUUUUGGUAUUGCAAUUAUAUUGGUUAAUUAGUUGUAGAUUUUACGUUUUACUCUUGUUACUCUAUUCUCCAUGAAUUUUGAGGAAAAAUUUUCAAAUUAAACCAAGAGAAAUUGAACUGUUGUUUUUCACUUGACUUAGAGUAUGGAUUAUGCUUACUAAAGUGGUUCAAUUGUUGAAACUUCUACUGAAAUUGAAUUGAGUUCUUCCAUUUUAAGCUAUCCACACACUGUGCACAUUAGUUUCUGAUUAUAAGAUGAAAAGCUAUUUCCCUCUUGACUUAGGAUAAUUUUGGGACUUGGUAUAUUUGACCUCAUUUGAUAAAAAUUGAAACACCCUGCAAAAGGCCAAUGAGCCUUUGAAAUAAAGAAAGAUGUUUGCUUGCCUUGAAACCCGAGCAAGGUCUGAGGGGCAUAUGGUGAAAGCCUUUAAAGCCUGGUGCCCUAAGCCUUAAUUGGUUGGGAGUCACCGACCUCAAUGCUCGUUACAAGGGUGAAUAGGUAGAGCUAGCAUAUGGUAGAUGCUUGGGUAUUAGAAAUUCAUUCUUAAAAGUCCAGGGAAAAAUCCGAGGAGUUAGUGGUUGAAAGAUCCUUAAAACUUGGUGCCCUAAACCUUAAUUGGUUGGGAGUCAUCGAUGGACCCCCAUUACAUGGACAAGUCAGAAAGAGUACCCCAUAAAGCUACUUUAAAAAAAAAAAAAAAAAAAAAAAAAAGAUGAUGAAAGUGUGUUCUUUUCUUAUUGAUUUUGGUCAGAUUGCUAAAGUGUUGAAAAGAGAUAGGUUGGGGGGGGAGACUAGUUUAGCAUAUUAUUCUCGGAAUCUAAGGAACCAAUACACAUAGAUUUUUGUGGAAGAUUGAAGUUUAGUUCUUAGAAAGUGAAAUGAUUUUAAAACUUCAGUUUGCAUAAUGCACUCCCUUGAUUGACAGUGUUUAGCAUAGGUGUUAUGACUCUUGUUGAGAUUUGGGUUUGUAUUUCUUUAAUGAUUCAUGUGAGAAGUAAAUCAUCAUGCCACUUAAGAAUUAUUUUCCUUUCAGCAUGAUGUUGUAAAUUUUAGAUUAGUUUGCUAUUUAUUUUUAUUUUUCUCUCCUUUAUUGCUAAGGGACUAGCAAUAUGUCGGUUGGGGGGAGUGAUUACUACUCAAAAAGUGCUAUUUGAUAGCCUUUAAUUAAUCCUUUUUAACACUUUUGAGUAGUAGUUUAGGCCUUUUAACUCAAUUGGCAUGUUAAGGAUCCUUUAAAGCAAUUUUGAUCACUUUGUGCAAGUUUUGGUGUUUUUGUUAGUAUUUCGAUCACCAAAGCAAGUCAAGAAUGAGGAGAGCUAUGAGGAAUCUUGGGCAAAGCUUAGAAUUCAAUUGCCAAGAGUGAAUCCGGAUUGCAAGGAGAAAAAGCAAAGAGGAUCAGUCAUGGAGCAUAUUCUUGAUGACAGUCGUAGCAGCCACUUUUGGAGCACUUUCUGAAGUCCAAAUGAUGCAAGCUAUAUACCAUUUCAAAGCUCAGGAAGUCAACAAUCCAAUGCUUCAAACGGUGUGCGAUUCGGAAUUGAAACGAAGAAGUUGCAGCCAUUACAAGCCAGACACUCUAAAGUGUUGCGGAAUCAGCCAUGUGUUGCGAGAAUUUCGCAGCACUUUUGUACAGUAAGGUGUUUCUCCUUCUAACGAUGCACGAACCAUGCCGCGAGAAGGGAGCUGGAAACUUCAAGAUGGAAGCCAACUUGGCAGCCUAGUGAAGAUAGCUCGGUCUUGCAAGAUAAUUUCGCAGCCCUCUUGGGUGUCUGCGAAAUUUCGCAGGCCUCAUUUUUCACCUGCGAAAUGGCUCCUGAAGCCUCCCGAAGCUUGCUACCGACAUUGGGAGAUAUUUUCCAUUAGAUUUUUGUUGUCUAAAUCCCAAAAUACUCCUUGUAAACCACCAAUUACAUGAUUCCUUAGUUUUUAAGUUAGUAAAAAGACCAAAUAUCUUUGUAACAAUUAGUUUUAUAUUUUGUUGUUAUAAAUACCUCUCGGGAGCCUGUUCUCAGGGAGGAGUUCCUUCUGUAAACGUUUGGUAAGCAAGUAAAGUCUAUUUUCUUUCUACUGCCUUACCUUCUCACUUUGUAUUUUCAUUUUAUUUCUAAGUUAUGAAUUCUCUGAGGAGUUUUCCCCAAAGAAUGAGUAACUAAACCUCCAAUUCCUUGGAGCUAAGGUUGCCGGGGAAGGUUCCAAGUGCAAGAAUGCAAAGCUCUGUGGUUUUAGCUAGUAAUGAAGAGGAAGUGAAAUCCUUUAGUGAUUUCAAUGUUUUUAGUUAACUUAAAACACUUUGGAGUCACCUGGGCCAACACUUGGUAAGGCAAGUGAUUUCCAACCAUGGAAAUGCACUAGUUUACCCCUUGCGAGCCUCUGGUAGGUGACUUCAAGGUAGGAUUUUCUGGAAUUACCAACACUUGGUAAGCUUUUGGACUCCUAGGAGACAUCCAUUAGUUAUCUCUUGCGAGUUUGUGAAGGGAAUCCAAGGUUAAAGAUCACCUUGAAUGGUAAGUGCUCGUGAGAGGCAUGAACCAUUGCAAGUUGUAUCAGUGAGAGAAUUAAAGUGAAAUCUAAUUGAAGGAGUCUUUGUACAUCACCGGUUAGAGAAUUGACUAUAAGUUGAAUCUCUAAUGCGAGGAAAUGAACCAACUGACCAGAGCCGUGUCUUUUGCAUGAGGAACCACCCCAGUGAACCUAAAUCUCCAAGGAAUGUUUUUUUCUUCCUAAAUUAUUCCAAACUUCUGUUAAGUUAGUUAGUUUAAAUCUCAACCUUUACAAAUCAAAGUUUGUGUUUUAUUCCUUAAGCUAACCGUGAAAUGAAACAAGACCAAUUCACUUGGAAUUGGUAUCAUUGAUUGCCUGCAAAUCAUUCCCAAUGAACGAUCCUAGAGCCACUAUACUAUAGUAGCUUUGUAUUUACUACCCUAGUGUAUGGUGUUAUAGGUAUAAAUUUUGUUGAUCACUUCCUCAAUCAAGGAGCACCAGCUGAACACAAAUCAGCUGAGACACCAAUUAGGCAUGAGUCAGUCAUCUCCAUUAUUGUUUUAUUUUUUCUUUCCACCACCCCAUUUUGUUGUGGGGUGUAUGGUGCAAUGAGCUGGUGAUCUAUGCCUGCAUCUUCACAAAAUUUGUUGAAUUUUUCUGAAGUAUAUUCUGUACCAUUAUUCGACCUUAUAACCUUGAUUCUGUAUUCACUUUGAUUUUCAACCAUGGCCUUAUAUCUCAAAAACACAUCAGCAACCUCAGCUUUGUAAGUGAGAAAAUAAAUCCAACAAAAUCUUGUGAAGUCAUCAAUAAAUGCAAUAUAGUACUUACUCCCUUUCAAAGAUGGUGUCUUUUGAGGUCCACUCACAUCUGUGUGAACCAAUUGUAGUUUCUGUGUUGAUUUCCAUGCUGCUUUUUGAGGAAAAGGAAGUCUUGUUUGCUUCCCAUAUUGAUAGGCUGCACAUAUAGGAAGUUCUUCUUCCAAAUCAGGGAGUCCUUCUACAAUCUAAUUCUUCUUCAUGUAGAGCACGGUAUUGUGGUGGAAAUGCCCUAAUCUUUUAUGCCAAAGCAUUGUAUUGUUCUCGUGUUGUGCAGCAGUAAUUUGCUCAUCUUCUAACAUAUUUAAGGCAAAACUUUUGCCUUUCAUUUUUAUGUUGAACACCUCUUUGCCUUCAGCAUCCUUGAUUAUGCAAUUUUUGUCUUCAAAACAAACUUUAAACCCUUUCUCAACAAGCUGUCCAACACUUAGCAAAUUUUGGUCAAUGUCAGGCACAAACAAAACAUCAGAAAUGAGCUUUAAACCUGUUAGGCUUUCAAUAGCUAAUGUUCUUUUACCUUUUACUGGAAUAUACUCACCAUUUCCUAUUCUAACUUUGGAAAUAGUUGUCCUAUCAAUCUCCCUAAAGCGAUCUUGAUCAUGUCAUGUGGUUUGUGCAACCACUGUCCACGAGCCAGCUUUCAGAGGUGCUACCGUUUGCAAAACAUGUUGCUGAAAAUAGUUGUUCCUCCUGGUAUUGUUCAGCUGCUACAUUGGUUUCUCCCUGCUGCUGCUGAGUUCUACAGAUCCUUUCUAUGUGUCCAUGUCUACCACAUUUGUUGCAUUUCACAUCUGGUCUCCACCAACAUUUUUGUUGAGGAUGAUUUGUUUUCUUGCAAUGAGGACAGGGUGGAUAGGUUCCAGUUUUUUUAUUGUUGUUGUUGCUUGGCUUAUUGUUGUUCUUUUUGUUCUUCCUCCUUCUUGUGUUACCUUCAUUGGUCUGUGUCUUUGCUUGAAAAGCUCCUUCUACAGAACUUCCUUGCCUCAUGAGUCUUCUUUGUUCCAAAGCUUGUAAAGCAUUUAGUAGUUCUGCCAAGGUGAUACUUGACAAAUCUUUUGUGUUUUCCAAAGAAGAAAUUGUAGCUUCAUAUUUUUCAGGAAUUGUGACAAAAUUGUUUUGAACAACUCUUUCAUCAGAAAACUCUUUACCUAGCAACCUCACCUUGUUUGCUAUGGUAAGAAGUUGUUCUGCAUAAUCUUUUAUGGUUUGAGACUCUUUCAUCCUCACCAUUUCAAAUUCUCGAAUUAGAUUCAUUACCUGCACAUUUCUGACUCUUUCAUUGCCUUGAUAUUCUUCCCGUAGAUGCUUCCAGAUUUCUGCAACAGAUUCAAGUUGCAUGAUUCUGGUGAGAAUUAAUGGUGAGACUACAGAAAAUAAGCAAGCCUUGGCCUUAGCCUUCCUCGUCUUUUUCUCCUUAUGGUUUUUCAUCUGUGACACAGUUGGAUUGGCUCCAAGUGGAGAAAUUUCAUAAUCUUCCUCUAUUGCUUCCCAGACAUCAAGAGCCUGUAGAUGAACAGUCAUCCUGACAGCCUAAGUUUGGUAAUUUUCUCCAUUGAAGACUAGUGGUGCUGCUGUGAAGCUUGCUUCUUCCAUUUCUGCAAGGUUUUCAGAUUCAGGUUUGGUAUACGGUGUUUAGGCUCACACACCUCACUGGUCCCUCAAGACAAAAAUUGCUCUGAUACCAAACUGUUGGAAGCAGGCGAGGUUAACACACCAAGCAACAGAGAACAGAGAUAUGCUGCUACUGAUCUAUAUUUUUUAUUUGAUCAUAAGGCUGAAUUUAUACAGAUUGUGUAACAUAUAUGACCUCAAAAAAAGCAUCAAAUCAAGCUACUUGUUGAACAAAAAACUACCUCCUACAAAAUAGCAUCAGAAUUUAACUUAAAAGCAAAAACAUAAUAAUAGCAACAGCAAAAACAGAAACAUAAAAAUAGCUUCAACAUUCUAGUAAUCUCAUUGACUUCAAUUGCAUGUGGUUGACGAUUUCAGCCUUUUCCUCAGCAGCUACUAAGGCAUAACUCUCAACAGGGCCUCUUAAUUUCCAUUCUGGCAUCUAUAUGACCUGAUAAAUAGAAAGAAAAAAAAACAGAAGAAAAGCGGCACCUGGGUUCAUAGUAAGCAUCAAGACAGGAUGCUGAAAGAAGGGAGAGAGGAGAUUGCAAGUCCAAUCCUGAUAAAAUAUCAACAAAGAGUAUUAAAUGGGGCCAACAUAAAGACCCAUUAAGGUCAGCAGAUGGCAUGGCAUUUUUCUCCUUAAGUUUUCCAUGAUUAGGCUUGAAGUCAAAAUUUCACAUGUAAAUUUGUAUUUCUACAUUUCCCACUGACGACACCCAACUUCAACUUGAGUUAGAAUAACAUUGUGUGAACUUAUCUGGCCCUCAAAAUUUACUGUGAAGUGCUUUCUGCGUGUGAAGAUUCAGAAAAGCACCAAGGGAACAUGUAUGGUCUGCCUUUUUCUGAUGUUAUGUUUGUCUCUAAUUCUGUUCCAUGUCAUGGUAAAUGUUCACAUUGCUUGUAUGGAACACACCAGGAUCACUUUUUCAGGUUUAGGGGGAUACAAAAGGCUUCAUAUUGGGUUCAAUGCUUUUAAUGUGUUCAUUGGACAAAUCUGAAUUAUCAUACGCAUUUAGAUAAGAACAAUAAUGUGAAACCCUAGUUACACCUCCCCUGCAUAACCCCAACCCUGCUUGCUCUAUUUCAGUUUACUCACAAGUUUUACUGGUUCUUAUAAGUCAAGAAAAGGCAACUGAUGUUGGAUCGACUCUCUUCCAUGUAAAAAAUGCAACUUUUAUACAUAUAAAAGAACUUCUUCCCCUCACCAAUGUGGGAUUUCAUAGAUUUAUUCUGGAAACACAUCAAAGGAACAUCUUUUCUCUUGGGUGACCCUAAGUGGUGAGUCAGAUCAUUUGCAUGCCAUUGAGUUGCACAGUUGGAUAAAUGCACCUGCCUCCUGGGCUCCAGAGUUAAAAGGGUGGAUCCCUGGAUUGCAACCCUCUUGGCAUCUUGGUUUCUAUUCCAACAUCCACAUGACUUGACAAAACAAAAAACAGAAUAAAAUCAGCACUAUAUUCAUGCUAAGCACCAAUACAUGAUGGAAAUCAUUGCUUAAAGAUUUGGGGUCGUUUUAGGUUUUGACUGCCUCCUACCACCUCACCUAAUGACAAGUUUUUAUGCUUACAAAUCAAAUAUCGUUCUUCAUUAUAUUAAAAUCAUUUUAAGAUUUCAGAUCCAUCUGCUAAUUAUGAUUAUGAUAACAUUUAUUCACCUGUGCUUCUCAUUUUCGACACACAAGGCAUCUAGGUUUGCAGGAUUUCCUUAUUAGAUGAGAUAAAUGAGUACGUAUGGUUAUGUAUCCAGCAUUCAUUAACCAUGGUAUGUGACAUUUAGAAUUAAGAUAGCAAGCAAACUUUCCCUGCAGCUAGAGUAAAUUGUGAUUUCUUAGCCUCUAUGAGUGGUUCCCAAAUCAAAUUAACAUAGUGAAAUAUACGUAGUCCAGUGAAAGGAAAUGUAAAUUAUAAACUAACAGCACUACACUACUGGUAACAAUCGAUACUCUCUAUAUAAUGCAAUAAACAAUGUCACAAUUGCCUACAAGCAAGGCACAAACACUAGAACAAGUAAAGCACAAACCUUUCCCAACAGUUCCCAGUGACUGAUGCAUAUCAUACCCUCAACUCACAGAAGGGGAUGAUAUCAGUGCACUGCAGCACUUAUUUUACACAUACUACCACUACUACUACUACUACUACUACUCAUUAGCCAAAGUCACUCAGUUGGGAUGAGUGUGAGGUAGAGGUUUGUGGGGUGCUAUGUGGAAAGGAGUUUGGCUUCUUCUCAGGAGAUGGUAGCUUCUUUGCAGGAGUUGAAGGAGGCUUAAUCUUCUGUGGUGGAUUGAUUGUAUGAGUCUUUGGCACUCUCUUCUCUAGUACAGGUGAAUACCCAGGGGUGCAUCCAUAAUGCGGUGGCUUCUAUCCCUUAGGUGGUUUGCCAAAUUCAAAAUCGAAGGAUUUUUUUUUUUUAAGUAUACGUAUCUUUGAAAGCUUUUAUUUUGUAUGGCAAAUGGAAUGAGAGGAGCAGUCAUAUUCUAUUUGGCCAGAGCAACAUAUCACAAAUGAACAAGCUAUUUACUGCCACACUGGGCAAAACAUACAUAAUCCUUGUACUUCAAACAUCCAUGAAUUCUCAUCAUUUUCAGGACACGUUGCAUGGUCUAUCAUUCUAUAUGUCGGCAUAGUAAGUGCAGCUAAUAAGCCUAUUCAGAGCUGAAAUUCAAAAUCUAUUCACAGGAUAAUGACCUUAUUAUUGGAUUUUGCUCACUGUCAUACACACAUAUCAGAUAAAGCCCCACAUGCUCAUAAGCUACAAGCAACCUACAAGCACUAAAAUGAGUGUUAGACGUAUGAAACAUUCCCCAAUACUAGUAGUAUUACCUGUUCCAUAGAACACUAAAUUAGAAGAGAGAAGAUGUGAGACUCCAGCUUUUCUUUCUACAUAUUACUCAUAUCAAGUUGGAAUAGUUAGGCGGUAGAGGCUUGGGGUGGCUUGUGUAGGGGACUAGGCAGCUUCUCUCAGGAGUUGAUUUCGUCUUAUUCUGGAUGUCCAGGUUUCGUCCUUUCGAAUUUCCCAUGCAAAUCAGCAUUCUCCUUGGGAAACUUCACUCCGUUGGGAAACUUGUGUGAAUCUUUGGCAUUCUCUACCAGAGAAGGCCCAGGGCAGUGACCAUAAGGUGGUGGCCUUUUUUCAGGUGGUGGCUCCUCUCCCACUGGAGGCUUGUGGUAAUCAGCAAGAGAGGCAGUGGAGAGAAUCAUCACCCCAAGGAACAGCACUAGCAAGUAUUUGUGAGCCAUAUUUGGGAUCUGAUGAUGAAGACUAGAAGAUAGGAGUUGCCUCAUAUAAUGGGUUGGAGACUAUAUCUCAAGGGGACGUGUAUUUAUGCAUAUGAUCUAUAUAGGACCAUCCUCCUAAUAUUUUCAAAAUAAUGUUAUUGUCUCUCUUGGGUGACAGUUUGAUUUGGUCUAUUUCCAUGCCACUGAGUAGAAAAGUUUGACAAUUGGCUACACCACCUACCUGGAUUACAUGGUUGAAAGUGAAGAUCAGUACAGUGUGAUCACACUUGACCUCUUGUUCCCCAUUCCAGUAUCUAAUUAACCUGACAAAAGUAAAAGGAAAGGAAAAAGGGAAAAAAUAGAAUAAUGUUCAAAUAAAAACGAGAAAAAAUAGCAUAAUGUUGAUGAAUCAUGAUAAGCAUCAAGGCAUGAUAGUGAGAGAGAGGAAAGAAGACAGUGUAAUUUGCAAUCCUGAUAAUCAUUAUAUAGCAGUAACUUUAAUCAUUUUUCUAUCACAGGGAACAUGACACUCAUCUUCCUAUGGAGAUAUUGCAUAAGUUUUUUUCUUUGUAUGUCAACACUAACCAAUGAAGCAUGUUAGCUGGUUUGAAACUGAAACUGUAGCCCUCUGUUUGGUUCUUGAAAAACUUGAGAGAAAAUGGAAGUAAAGUUAAAAGGAAAGAAAAAGUGAAAAAAAAUAAAAAUAGAUUGAAAGUUAACAAAUUAUUUUUACAUGUUCCCUCAAAUUUCUUUCACUUAUUUUUCCUUUUCUAUAUAAAGAUUAAAUGAUUUAAAAAUCAUAAAUUUCUAACUAAUUAUAACUAUAUUUGAUUUUCUUUCAUAUUUUCCAAGAUAAAGUCAGACAUGAGAAAAUCAUUUUCCUUAAAAAAGAAAUUCUUUCCUUUACAGUUUCUUAGAACCAAACCUGGCACAAAAGUCCAAAUUGGGGUUUCUCCAUGUUCCAUUUUUUAUGGCUACCUUUAUGGACCAUAUAAUAUAGAAUGUACUUCUGCAUACCUUCAAGAUCAAGCUGAACUAUAAGAAAAAGACAAGCCAUGGCCCACGGAGCAGGGAUACCAAGCUGCCUUCUCCUAGAUUAAGUUCCAAGAUUUCAGUCUUCAAACCUGCUAAAAGCUAAAGGCAUGUUUCCAGCCUGCGGCAGAUAACAUGCACUGUCCAACAAUAAAUUGCAAACACAUUCGAUGCAGUUUAUUAGUACAAUAAGAUUAAAUCCACCAAAUCUUUUACAGUUCAACCAACACUUGAACUAGUAGCUAGCUUCACUACUGGGUAAUAAUAUAUAAACCAAACUCUUGAUAGGAACCAACCUAUCGCAGAUCGAACUUCUUACAUCCACCAUGAAUUACUGAACCAAAAGAAGAAUCGAAGAGACUGCCAAGGAGGAAAGCCUUCCUAUAACUAGAUAUUUAUAUUCCAAAUUAGGGAGAGCACCCACUGCCCAGGCCUCGCCCAGCAUAAACAGAUAGUAUACAUAUACAUGCAAAAAGCUCCAACCUUCAAGAUUUUAACUAUUAACUUAACACAAUUAAAAAUGUAUCCAAAAAGCAAAUCCCCUUGAACUCCUGAAGCAAUUACUCCAACCAAAUAAAGAUUUUAAGAGUUCCAUGUUCAUAUCCUGCAAGGAAAUCAUUCAAUGUUCAGACCUCUAAUUUCUGUCUUUCUAAAUGCCCAGCCAAAAGGCAUAAAGUAUCAUCCAAAUUGGAUGCACAGCAUAUGUUCUUAAAUCAUGGGAUUUCACCAUAAGUUACUACACUCUAACAGGGCCCAGAAAUUGACCUCCAGAUAUGCCUAUCAAAAAAUUAUCCCCACAUACAUUUUUCUGCUGAAAAGACAAUAUUGUUACAUUUGACAUUCAACCACUACUUGAACUCAACAACCAGGGAAAAGAAUAUAGUAUUUCUACCAAUGAGGAUGAGAGGGGCUGGUGAAUUAACAGGUAAAAGUUUGUUUUGGGUUCAUUGUUUGCAUAAUAAUGUAAAAAUGGAGUAGUAUAUUAUAAAUUAAUGUAAAAAUGGAUUAGCAUAACAUAAAUUGCCAUAAGAGAACCACAAACUACAAAGAAACUUAUUUUCCAAACAAGGAAAAUUAUUCAUAGCCAUUAUUACAUAAGAAAGGAAAUUGAUAAAAUUAUUAUCCAGUUCCCCAUCAGGAAAUAUGAAAGUACUCCUAAAAGCCUCAAUUCUAACCAGAAAACCAUAGAAAUGUAUUAGAAAUAUUGUACAGGGUUCUCUCCAAUAUUAGCUUCAGUUGCUAAGGAGAUCAGAACCUUGAAAGUAAGUCACAAAGGUCGUGUGGGUUUCCCAGAGUCUUCAACAACCAGUAUUCACAUAUGUACACAUUAAAAUUAAAUAAAGCAGGUAUCAAUUCCACAGGCUUUAAGAUUUGAAUUGCUUCUCCCUGGAAUCAUACACCACUCAUAUUGUCACUGACUUUCAAUUACUUCUCCCUGCGAUCAUAUGCCACUCAUAUUGUCACUGCCUUAGGGAACAAAGUGAAAAUCUGCAAUUUCAAUUAAUUCCAACAUAAAAAUAAAAAUCAAUCCUCAAAAAAUGGAUUGCCAGGAGGUAAAUAUAAUAGAAGACGAACAACUCUCACAACCAAGUUAAAGAAACCAGCCGCUAGGUACCUUUGAGUUCUAUACUACCAGGAACAAAUUGGAUGAGAUUAUUUAAAGGCUAUUCCACAGUGGAAAUUCAUUCGUUCAAAAAACAUUUGUCAUGCAUAUAGGCAAUCUAUCCUAUGCAUUCAUACAUCAUGGUCUCAUGCAAUCUUAAUAAAAGUGGUCCUGGAAAAAGAGAGAAAAAAGUAAUUACAAGCCUGUGCGACCAGAUUUCUUUUGUUUUUUUUUUUUUUUUCCUUUGCCAAACAACCAUGUUCAUAGUUUCAGAAGUUCAUUCUGUCUUUAAGAGACCAUGGCAGUGACUUGGCCAUUCAGCUAAGANNNNNNNNNNNNNNNNNNNNNNNNNNNNNNNNNNNNNNNNNNNNNNNNNNNNNNNNNNNNNNNNNNNNNNNNNNNNNNNNNNNNNNNNNNNNNNNNNNNNUCACCAAGGACUCCUCAACCUCAAAAUAAUAGAGAAAGUCUAGGACACCAUGUCACUACUGAGGACAACCCAACACCACAACAUUUCAGUCCGUUCAAAAAGAGUAAUUGGAAUUGUUGCAAAAAAUGUUCAACUAGUCCCAACAGGAGGCAAAUUCCUCCAUUUCUUCAUCGGGUCCGGAUCCUUUGCUCAAAAAGGUAAUUUUCUUACUGCCCUAAAAGAAAAAGGGAAAAUGUGAGUCAUUGGAUUGUUGACUCAGGAGCUUUUGAUCACAUGACUAGAGUGCCACAAUUUUUCAAAAUUAUACACCUUGUUUUGGGGAUGAUACAAUUCGUAUGGCUGAUGGUUCUCUCUCAAAGGUGACUGGUACAAGUUUUAUUGUCAUCUCUAAGGACCUAACUCUUGACUCUAUUCUUUUGGUUCCAAACUUGGAUUGCAAUCUAUUGUCCAUUAGUAAACUCACUUAUGAAAAGAACUAUGUUACUAAAUUUUUCCCAAACCAUUGUGUUUUUUAGAAUUUGAAUUCGGGGAAGACGAUUGGCAAUGUUGAAGUGUGUUUAGGACUCUAUGCCUUCAAAGUGAAUUAUUAUAUUGAAAGACAAUCUUAACCAACAGUUGGUGAAAAAUGGUGUCUUUUUGUCUUUAGUUCUAAUAAAGAUAGUGAUGUUAUGUUAUAGCACUAUUGUCUAGGACAUCCUAGUUUCUUAUAUCUCAAAAAACUCUUUCCAUGGUUUUCAGUGUGAAAUUUGUCAACUAUCCAAGCAUCUUUGCAAGCCCUAUCCAUAGUUUUAAAAGACUUAAGGCACACCAAGACGCAAAGUCCUCUUGGAGCCUUAGGCGCAAGGCACACCUAAGGCGCGAACUUUAGUAAAGUGAGGUGCAUCCUGUUUUACAUAUAUAUUUUUAUAUAAUACAAUCAAGUGCCCGAAAAUUUUCCUCUAAUUUUCCCCUUCUUCUUCAUCCUCUUCUCUUCUUCACAUUGUUCGGGAGGCUAGGACAUUUUUUUUUUUUUACAUGUCUAAAACAAGCAUAUAUUGGGUUUUGGAAGAAGAACAAGCCAAAAUGACAUCGUUUUGGAGCCUAAUCUUUUAAAUAAAUAAAUAAAUAAAUAAAAACCAGCCAAAAAUGACACCGUUUUGGCCCCUGUUCUUUUAAAAGAACAAACCAAACAACGUCAUUUUGAUCUCAGGAAAUUAAAAAAACAAAACCCUCGUCAUUCUCCCUUUGCUACUCUACAACUCAUCGUCAAAGGGUAAAAAGAUGACCAAAAGAAGAAGAAGAAAAAAAAAAAACGACGACAGAGGAUAGAGGUGCACCUGUUGAGGGCGUUGCGCCUAGCCAAGAGGCGAGCGCCUUGCACACUUAAUCAACGCCUCUGUGAAGGGGCGGCUCCUGCAAUCAGGCGAAGCGCUGAAGGGUGAUGUCACAUCGUCUAGAGCCUAGGCGCACCUUUCACAACUAUGACCCUAUCCAACUCAACCAUACAAACCAUCUCAUCUUUUUUCCAUACAUAGUGAUGUUUGGAGGUCAUCUAAAAUAAAGAACAUAACAGGGACUAGAUGGUUGAUGAUCAUACUAGAAUUUCUUAGAUAUUUCUAAUGAAAAAAAAAUCAAAAAUUAGUCAAAUUUUCUAAAAGUGGACCAGAAUUUCUUUAUUGAAUUAAAAAGUUGAAAUUAAUAUUUUGGAAAAGUUAGGGCCGCUCAAGAGGUAGAAAUAGCGCUCGAGUGGUAGAAAUAGCGCUCGAGUGGUAGAAAUAGCCCUCAAGUGGUAGAAAUAGCGCUCAAGCGCUAGGACCGCUCAAGCACUUAACUAGCGCUUGAGCGCUCAUAUAGAAUCUGCCAGAAUAUGGAAGAAUAUUUUUUGGAUAAUCAUGAAAAUUGGAUUUGGAAACUUUAGAAUAUCAAUCUCCUUCGGCCUAGAGGUUUAUAUAAACCCUAUUAUAACCCUUUAGGGUUAAGAAAUUCACCAAGUGGUUUACCCUAACUUGUCAUACCAUUCCCGAUCUCUCAUCAAGGAAUCAAAGUGUUUAAUCUUGGGUUGUUUGAAGACCUGCAUCCCUUCAACAAGGCUAAGGUGUAUUCACUAGAACAAUUGAAAUUGUUGCAUUGCGGACAUGAAUCAAGUUGCAGGUUCUAGAGAGUAAGUCUUUAGAAUAAAGCAGACAAAGAGUUCUAUGUGACUUUAUCUCAUAUAGUGGAUUUAGCUUUGAGGUCUUAGACCUCGUGGGUUUUUAUCUCCAUAGUUAGUGUGGGGGUUUUCCACAUAAAAAUUAUUGUGUCUCUUGAUCUUAUGUUUGAUUUUAGAUAUUCUAUUUAUCCCUGAUAUCUCACAGGUUAACUUUAGGUUAAAAAUUCAACUCCCUAUUUAAUAAUUUUUAAAAUACACCCAUUCACGAGUGUUAUCCUACUGGACAUUGGUUUUUCACCAUAUAUAACACUCAUACCAAAACCCAUGCAACAUGGACUCCAACCUUAAGCUUAACUUUCUACGAAUGGAAAAAAAAAAAGACAUAACAUAAAUAGACAGAUUUAACAACAUGCUCCUAAUCAAGGUGAAUGUCCCUCUUUUUGAAAGAUAUGACCUUUUCCAUACGAGGAGCUUUCUUUAAAAUUUCACCUCUACCAAUUCCCAUGCCUUUACAAAGUUGUGGAAAGCUCCAAAGAGAAGGCCCAGACAUGUAAUGGGUAGAUUCCCUACCUUAGAACCUUACACCAAAGCUAAACCCCUAAUAUUUGUGACUUCUAUAAGAAUCAAUUCAUUUUUUUCCAUAUUUAUUUCUAAAUCAGACAUUGCCUCAAACCACAUGAAGUUAUAACUUGGAUGUUACAGAUGCUCUUAAUUAGUGUCACAAAAAAAUAGGGUAUCAUCAUCAAACAAGAAAUGUGACACUUCCAUCCCCUCCUCCUGUCUUCCUCCCACUUUGAAACUUGAGAUGUAACCCCUUUUAUCUAAUUCUCCUCAAAAUUCAAUUGAAAGCCUUCAUUGCCAAUAUGAAAAUGUAAGGGGAGAGAGGAUCUUUCUACCUCAAAUCCCUUGAGCUCUCAAAGAAACUGAAUAGGACACUAUUUACUAGAAUAGAGAAUUGAGUAGUGGAAAUGAACCAUUUGAUCCACCUCACCCACUUAUGAUCAAAGUCCAUUUUAUCCAACAUCAUUAACAAAAAGUUCCAAUUUACAUGGCCAUCGUCCUUUCCAAUGUCUAACUUGCAAAUUACCCCACUAUUGGGACUCUUUAACCUUGAAUCUAGAGCAUCAUUUAUGAUUAGAACUGCAUCUAGAAAUUGUCUGUCUUCCACAAAAGCAUGCAAAUAAACUAAAACUAUUUUACCCACCACAUUUUUUAGUCUUUUAGCCAAGACUUUUUCCAAUAGCUUGUACAAAAAAACCCCCAACUAAGCUAAUCAAUGUAAAAAAUUUUAGGUUCUCUGCUGCACCUAUAUUAGGGAUCAAGACCAAGAACAUGACAUUUAAAUUUUGCUCAAAGGAACAAUUAUCAAAAAACUCCCCAAGCUCAUUUGCCAAAAUAUUAUAAUAAAUCCAUUUGGCCCCUACAGCUUUAUCCCCACUCAAGCUAGACAAGGCAACAAGAAAUUCCUCAUCAAAGAAAGGUAACUCCAAUUUCCUAGAAUCAGCACAUAGCAUAACUUCAAAGGUCAUCCCAUUAAUGUUGAGUCUCCACUCGCCCAUAUCAGAUAGGAGAUUUUGGAAGGCCCUAAACUCCCCUUCCUUUAUAUUUGCUUCCCAAGCAACCAUUUUGCAUUCACUCAAAUUUUAAACAUGAAGUUUUUUAUUCUUUGGGCAUUGACCAUUUCAUGGAAAAUUUUGGUGUUUUUAUCCACCCCCUCUUUUAACCAAAUUUCUCUUUAUUUUUGCCCCCAUACAUAUAGAUUCUUCUAACAAGGCCCACUUGCUAAACUCAAUCACCACUAACCUUUGGCCUCAACGAUUUCAAGAGAUAAGGUAACUGCUCUCUACUUUGAGUCCCAGAAGUUGAUCCAGUUUAGCACCUCUAGGUUUUUUGUUGAGACAUUCCCAAAACCUUCUUCAUUCCAAGAUUUUAAAUCUCGUUUGACAGCCUUUAGUUUAACUUCCAAAAUAUGACCAUACAAGCCAUCCACAUUAUAACCAUCAACCAACUCCUCACAAAAUCUUUUAAGCCUUUUGUUUUAGGCUACAUAUUUUAAAAUGUAAACUGUGUUUUCCCACUCCUUAUCCUACCUCCAUCUAAAACUAUGGGGUAAUGACCAAAAAUUGGUUUAGGUAAAAUACUCUAGAUUAAAGUAGAAAAACGAUUCUACCAAUCAUCUGACACUAGGAAAUGGCCAAGCUAGCCUUGAAGAAGACAAAAGAUUAUGAACACCACUCCAAGUGAAUAGCCCUCCAACUAGCGAAAGAUCCCAAGGUCAAGUCCUCUAUGUCCUCUGAAAAGAACCUCAUAUCAAACAACAUUCUAAGGCAAUUCCUCCUUUUCAUGGGGAACUUGACCAUAUUAAAAUCCCCUCUGAAGCACUAGAGGUCAUCCCAAAGGCCUCUUAUGGCACCCAACUCUACCCAGAAAUCCACUCUUUCUCCCCUUUAAACCAACCCAUAAACUCUUACGUAUACCUAGACAAAGCUAUCUUCACAAUUCAUAGACAAGCAAUAGAGAAUGCUUCCACCUCCUUACCAAUUAACUCUAAUACCCUACUAUCUUGGAAAACCAAAAUGCCUACUAUCAAGCUUCUAACUUCCAAUACCAUUUCAAAAAUUUUCCUACUCCUAAACUCCUUACCAGUUGAACGAACAUCUAUCGAACCUUGGUUUCUUGUUAACAAACUAGAUCAACCCCUUGAGACCUUAUCAAUGACUUUAUUAUCAUAUACUUUUCCUCAUCAUUUGCUCAUUUGACAUUCCAAGACAGGAUUUUUAGCUUCAUCAUGCAACCUAUGUUGGAUCCUAACUGCUACUCUUGGAGCCCUUUUCCUUUUUGUUGAGCUUUUAUAAUUGACUAAGCAUCCCAACUUGUUGAGGUCCCUCUCAAACCAAGAUAUCGAGGUUAACUUCCUCUUCACCUCCAACGAAAAAACAGAAACCCCUCUCCUUAGCCUGCCACACAAGGGAAAAGAUCUCUUUUUCAAAUCCAUCAACUGGCAUUCUUGAGAAACUAUUGAAAUUUGCCAACUUACAAGAUAUACAAUUGGAGGAGUGCUUCUCUACCAAACAACUACUAAAAUUCACCUCAAAGGUGACCUUUUCCCCUGAUCUCUCCCCGGCCUCCAUACCCACUGACCCUUUCACAAAAUUUUCUAGAAUUUCCACUAUCAAGCCGUUACGGAGAACCAUCCUCAACAAACUCCUUUGACUAAUGUGAAAAACCCCACCCAAGAGCAUCUUCCAGAAGUUAACUUACAAGAUUAACUAUAAUCUUGUGAAGACUCGUUACCUAAUGGGUAAAAAAUUUGAAAUUCUAUUAGUAUAAUUCUUUUUAGGCACAAAAGCUGUGAAAAUAGCAUUGGUGCUCUAAUUAAUAACCCCAUAAUUAUUAAGCAAUAAAACAACUUUUAAUAAAUUCUCUUUCACCACAUCCCACCAAUCCUAAUGCAAAAAAGCUAGGAAAAAGUCAUCAUUGCUCUAAGCAUUUCUCCUCACUAGUUGAAAGACUGCUUUAUGAACUUCCUCUUCGACAAAAGGACAAUCCAACCAAUUAGCACCAUUUUCCAAAAUGAGAGACCAACCCCCACUCUUCUAUCCUCUAAGGAUCUUCAUAUAACCAUUAAUGCCUUUCUAUACCAGCUAGUAUAUAUCGGGUUUUGGGCAAGUCCUAUAAAUUGGUUUGAGUAAGAUUUUUAAUUACCCUGUUCUUUCUUUUUAGUUGAUAAAUAUGCAUAUAUGUAGUAAUUCAUACAUCAGAAAAGAUUUUGCUAAAACAAAAGAAUUGACAUGCAGAUAGUGACUUCUUGAUAAGAGUAAUAGCUUAAGGGAGGAAAAUGAACUCCUCCAGUGGCCCCAAAGUGGUAAGUUCCUUCAGAUCCCAUGUUGCUAUUCUGCAUUUCUUUGUGUUUUGGCAUCAGCCCUCUUAAUUAAUUCACUAUCCAGCUUCUCAAAUUCCUCGGAUUCUUCCCUUGUUCUUGUGGAAACAUCUGCAUCUUGUCCUUGCAUUGUUAUGGAUUGGUGAUUAUCAUUCUUUGAGAACUGUGUGGCAGCUGCUCGUGCACCAGCUAUGGCUGCAAGGAGACCUUCUGGUUUCUUGUCUUCAGCAGCUUUGGAGCCAUCAAAGCAAGAAACAAGUAAUCCUGGUUUCAAAGAGAGGGGAUCUUGUGGUUCUGGAAGCAGAAACUUGACAGGUAGUGGAGCUUGAACAGGACGAAGACCCCUAACUGCUGCCUCAUAUAUCUGCAACAAUUUCAGGGGGGAUAAGUAAUUAAAAAUCAGUCACUCUAUUGCAUUAGUUAGACUUGCUUUCAAUGCGAUAGCAAAGAAAGAAUCAUCAAUGAAAAAAGAAAAAAUAAAUGAAAAAGAACAAAAAGGAGAGGGAAAAAAAAAUGAUGGGUGCUCAAUUUGUACUUUUCUUUCCAGGUUAUAAAUACGUUGGUACCCGCGCAUCUCAAAUGGUAUGAUUAAUUUCUGCAUCAGGUCAGGAGAACUAAGUCCAUCAAUAUACUAAAAAGCAAAUAUACCAAAAGGCAAGCAAAAAUGUUUAACCAUCUUGAGUGUCAAACUCUCCAAGAAACUAUAUACUUUUAGCUGAAUGAAAACACAUGCCUGUGGUUGCUCACAGAGCCAGCAAAACUCUGUUUGCGCUUCUAGCCUUACCUACAAAUAGAGUUUAGGUUAUCCAACCAAAAUGGAGAUACAUCACACAAAACAAACUGUACCUAAUCAGUUUACGAAGGGGACGGGGGGAAGCAAAAAGCAAAAGUAAAUUUCUAAGAUGCCCACCCCUUCAGGUACCUCCUUCCAGCACGCCAGCUCUUCACAUUUAACACAACCAACUACUUCAAUACAACCUGUGGCAAGAAUAGAGUUUGUUGGAUUUAUUGUAGCAUGCCAUACAGAAAAAUUUAGCAUUUCAGUAAGAAUAAGAAUAAGAGAGCUACUUUCCACUAAAAUACGAAUCACCCAUCAACUGUUGCAAACAGACAACAAUGUGAAUAACAGGUUUUAUAUAUAUAUAUAUAGAGAGAGAGAGAGAGAGAGAGAGAGAGAGAGAUAGAUAGAUAUAGAGAGAGAGAGAGAGUCAAAUAAUAAUAAAGGACAAAAAUAUUUCUUUGAGAAAGACUAAUUAGAAAGAAGAAACAAAGAACCCACAUGAAAUCAAUUUAGAUAAGAGAAAUACCUUUAAGAAUCUAGUUCUUUUUGCAAAUUGCAACUUAGAAUUGGAAUGCCACAUAUUAUUAUAAGGUAUCACAAGAGAUUAUUGCUUCAUUUUUUUUCUUUGCCAGAUCAGUUUUAAUAAAUAUAAAUAUAAAAAUAUAAGCAUGUACACACACACACGCAAACACAUUAUGUGUGUAUGUUUAUGGAUAUGUAGAUAUAGGUUUUUAAUAAUAGAGCAUGAAAACAUAUCUAGUCAGAAAUUCCAAAAAUCCAAAACCAUUAGCAACACCUAACAGUCUUGAAACUGGGUAAUGUUCUGGAAACUUGAGGUCUGCUAUCCCAUUCACAGCAUAGAUCUCCCUGUAGAAAUUCUCCAUUGCUUUGAUUGUGUCUGAAUCUGGGACCUUACUAGCAGCAUGAAUCCAGAGUCGGCCUUCAUAAAACAAAACAUGUAUAUUAAGAAAUAUCCUUGUAGAACAGUAACAUUUUUGCCAGCAUGCAAUUCGUGUUAAUAAUCCUUGGUUCUCACCACUCAUUGUACAUUACAAUGUAAAGACCUAAUAAGCCCUAAUAUAGGUAGGUGUCUGUGCAGAGAGAGAGAGAGAGAGAGGGGAGGGGGGUGAAAGGAAAGAUGAUUAUAGAACAAAUACAAGUUGAAUCUCCUGAAAUAAUGUCCAUCAAGUUAUUUCCUAGCAACAAGUACUGAUUAUGCUUUUCCUGAUAACAUGAUUUUCUUUGCUAACAACCAUACUAUAUUUUAUCAAGAAAGAGUAGUGCAUGUGGCGUGCAUCAAGACCCAUUAGAGUUCCGCUAAACCUAUAGUUCUGUCAACGUUAUCAUUUACGUUUCCUCUAGAUAAUGGCAUUUUCCUCUAAAACUCUUGCACCAUUAGGCUUCAAGUCAAAAUUUCACAUGUGAACUUUGGAAAUUUUCUCCAUUUGCCCCUAAGGAUACAGUUAGAAUUGACUUAAAAUCCUGAUUGAUGUAUACUUUUAACCGAAGAAUAUUGUAUAUAAUAAUUGAAAUAUUGUUGAUUCAUCGUGGAAAUACAUUUUGUAAGGAAAGUUGUUAAGAAUUUAGUAUGCUAUAUGGAGAAAAAAGUCAUGACUUAAGGUUGAGUAUGUAUAUUCUAUAUCAAAUAUUAGGUAGGAAUGUGGAAAAGAGCAGAGUGUAAUUAUAAGAAACAAAGAAAUAUAAGAUAUUCUUGAAAGUGGAAAAUGUAAAAUGGCUAAAAGUCAAAUUUAUGAUGCAUAAGGGGGAUCAUGUCACAUAAGAAACUCAUGGCAUACCAAAUACGUGUGGUAUGGAGUAACAAUUUUGUUAAAAUAAGUUUCUCGUUGGAGUACAUUAGGUGACAAUUUUUUAAUAUCAAAUUAAAGAGUCAAGUGCAUCAAUGAAGUCAUAUGUAGAAAAUUUGUUUGUGACAUGUACCAUAAAGAUAAGAUUGACUUGAUAUAAUUUAGUCCAGGUAGGAGUUGUUAAAGGUGUCUCAAAUUUCUAAUUGAUAUAUAUUUUUUUCUAAAAAAAUAUUAUAUAGAUAUUUCAAUAAAUGAUUAAUUCUUUGUAAAAAUACUUACAUAAUAAAAAACAUCAUUAGAAAUAUCUCUAUAAAUAUUUUAAAUCACAAAAAGAAAAAAAAAAUCACUAUGAGAUAAUUAUAAACAUGCAACAUUGUACCAAGUAAACAGAAAUGUGAUAAAAAAAUUUUGAGAAACACUAAAUAAAGGAAGGGCUUGUAUAUCAAGAUGUAAAUAUAGAGAGCAAUAUUUUUAAUCAUAUGAUAGAAUUAUUUUCUCUCAUUCAUGAUUAUAAGCAAAAUUGGGAACCAUUAUAAAAUCUUGUACACCUCGUGUAAAUUGAUGUUUGUCUUCAUAUUUUACACCAACAAAUGACAUUGAAGUUGUCAUUGAUAAAAGGGAAAAGGCAUGGCCUCCACACCAUGUGCUUGAAUCGUAUGGUUCAAGUUUAAAGAAUUUUCUCCAUAAUUUGAAGAUCUAAAACAUUUUCACCUUUAAAUUUCAUUUAAUUAUUAAUAUCUACAAAAAAUAGUUAAAUACUCUUUCUAUUUUUGAGUUGUUGAAUUUUUUGAAAGUUUUUAUAUUUGUUAUCAAGAAUUUAUAUUUUAUUAAGUGUGAAUAUUUAUAAAUAAGAUAUUAUAUAAUAUUUGGAUAAGAGAGAAUGGUGGAAUAUAAUAAAGUUUUAAUCCUUCCCAAUUUUUAUCUUUUUUUUUUUUUUUUUUUAUAAUCGCCUUUCUCUUUCAAUCCUAUUAUCAGGUACCUUAUAUUUGCUGAUGCUAUCUGGAACUAAAUUCCAAUCAGACAUUGUCCAAUUACUAAUAGGACAGAUCAUGUCUCUCUGUUUCUAAACUAACAUGUAUCGUAAUGUGGCCUCAUAAGGAAGGCUAGGAAGAUGGAGGAUUUUGUGGGAAGCGACCAGAAUCAGAUGGAAGAGAGAUAGCCCUGUUGACCUAAUGGCUGUAAUAGGAGAAGCGUGUGGAUUUAUGGGACUUAACUGAUACUAAACCUAUAUGAUGCUUGGAGUGGUGUUUCUUUCAUUUUGUUAAGAAAAUAUGGCAGCAUACAUCCUUUCAAUUGAGUGCAUCAGAGCAUCCAUAAUAGAUGGUCUGCAACCCUAGGUGCAUGCCACUUUCUGACUGAUAAUGAAACUGUCAGGUACUUGGCCUUGACUAAGCUCAACAGCAUCACAUAAAAAGAAGCUUUCAUACUUAGAUUACUGUUUAAAGCUUUUGCUUAUUUGCUUUCUUAAUGCCAUUAUGACAUUAUUGUUUCAAUUCUGCUACCGAUUUUCGAAGUUCUGGGCAUCUACUGAUUGCAUCAUUAUAUGAGAAGUUGCAUGAGUUUAUGUAUCCUGUUAUUGCUCCUUUGCGAUUUCACUGCUCACGGGACUAACCUCUCCAUUCAGUCGAAAUGAAUUGUAAUUUCUUUACUGGUAGCAGUAGUACUUUUCAUAGCAAAGAUAAUAGUAAAUAUGAAAUAUAAAUAGAAGGAAAUCUGAAUUGUAGAUGGCACUAUAAGUAACACUCAAUAUUCACUACAUAAUAAAAUAGACAGUGUUACAAAGGUAGAGAAACCUACAAUGAGUACUCAUCACCAUUCUCAAACAGAAACAUAGCAGCGACUUAUACAUAGAACCUAUAGGCUUGCAGGGAAAGAAGGGAAAGAGUAACAUGAUAAGUUCACAGCGGGUAGCAGCUCUUAUUUUACGUAUUACUCAAAAUCUCAAACUAACCAAAGUCACUCAGUUGGGAUGGGUAGGAGAUGGUGGUUUGUGGGGUGGCUUCUGGGUAGGAGCUGGUGGCUUCUUUGUUGGAGUUGAAGGAGGCGUAAUCUUCUGAGGUGGCUUGUAUGAGUCUUCGGCACUCUCUGCAGGAGGGUGCCCAGGGUUGUGACCGGAAGGAGGUGGCUUCUGUCCCUUUGGUGGUUUGCCUAAUGGGCUUGGUGGCUUGUGCUCCGGGAGUUGUUUCUCUCCCUCGAGUAGGUUUCGAGUUUUGUCAGAUGGCUUGUGUUCUG
rnacentral:lncRNA from 1 species